rnacentral:lncRNA from 1 species
GAAAGUUGUAUUGAUUUUUUGUUUUAGGGUACGGAUGUUGUAGAGGGUCUUGCACUGGAUGUCAGAGCAUCAAAAGCUAAAUCACUUAGCGCAGGAUUAUUUGCAAAAAUGAAAUGUUUAAAUUUACUCCAAAUCAACGAAGCACAUCUCACCGGAUCCUUCAAACUGCUUUCUAAAGAGUUGAUGAGGAUUUGUUGGCUUCAAUGUCCUUUGAAAUAUUUUCCAUCUGAUUUUACAUUUGACAAUCUAGAUGUUCUUGAUAUGCAGUACAGUAAUCUCAAAAAACUAUGGAAGGGAAAAAAGGUGCGAAACACACUACAAUCCACAAAAUUUCUCCAGUAUGUAAUUUAUAUUUACAUGUUAUGACUUUCUAUGAUUAAUUUUCAUUAUUAUGCGCUCUAUUAUACAGAUUCUCAACAGGCUAAAAAUCUUUAAUCUCAGUCAUUCUCAGAACCUUAUUAAAACACCAAACUUGUACAGUUCAAGUCUAGAGAAACUAAAGCUGAAAGGUUGCUCAAGUUUAGUUGAAGUCCAUCAAUCUAUUGGAAAUUUGACGAAUCUCGCUUUCUUGAAUCUAGAGGGAUGUUGGUGUCUAAAGAUUCUCCUAGAAAGCAUUGGCAAUGUAAAGUCUCUUAAAACUCUGAAUAUUUCUGGGUGUUCAGAACUUGAGAAAUUGCCAGAACGCAUGGGUGAUAUGGAAUCCUUAACUGAGUUGCUAGCUGAUGGGAUUGAAAAUGGGCAAUUUCUCUCUUCAAUUGGACAAUUAAAGUAUGUCAGAAGGUUAUCAUUGUGUCGAAACAGUUCGGCUCCACCAAUUUCUUCUUUGAUUUCAACAGGUGUUUUGAAUUGGAAACGUUGGUUGCCAACAUCUUUCAUUGUGAAACGUCUUGAGCUUUCUAAUGGUGUGGUUUGUCUGAUCGCGUAACUAACUUAGUUGAUUUUAUUGGUUUGUCCGCUCUAGAAGUAUUGGAUCUAACAGGAAACAAAUUCUCUAGCUUGCCUUCUAGGAUCGGCUUCCUUCCAAAGCUAAGGUACUUGUCAGUUCGGGCAUGCAAAUAUCUUGUAUCACUCCCAGAUGUUCCCUCAAGUUUAGACUGUUUGGGUGCAUCUUAUUGCAAAUCAUUAGAAAGAGUAAGAAUACCAAUCGAGUCAAAAAAAGAACUAUAUAUAAAUCUACAUGAAAGUCAUUCGUUAGAAGAGAUUCAGGGCAUCGAAGCUCAAAGUAAUAUUCUCUGGCAUAUUGAUGUUGAUGACCACAGUCAUUCACCAAAUAAAUUACAGAAAAGCAUUGUUGAGGUACUAUUUCUUUCAGUCUCUCAAUUGGUACAUACAUUGAUUAAUAUCUAAAAUCUCAGCAUUCCUUGAAAUCAAUAUGUAUGCAAGCAAUGUGCAAUAGUGGUCACCGGUAUCGUAUUGAGUGCAUUCCUGGUAAGAUGCCAAAUUCGUUAAGCUACAGUGGAGUAGGAUGCUCAUUGUCAUGUCCACCACUUGAGAAGGAUGAUCAUUAUUACUUACAGACUCGCAUUAUUAUUAUUAUUAUUAUUAUUAUUAUAAGAAAUAAAAGCAGUGGUAUUCAAUUGUUUGAAGAUAAACGAACAAAAACUGGGGAUGAUGCGUCGUUUCCUUGCACAAAUAGUUUCUUACUCAGACUCUGCAGACCAUAGGUUUCUAGUAACCAUAAUACUAGAUGAUGAAUCCUGAAUAUUAAUUAUAAUUUUAUGAUUAAAUCCAAAAAUACAUCCCAACAACACACACCUCUAUAAUGAGGCACGACAAAAGCCUCCGCCAUCGCCGAACGACGUUGCGGCGUGACCCCGCAACACAUAUCAUGGUUAUAAUAGUUGGACGGUAUAUUUUUUGAAUUUAUUAGAAAUAACAUGUAAUGUGAAGUGUCAAAUAUCAUCUUAACCCAAAAAAAUCAUCUCAACAAAGGAGUUAUUUGCUGCAAUUUCAUAGCUUCCCCCACGUGGGAUCAAACCAACUCUUCCCAUUUUUUACAAAAUUUGAUAAGAAAUAAGAAAUCAUGUGAAAAUUAUACAAAAUUUAUUAUUAAUCAUCAAGAUUUAUUGUUGAUUUCAAUAUUGAAUAAUGGCUUAUUUUAUAAUAUAAAUUAUGUUUGAAAUAAAAUUGAUAAAAUUAAAAAAUAAUUAAUGAUGGGAUCAUUUGUUUUGUGGUGGAAAAAUAUUUUUUGUAAAAAUAAAAUUUUAUUUUUUGCUUCAAAUUAGUAUAUUUUUUAUGUUUUAAAAUCGUUUUAACGUGAAGGUAUCAAAAAAAAAUUUUAAAAAUAAAAAUAUAUAUUUUAAAGUAAAGAUGACUUUGAAAAACAAAUGCAUAAUUGAUUUGAAUAUAUUAUUUGAUUAGUCUGAUCUUAGGUUGAGUCUGCUACUUCUACCUAGUUUCGUGGUGCUUUCUCCUUCAAAUGAAUAGAAAGCAUUUCCUUUCACUUUCAAUUUCAUAGAUAACUUCUCUCUCCUAUUGCUGCAAUUUCAUAGCUAACUCUUUGUUAUAUUGCUCCUUGCAUUUUAAAAAGGGCAAUUUGAACAUUUAAAAAACCUAAGAAUUGGAAAAGAAUAAAGAAAAAACAAGUUGUUAUAUUGUGUUCAUUUAAUCGUCAUAUUUUCUUUCUUAAAUGGGCUCUCUUGAUCCCAAGCAACAAGUGUUCAUAAACAAAUGCAAAAAGGACAUCAAACAAUUAAAACAAAUUAAGUGAAUGAAUAGAAAAACUUUGGCGCCGUUGACUGACUACCAAAUUAACCAAUAUUUAACAUUUGGUACAACUCAAAUUAAUUAGGAAUUUGAUUGGGGCUGGGUCAAUGAAGAAUAACAAUUAAACAGAAAUGUUGAACAAUAAAAUUUGACGAGAAAUAGAAAAUCAUGUGCAAAUUAUACAAAAUUUAUUAUUAACCAUCAAGAUUUAUGACUUAUUUUAUAAUAUAAAUUAUAUUUGAAAUAAAAAUGAUAAAAUUAAAAAAUAAUUAAUGAUGGGAUCAUUUGUUUUGUGGUGGAAAAUCAUUUAAAUUUUUUUUUUUGCUUCAAAUUAUUAUAUGAUAACAAAAAUAAAAUUUAAAAAUUUAAAUAUAUUAUUUAAAUAUAUUUUAAAAUAAAAAUCACAUUGAAAAUCAAUUGUAAAAUUGAUUUGAAUAUAUUAUUUGAUUAGUCUGAUCAUAGGUUGAGUCUGCUACUUCUACCUAGUUUCGUGGUGCUUUCUCCUGCAAAUGUAUAGAAAGCAUAUCCGUUCUCCUAUAUAAAGAAUACAGUUAACCUCAAUUCAAUAUCCUUGCUUCUACCUAGUUUCGUGGUGCUUUCUCCUGCAAAUGUAUAGAAAGCAUAUCCGUUCUCCUAUAUAAAGAAUACAGUUAACCUCAAUUCAAUAUCCUUGCUUUAACUCUGAUUGCUGCAAUUUCUCUCUCCGAUUGCUGCAAUUUCAUAGCUAACUCUUCUUUGCUUCUUUCCUGUUUUAAUUUCAUGUCUUUACCAUUAACAAUAAUGUGAAAGCUUUAUUUGUUUCAUGUUUAACUUCAGUUGCUAUUGUCUUAUGCUCCCUCAUUAUUAAGCUUAAACUGUUGUAUCUCUUGCUUGUAUUUGGAAGAGAGUAGAUACCUUAUGCAAUUGCUCCAUCGCUAAUUGAUUGUUCCUCAAAUUCUGCAGCUGCCAUGACAGAGCCAGAGUCUUCUCGAAGUAGACCUGAAGGGACCUAUGAUGUCUUCUUGAGCUUUAGAGGAAAAGAUACUCGCAAGACAUUUACAGAUCAUCUAUAUACUGCCCUAGUCCAAGCAGGAAUCCACACUUUUCGAGAUGAUGAUGAACUUCCUAGAGGAGAAGAAAUCCACGAUCAUCUCCUCAGGGCAAUUCAAGAAUCAAAGAUAUCCAUAGUUGUCUUCUCAAAAGGAUAUGCUUCUUCUAGAUGGUGUCUCAAUGAACUUGUAGAGAUUCUUAAGUGCAAAAAUAGGAAAACGGGUCAGAUUGUUCAACCUAUAUUCUAUAACAUUGAUCCUUCAGAUGUGAGAAAACAGAAUGGCAGUUUUGCAAAAGCAUUUGUUAAACAUGAAGAGCGUUUUGAAGAGAAGUUGGUGAAGGAGUGGAGAAAAGCUCUUGAGGAGGCCGGAAAUCUAUCUGGAUGGAAUCUCAAUGAUAUGGCAAAUGGGUAUGCCUUUUUUCUCUAAGAUUCACUUGCACACAUUUAUGGAGUCAAUAUACUUUACAUUUUUCAAUGUGAAACAAUAAAAAACUUAAUUGACUCGCUAUCAACGACUUGCUUUUGUCUAUGAGCAGGCAUGAAGCAAAAUUUAUCAAAGAGAUUAUCAAGGAUGUGUUGAAUAAAUUAGAUCCCAAGUACUUGUAUGUUCCUGAGCACCUAGUAGGUAUCGAUCGGCUUGCUCACAAUAUUAUUGACUUUCUAAGUACUGCAACAGAUGAUGUCCUCAUUGUGGGCAUACAUGGGAUGCCAGGAAUAGGAAAGACGACUAUAGGAAGAGUUGUAUUUAAUCAACUCUGCUAUGGAUUCGAAGAAAGCUGUUUUCUUUCGAAUAUCAAUGAAACAUCAAAACAAUUUAAUGGUCUUGUUCCUUUACAAAAGCAACUUCUUCACGAUAUUUUCAAACAGGAUGCUGCAAACAUCAAUUGUGUCGAUAGAGGAAAGGUUCUGAUCAAAGAACGACUUUGUCGCCAAAGAGUUCUUGUUGUUGCUGAUGAUGUGGCUCGUCAGGACCAGCUAAAUGCUUUGAUGGGAGAGCGAAGUUGGUUUGGUCCCGGAAGUAGAGUCAUUAUUACAACAAGAGAUUCAAGUGUUCUACUUAAAGCAGAUCAAACAUAUCAGAUCGAAGAAUUGAAACCAGAUGAGUCCCUUCAGCUUUUCAGCUGGCAUGCCUUGAGGGACACCGAGCCAGCAGAAGAUUAUAUUGAGCUUUCGAAGGAUGUAGUUGAUUACUGUGGAGGACUUCCUUUGGCUCUUGAGGUUAUGGGUGCUUGUUUGUCUGGGAAAAACAGAGAUGGUUGGAAAUCUGUAAUUGACAAAUUGAGAAGAAUUCCAAACCACGAUAUUCAAGGAAAGCUUAAAAUAAGUUAUGACUCACUGGACGGUGAAGAACUACAAAAUGCAUUCCUUGAUAUCGCAUGCUUCUUUAUUGAUAGAAAGAAAGAGUACGUCGCAAAAGUGCUAGGAGCCCGUUGCGGUUACAAUCCAGAAGUUGAUUUGGAAACUCUCCGUGGAAGGUCUCUGAUUAAAGUUAAUGCCAUUGGAAAAAUAACCAUGCAUGAUCUAUUACGAGACAUGGGAAGGGAGGUCGUUCGUGAAACGUCUCCAAAAGAACCUGGAAAGAGGACCAGAAUUUGGAAUCAAGAGGAUGCAUGGAAUGUACUUGAGCAGCAGAAGGUACGUAAGAGCUCAAUGCAUACACGAAAGCAUAGUCAUGCGUAUUUUCUAGUCAAACUUAUUACAAAUAAUUGAAUGAAAGUUGUAUUGAUUUUUUUUUAGGGUACGGAUGUUGUAGAGGGUCUUGCACUGGAUGUCAAAGCAUCAGAAGCUAAAUCACUGAGCACAGGAUCAUUUGCAAAAAUGAAACGCUUAAAUUUACUCCAAAUCAAUGGAGUGCAUCUCACCGGAUCCUUCAAACUACUUUCUAGAGAGUUGAUGUUGAUAUGUUGGCUUCAAUGUCCUUUGGUAUAUUUUCCAUCUGAUUUUACCAUUGACAAUCUAGCUGUUCUUGAUAUGCAGUACAGCAACCUCAAAGAACUAUGGAAGGGAAAAAAGGUGUGAAACAUGCAUGUUCAAAAUUUCUCCAUUAUGUAAUUUAUAUUUACAUAUUAUGACCUUUUAUGAUUAAUUCUCAUUAUUUUAUGCUUUAUUAUACAGAUUCUCAAUAGGCUAAAAAUCAUUAAUCUCAGUCAUUCUCAGAACCUUAUUAAAACACCAAACUUGCACAGUUCAAGUCUAAAGAAACUAAAGCUGAAAGGUUGCUCGAGUUUAGUUGAGGUGCAUCAAUCUAUUGGAAAUUUGACGAGCCUCAUUUUCUUGAAUCUGGAGGGAUGUUGGAGGCUAAAGAUUCUCCCUGAAAGCAUUGUCAAUGUAAAGUCUCUUAAACGCUUAAAUAUUUCUGGGUGUUCACAACUUGAGAAAUUGCCAGAACGCAUGGGUGAUAUGGAAUCCUUAAUUGAGCUGCUAGCCGAUGGGAUUGAAAAUAAGCAAUUUCUCUCUUCAAUUGGACAAUUAAAAUAUGUCAGAAGGCUAUCAUUGCGUGGAUACAGUUUCAGCCAGGACUCACCAUCAUGGCUUUCACCGUCAUCUACAUCUUGGCCUCCAUCAAUUUCUUCUUUUAUUUCAGCAAGUGUUUUAUGUUUGAAACGUUUGCUGCCAACAACUUUCAUCGAUUGGAGAUCAGUGAAAAGUCUUGAACUUUCUUAUGUUGGUUUGUCUGAUCGAGUAACUAACUGUGUUGAUUUUAGAGGUUUUUCCUCUCUAGAAGAACUAGAUCUAUCAGGAAACAAAUUCUCUAGCCUGCCUUCUGGGAUCGGCUUCCUUGCCAAGCUAGAGAUGAUGGAUGUUCAGGAAUGCAAAUAUCUUGUAUCAAUCCGAGAUCUUCCCUCAAACUUAGUCUAUUUGUUUGCAGGUGGUUGCAAAUCAUUGGAAAGAGUAAGAAUACCAAUCCAGUCAAAAAAAGAACUAUAUAUAAAUCUACAUGAAAGUCAUUCGUUAGAAGAGAUUCAGGGCAUCGAAGGUCAAAGUAAUAUUUUUUGGAAUAUUCUUGUUGAUGACUGCAUUCCUUCACCAAAUAAAUUACAGAAGAGCGUUGUUGAGGUAAUAUUUCUUUUAGUCUCUCUUUCACACAAAAAUAAACACAUACAAUUGGCACAUGCAUUGAUUAAUGUCUAAAAUCUCAGCAUUCCUUGAAAUCAAUAUAUAUACAGGCAUUCUGCAACGGUUGUUACCGGUAUUUUAUUUACUGCCUUCCUGGUAAGAUGCCAAAUUGGAUGAGCUACAGUGGAGAAGGAUGCCCAUUGUCAUUCCAUAUACCUCCAGUCUUCCAAGGCUUAGUUGUUUGGUUUGUCUGUUCACUUGAGAAGGUUCAUCGUCACUCCAUAUACUUAGACAUAGACAUUAUUAUUAUUAUAAGAAAUAAAAGCAACGGUAUUCAAUUGUUUGAAGAUGAACGAACAAAAUACACAUAUCCAGCACCAAAAACUGGGGGAUGGAUAAGAUACAUAAGUGGAAGUGAAAUGGCAAUGGAAGAUUACUGUGCAGAUGACGAAUUGGAACUAUACAUAUAUUCAAAGCCAAUACGGAUUGCUGUGCGCAACAGUUAUCCAUUCUACCUCCUGCACAUUAAAGAAUGUGGGGUUCAUGUGAUCGCAGGAAAGUCAAAUUCAUUUGAAGAGUCGGAAGUAGAAAGAGAUACAGUGAUGCCAUAUCAUCUGCUUCCUCACCCUCCUUGUGGUUCAAUUACAGCGUCUACACCAAAGCAAUGGAGUGAUUAUUUAUUUCCGAAGCUGCAAAAUCAUAACCUCAAUUUAACGCUUGAUGGUAAGAACAAAUAUUUCAUUUAGUUAUUUUUAUUCUAUUCUAUUUAAUUUAUGAGAUUAAAUAUUAUCUUUAAUUAUUUCAUUAUUAUUAUUUAAUCUAAAAAAUUAAAUAUCAUCUUUAAUAAAAAACAAUUAUUAAAUAUUUAAGGUUUUUUUUGGUAAGAAUACAUAUUUCCUUUAGUUAUUUCUAUUUUAUUCUAUUUAAUUUAAGAGAUUAAAUAUCAUCUUUAAAUAUUACAUUUUUAUUAUUUAAUCUAAAAAAUUAAAUAUUAUCUUUCACAAUAUUUUUUAUUAAAUAUUUAGAGUCUGCUUGGUUUUAUUUUUUUCUUGAUUUUAUGAUACCAUUUUUCUUAUUUAAUAUAAAAAAUAAGUAUUAUCUUUAAUAAUUAGAUUAUCGAAUAUCACUUAAAAAUAAAUUAUAUCUUUAAUAAUUAUUUAAAAAAAACAAAAGGCCAACAAUCACUAACAUAUUUUAUUAAAAUCACUUUAGUUUAUUUAGAAAAUAUUGAAAACUGAUUUUUGUUUUUUACAUUAAAAUAAAAAAUUGAAUAAUGUUUUUAUAUUUUAUUUCAAACUCGAUAUUUUAAAACAAAAAUGAAAAAGAUGUGAUAUUAACCUUUUUUAUUAUAAAGUAAGUUUUUUAAUUAAAAGUGAAGGGAAUUUGUUUGUAAUAACAAAAUGCAUAUACAAUCGUGCACGUUUAACUUUCUUUUCAAAUUUGGAAGUUUUAUUGAAUUUGAUGGUUUUUUAGGGGACAUAUGACAAGAUUAUUUCACAAAGAGAUGCUUGAUUAUUUAAGAGAUGCUUGAAGUUACUCCAAAUCAGUAUGGUAUUUAUGUCUGACGAGUUGAAUUUGAAGAUCAUUUUACAAACUUGUGUCUGACGAGUUGAAUUUGAAGAUCAUUUUACAAACUUGGAAGUUCUAUUGAAUACUCUUUGUAAUCUUUUCCAUCCGAUUUGAAAUUGGACAACCUAAUUAUUAUUAUCCAUGACGUAAUUUAUAUUUUCAAUUUACAAUUUUUGAUGAAUAUUGUUUCCUUUUUUUUUCUCACUUCUCGACGUAUUCUCCAAAAAAUGAAAAUCCUUGAUGCUAGUUAGAAAUAAAUUGGUUUUCUAGGAAGAGAUUAUUGAUUGGAAUAUAGUAUUUGAGUUGGUUCUUCAUGUUUAAUGUUAUAAUUUAAAAUAAUUGAUGAAAAUUACCGAUAUACAGGAAAGUUCUAAAAGCAUCAUUAAUUAGUCUAAUAAGAGUUGUUAGUUUUGGCUAUAAGAUAUUGCUAAGUAUUAUUGCAUGGUUUUUACUAUUUUUUUGCAUUUCUUUUUUUGUAUAUACAACUUUUGUUUUUCUUGCCAGUUUGUCAUUAGCUUCGUGACACCAACACCAAUUAAUAAUAAAUCUUGGACUAUUAUUAAAUAAAAAAAACAUAAAUAUUGUUAAAACACCAAACUUGCAUUGCUCAAACCUAAAGAAACCUAUGACAAUAAUCUAAUUUAGAAAAUAAUUAAUUUAUCCUUGUAGUCUUAGAAAAUAGUAUUUAAUCCUUAUGUUUUCAUAUUCAUCUAUGAUUUAAUGUGUUGAUUGAAAUUGACAAGUGAGUUUACUCACAUAUUGUUACAUUGUUUUUGAGUUCAAAUAGACGUUUGAAAAGGGAGUUUAUCUUCUUGGCAUUGUUCAAAGGAAAGCAAAAGGACAUUCCAAGUGUGAAAGUGUAUUAUUGUCAUAAAGUUUUUCAAACUUCCAAUAUAGAGAGUGAAAUAAAGAGCAAAAGGAAACAUCUUUCUUGUUCCCUUUCCCUUCUUUACAUGGCUUACUGAUCAAUGAAAAAGCAAACACUCAAUUUGAUUUUCAAUCAGUAUGAGAGUGCGAAAGGGAAUUGAAUUCAAAGAUCCCACGAAUGCAUGUUCUCCACAAACUUCCAACAAAUAGGAAUUGCAUCGAUGUUUCCUCGUGAUGUGAAUUUCUUAAACCCACUACCAGAAAUUCGCUAAAUACCAACGGAUUUACCGACGGAAUAUUUUUUGUCGGUAUUUUGAGGUCGAAAUUACCGACGGCCAUUUUCCGUCCGUAAUUCAAUCGGUAAAAACCGACGAAAACUUUUCCGUCCGUAAUUCAGUCGGUACAUACCGACGGAAAAUUUCUGUCGGUAUUUACCGACUGAAUUACGGACGGAAAAGUUUUCGAAUUUAAAAAAAGGCGGGUCGCUGACGUGGAGGUUUUGGCGGGUUAUUUUUUUCCGACGGAAUCGCCGACGGAUUCAAAAACGACUGCCCGUACAGUGCCCGUAAAGUGAUGUGACCGGUUCGCCGUUUAAAUUUCCGACGGACUCACCGAGGGAUUUGAAAUGGCAGAUCCGUACGGUGACAUGUCUAUGUUUCCGUCAGAAUCACCGGCGUAAUAACCGACGGAGUGUCCGUCGGUAAAACCGUCGGAAAAAGUUAAUAUAUGACAGCUCUGCCGACCCUCUCAUCCCCUAUUUCUCCUUCUUCUUCCUCAUCCCAACUCUCCCCAUCUGCAAACAACCAGCCCCCCUCCCCCUCCAAAAAAAAAAUCUUCCUCAUAUCAGCACAACAAGUUAUAUUUCUUGAAGUUUUGUGGUCACAGCAUCCGCGUGUGUUCUGAUUUACUGACGGAUUUUAUCAAUUUUUGUAAGUAAUUAUAUCUUUUUAAAUUUUAACAUUUAAUUAAAUGUCAAUUUUAUUGUUUUUUAAGUAUAUGUAUUUUGUUAGUAGAUGUACAUGUUUUAUUGUUAUUUCUCAAACAAACUUGUAGUAUAUGAAUGUAUAAUUUUGUACCUGUUAUGGUUUGUUUUAGAUUUUGUAAGAUUGUAUUUGUUUGUAAAUUGUUAUUUCUUUAUGGAAUUACCAAAUUACAUGUGCUAUUUUGAAAUAAUUAAUAGCUUGCUUAAUGGGCCCAUUUAAAGUUUUAUCAAUGGUAUUGCGGAGUGGUAAUUUCUGUAAAUGUAUAUUUUUUAAUUCGUAUGGACGUUGAUAAAUGAUAAUGAAUAUUUAAUAUUUAUGAGAAGUUGUGAUUGGUUUGUUGGAUAAUCUCGAGUUAAAGUAAUAUUUGUACAAGUUUAUUUACCUAACUUAGUUAAUUAAUACAUGAUGUCAUCAUAAUUUUAUAGAGGUUCGAUAUAAGUCAUGGAUGAUCGUUCAUGGAUGUAUCGAGAUUCACCCCAAGGAUUGCGGAGGAUGGAUUAUUGUAAUGGGGUUCAGGGUUUUAUUAAUUUCGUAACAUCUAUUCCCAGAAAUUUUACUAGAGGCGGUAUUAGGUGUCCAUGCCGGAAGUGUGAAAAUAAAAAGUAUCUGCAUCCAGAUGUUGUAAUGAUGCAUCUUCUACACAAAGGGUUUAUGGAGAAUUACCAGUGUUGGUAUGCACAUGGAGAAGUAUUUGUUAGCGAGAGUGAGAGGAGAAUGGAAGAAACGGUGGUUGGGUCUACUUCUAGUGCUAGCAACGUGCAUGAAACGGCAAAUGACAACACUAAUCCUUACAGAAAUAUGGUUAUGGAUGCAAUGAGAAUGAAUCAAGGUAAUGGCAGUCAAUGUCCAAUCGUAGAAGAAGAACCUAAUGUAGAUGCAGCUAGGUUUUUUGAUUUGUUGAAAGAUUCUGACGAACCAUUAUGGGAUGGCUGCACGAACCACAGUAAAUUAUCGGCCGUAGCACAGGUGUUCACCAUCAAGUCAGAUCACGGGUUGAGUGAGGCCGGGUAUGACAAGAUUAUUGAAUGGGCAAGAAGCAUUUUACCUGAAGGGAACAGGCUGAAAGAGAACUUCUAUGCUGCGAAGUCCAUGAUGAAACCCCUCGGUUUAGGAUACCAGAAAAUUGACAUGUGCCCUAACUUCUGCAUGUUAAACUACCUUGAUAAUGCUGAGAUGACCGAGUGCAUGACAUGCGGGCAUUCCCGUUAUAAACCUAGAACUGGCAGGGGAAAGACUCUAGUGGCAUAUAAAAAACUUAGAUACUUCCCGAUCACACCUAGACUGCAGAGGUUAUUCAUGUCACCAAGGACUGCUGAGCACAUGACAUGGCACCAAGCACACCAUGCGGUUGAUGGAGUGAUGGUUCAUCCUUCUGACGGCGAAGCGUGGAAACGCUUUAACAGUGUUCAUCCUCACUUUUCAGCUGAAUCAAGGAAUGUGCGUCUUGGGUUGUGUACAGAUGGAUUCAACCCAUUUGGGUCAUUUGCUGCUCCUUAUUCUUGUUGGCCGGUCAUACUCACAGUUUAUAACUUGCCACCGGGAAUGUGUAUGAGGCCUGAGUUCAUCAUACCCGGUCCAAGAAGCCCGGGGCGGAAUAUAGAUGUUUGUCUUCGACCGUUGAUUGAUGAGUUGGUGCAGUUGUGGUCCUCCGGAGCUCUGACUUAUGAUAUAUCGAGGAAACAAAAUUUCCUUAUGAGGGCGGCAUUGAUGUGGACUAUCAAUGAUUUUCCAGCUUAUGGAAUGCUUUCUGGUUGGAGCACGCUUGGGAAACUCGCAUGUCCAUUCUGCAUGGAAAACAACAAGGCAUUCACGCUAGCAAAUGGAGGUAAAGCAUCUUUUUUUGACUGUCACCGUCGCUUCUUGCCACUUCAUCACAGGUACAGAAAGAACAGAAAAGAUUUUUUUGUUGGCAGAGUUGAAAAAGAUGUUGCAUCCACGCGUCUUUCUGGUGAAGAAUUGCAUGAUGUUGUCUCAGAGUACGGUGACAUUGUGUUUGGCCUUCAAUCAGGAAAGCAAAAGUUUCCUGGUUUUGGUUUGACCCAUAAUUGGGUAAAGCGAAGUAUCUUUUUUGAGCUUCCUUAUUGGAAGACCAAUCUGCUUCGCCAUAACCUUGACGUCAUGCACAUCGAAAAGAACAUGUUUGAGAAUAUUUUCAACACCGUCAUGGAUGUGAAGGGGAAGACAAAGGACAACCUCAAGGCUAGAUUGGAUAUAGCUUUAUACUGUAACCAAAAAAAUAUGGAGUUGGUUUAUGAUGAGUCACGGGUUGCAAAACCAAGAGCAAGCUUCGUGUUGGAGAAAAACGCACAACUGCUAGUCUACAAAUGGCUUAAGAGUCUGCGUUUUCCGGAUGGACAUGCAUCGAACAUAUCAAGGCUGGUUAAUAUAGAGGACUGCAGAUUGUAUGGAAUGAAGAGUCAUGACUGCCACGUGUUUAUGCAAACACUCAUCCCAUUAGCUUUUCGUGAUUUGUUGCCAAAGGGAAUAUGGGAUGCACUCACGGAGAUCAGUCAUUUCUUCAGAGAUAUAUGCUCCAGCAAGUUGAAUGUUGAUCAUAUUGAGAGGCUUCAAACGAAUAUCGUCGAGACACUAUGCAAACUUGAGAUGAUAUUCCCUCCAUCAUUUUUUGACUCAAUGGAGCAUCUCCCUAUACAUCUACCGUUCGAGGCAAAAGCUGGAGGACCGGUCCAAUAUAGAUGGAUGUACCCAUUCGAACGGUUAGAUAUUACAGUUGUAAUGUAAUUCAUAUAUUAAAGUAUUUUAUAUGUUUUUCUUAAUUGAAAAUACUUGAUUAAUAUUUCAAUGCAGGUACUUGUUUAAUCUUAAGAAAAAGGUUAAGAACAAGGCGCAUGUUGAGGCUUCGAUAUGUGAGGCCUAUAUUGUUGAGGAGAUCUCAACAUUUAUCUCGUACUAUUUCGAACCUCAUCUGAGAACGAGAAUCAAUCGCGUUCCACGGCAUGAUGAUGGCGGUGAAGUGCCUUCCAGUGGGAACUUGUCAAUAUUCUCCAAUACUGGAUGACCCACACCUAAAAAUGCCGUAAGAGGAAGAUAUUUGUCGGAAAUAGAGUUCAAACAAGCACACAACUAUGUUCUAUUUAACUGUGAUGAGCUGAGACCUUUUUAUUCAGUAAGUUUAUACUAAUUAAACUUUGUUAGUAAUAUACUGUUAAUUAUAUAUUGUAAUAUCAUACACUCAUUAUCACUUGCAGGCAACAUCGUCAAUUUUUGCUCUCCAAUAACUCACAGCUGACUGAAUCCCAGAUCUUUCAAUUACAAGAUGAGAAGUUUGCCACGUGGUUCAGAACACAUGUAAGCACUAUCACAAACUCAUUAUAACUUGCAAAAUUACUGUACAUAUGCAUGUCAUUACGAGAUUCUCGUUCAUUUACUGUUUAUUGAUGUACAUUACAUGCAAGGUUUAUCAAAUGGGAAGGAGUGCACCUAAGUCAUUGUCUUUACUAAGCCUGGGGCCUGAAAGAAAAUGUAAGUGCUACAACGGGUAUUUUUUCAAUGGAUAUGUUUUCCAUACUGAAGAAUACGGGCAAGGAAGAAAGACAUACAACAGCGGUGUUUGUGUUAAGGGAUCCACUAGUAGUGAGUUAGAAGUUGACUACUAUGGUAGAUUAGAAGAGGUCGUCGAACUGCAAUAUCAUAACGAGCAGAAUAUAGUGUUUUUAUUCAAAUGCUAUUGGUAUGACACGACUGACAGAGGAAUCAGAGUUGAUCCGCACUAUGGUCUGGUCGAAAUCAACUCAAAAGCUAGACUCUGCAACAUAAACGAUGUCUUUGUUUUCGCAAAGCAAUGUCAACAAGUUUAUUACACAUACACCCCUUCAUUUAGAAAGGAUCGAUCAAGAGUGGAUUGGUUGUCCGUUUUAAAAACGAAACCCCGGGGUCGUGUCGAGGUUGUUCAGGAUGAGAACGAAGACACAAGUGUGCGAGAUGAAGUCUUUCAAGUUAGUGAGGUGGUUGAACCAUAUCGAGUUGCUCCUUCGAUUGAAUUGGAAGAAAAUUUUCAAAUUUUCGUGUUUUCGAUGAUAGUCUUGUUGAUGUUGACGCAGAUGAGUUAAAUUUUGUUUUGAGCUCUAGCGGACAACCAAAUAUCGAUGAAGAAGAUGAUAUUCAUAUUGAAGAUUGCGAUGAAGGUGAUGACAAUUCAAUUGAUGACGAAGAAGAAGAAAAUUCAGACUAACUACCAAAAUGAAGCCCUAUGUAAAACCCUUUUUUACAUGUAAUUUAGAUUAUGAAUGAUAUAUAUAUUUUGAAACACAAAAUAUUUAUCACUUGAAAUAAUUAGUUGAAAUGCCACAAUUAUGAUGGAUAAUAUGUUUUGUGACAUGAAAUAAUUAUUUGAAAUGCCACCAGAUCACCGACGGCCACACCGACGGCCUUAAGUCCGUCGGCAUUUCACAGAGAGUUCGAAAAUAAUUACUUAAAAUGCCACCAUAUCACCGACGGCCUUAAGUCCGUCGGCAUUUCACAGAGAGUUCGAAAAUAAUUACUUGAAAUGCCACCCAAUUACAGACGGAAACACCGACGGACUAAUUCCGUCGGUGUUUCACAGAGAGUUCAAAAAUAAUUACUUGAAAUGCCACCCAAUUAUAGACGGAAACACCGACGGAAUUAGUCUGUCGGUGUUUCACAGAGAGUUCGAAAAUAAUUACUUGAAAUGCCACCACAUCACCGACGGACACACCGACGAAUUUAAAUACGUCGGUAAGUUGUCGGUGGUUUAAUUUUACCGACAACAUUACCGACGAACUGCACGAAUUUCAAAGGGUUGCGCAUUAAAUGCGCCUCUGACCGCGUAAUAUUGCCGACGGAAUUACCGACGGACAACGAAAAAUAUGGAGGGUCAUUAAAAAUUUUGGUGCGAAAUUCAAAAUUUGCCAACGGAUUUUUAGCACAUCACCGACGGAAUAAAUUAAAAUAAUAAUUAAUUUUAUAUCCGUCGGUGAAGCCGUCGGUAAAACUGCCAUAUAAGUUCAAGUGACCGCCCGUUCAGUUCAUUUUUUCUUCUCCUUCGUUUCUCACCUUAAGCUUUUGAUUUUUUUCCUCUCUAUUCUUCAAAGCUUUCACCUCCAAUCUCUAGUAAGUUUUCUUCAUCAGUUUAAAAGGUUAGUGUUUUCUCAAUUUCAUUUUACUUUAAUAGUUUUUUUUUGCUAUUUUUUUGGGUAUUGUUUUUUGUUUUGGUGUAUUUUUUGUAAUGUAGAUAAAGUCUAUAGUUUUGUUUUUGCAUAAUUCAUUGCUAAAGUAUAUAGUUUUUUUUUUUGAAUUUUUUGAAUAUUUUUUAUUGUUGUAUUGGCAUAAUUAUUAUUAGUUAAUUUGUUGAAUUUUUAUUGUUAAUGUUGAAUUUACCAUAGAAUUAGUAAUUGAAUAUGUUGGAAUAAUUAUUAAUUUUACUUUAUUAUUGCAUGAUUUGUGUUUAAUUUGUUCCAUUUAUUUUGAUUGUUAUUCCAGAGUUUUUUUUUUUAAUUUAUUGUUUUGUUGUAUUGGCAUAAUUAUUGAAUAAUUACUUGAAUUGUAAUUGUUAAUGUUGAAUUUACCGUAGAAUUAGUAAUUGAAUAUGUUGGAAUAAUUAUUAGUUUUACUCUAUUAUUGCAUGCUUUGUGUUUAAUUUUUUCCAUUUAUUUUGAUUGUUAUUCUAGAGUUUUUUUAUUAUUAUUUUGUUGUAUUGGCAUAAUUAUUGAAUAAUUACUUGAAUUGUAAUUGUUAAUGUUGAAUUUACCGUAGAAUUAGUAAUUGAAUAUGUUGGAAUAAUUAUUAGUUUUACUCUAUUAUUGCAUGCUUUGUGUUUAAUUUUUUCCAUUUAUUUUGAUUGUUAUUCUAGAGUUUUUUUAUUAUUAUUUUGUUGUAUUGGCAUAAUUAUUGAAUAAUUACUUGAAUUGUAAUUGUUAAUGUUGAAUUUACCGUAGAAUUAGUAAUUGAAUAUGUUGGAAUAAUUAUUAGUUUUACUCUAUUAUUGCAUGCUUUGUGUUUAAUUUUUUCCAUUUAUUUUGAUUGUUAUUCUAGAGUUUUUUUUUAUUAUUAUUUUGUUGUAUUGGCAUAAUUAUUGAAUAAUUACUUGAAUUGUAAUUCUUAAUGUUGAAUUUACCUUAGAAUUAGUAAUUGAAUAUGUUGGAAUAAUUAGUAUAGAUUGGGUAAAUUGGUUGUGGCUAUUGUUAAUAUGUGCAGGUUUGUGGUUUUGGGUAGUAUCCGUUAUAGGGGAGGUGCUGUCGAAUUUUUUUUUUACAUUUGAAUUUAAUUAUAUAAUUAUCUGUAUCAAAUUGUGUAGAUGCGUAGAAUGAAAACCAGAGCUGGUCGCUUAGGUGCGGUCGCAGCUAGUUCGUCUAGCAGCGAGGAUGAUAUUUCCUUAGGUGCCUCUCAAGAAGAGGCACCUACACCACCUGCGCCGUCAACCGAUGCUGCCUCUUCCAGCGGUACUUCACAGCGUAGAGGCGGUGUGCCUUCGCAACGGAAUCAAUUUACCCGCAAGUACGAGGCACAGUGAAAGGACGACCUUUCAAUGUAAGUUUGUUAAGGUUUUAGUUUUUUUAAAAAAAAAUUACAACAUAAUUUAUCAAGUAAUCACUAUUGAAUUUAUUUCAUUUAUUUUCAGGUUCACAAACAUUGAAGCCGCCCGAGUAAUAUCAUCGGCGUUUAAAUCGUCGAUGGAGAUUCCAUUGUUUCAAUGGAGUCAGAUAUCCAAGCAUCCUGAAUGGAUGCCUCAAAUCAAUGCAUGGUUUAACAGGUUUGAGGUUGGUAUUAAUUUAUAAUUUUCAGCUUAUUAAUAUAAUUGUAAAUAAAUUAUUAUUUUUAUUUAAACUUGUUUAUUUAUACAAAGCACAAAUUCUGCUGGGACAUUGAGCAUAACGCUGUUGUGAGGAGGGUGUGGGAAAAUCACGCGGCAACUAGGUAAGAUCGAAAACAAUACAGGAUUUUUUAGACAAAAUUUUAUGUUUCGAAAUGUAAUUUUUGGUUGCGUGAAGCAGGUUGCGUGAUUUUUGGUAUGAAGCACAGAAAAAGGCAAAAAAAAACUGCGAGGGAUAGGGGUUUCCAAGGCUGGAACGAUGUUGCGGUUUGGAGGGAUUUCAAACCGAUAUACAUCCCGGAAGAUAUAUGGCCGCACUAUCUUGAGCACGUGACGUCUGAGCGGUUCACACGACGCUCACAGUCCGGUGCUGGCAACCGGAAUCGGCCAAUUCAUGGCGGGGUGACAACUCACACUGGCGGCUCCGUUCCGUUUGCUGCACAUGCGAAACGGAUGGUAAGAUUAAUUUAAAUGAAAUAUAUCGUUAAAUUCAGUUGUUGUUAAUAUAUCUUUUUUCAUUAUAGGCUGCGUCUCUUGGAAGUGAGCCGAGCCCGAUGGAGCUGUUUGUGGAGACGCACGUGCGGAGUCAAGACCGCCAGAAGGGGGCGCAACAGUUCGUUGAUAACCGUGCUCAGUAUUUCGUGGUAUGUUUGUUCAACCAUUUUAUUUUGUAAGUUAUUAUGUAAGUUAUUAUGUUUAUUGUAUUGAAUAUGAUUAUUACUUUUUUUAUUUAUUUUCAGGAGACCUACAAUAAUCGGUUGAGGGAGAGAUACGGGGACGAUACUUUGACCCAUCCGGAAUUCGAUCCGGAUUUGUGGAUGGAGGUUGGCUCGUCAGGUGGACCCGAUAAAAAUCGGGUUUACGGGCUCUCCAACACUACGGCCGACAACUUGCGGUCGACCCGUAGUUUUUCAACCGUUGGGAGCUCCCAAUCAAUAUCGAGCUCCCAAUCUAAGGAGUCUGUGGCUUUGCAGCAACUCACCGAGAAAUACGAUAACCUACAAGCGGAGUACGCACAACUCAAAGCGUCUCAUGCACAACAAAGAGCGGAACAAAUAGCGGAGUCUGAGCAAUUCAAAGCGUCUCAAGCACAACAAAAAGCGGAGUAUGAAGCGGCUCAGGAACAACAAAAAGCGGCUUAUGACCAGCUUUACGAAAUGAUUAUGAAAUUGUCAAAUAGCGGAACAUGUGCGCCUAAUCCUUUUUGGUCGUAUAACCACCAGCCUCCGCCAGGAUCUCCUCCUCCUCCUCAAGCUCCAUCAUCUUUAUAUUAAUUUGUAAUCAACAUUAUUUACCUUUAAAACUUCAUUUAUUAUUUUUCUUGAAACAUAUUCAGUUUGUAAUGAAUAUUAUUUAACUUUGUUUUUUUUUAUGUUUAAUAAAAAUUUUAUUUGCAUAAUUGGUUUGUAUAACAAUUAAUUUAUAUAGUUUUAUAUUAUAUAUCCUAAAUAAUUUUUUAAAAACAAAUUAAGAAAAAAACUAUUACCAAGGAUUUCACCGACGGAUGAAUUCGGUCGGUAUUUUAAACUUUCACCGACAGAAUUACCGACGAAAUUAAUCCGUCACCAUUUAACAGUAGCUUCUACCAUUACCGACGAAGUUACAAACGGAAAUAUUCCGUCGGUAUUUCAUACAUUCACCGACCGAUUUAACGACGGAUAUUUUCCGUCGGUAAUUGUAACUUCACCGACGGAAUGAAAAUCCGUCGGUAUAUUUCAAGCGGGAAUCUUUUUUUUUUUGGCGAGCACGUUCCGUCUGUAAAACCAUCGGUAAAUGUUUUUUUUGUUUUUCCGACUGAUAUACUGACGGAAUGGGGAAUCACCGACGAAGGUAAAGCCGGCGGAAGUAUUCCGUCGGUGAUAACGUCGGUAAAAAAAUCACCGACGAACUUCUAAUCACAGACCGACGGAAUUUUUCCGUCGGUAAAACUGUGAAAUCUUGUAGUUUAGAUCGAGGUCCUUAAGUGUGGUUGUUUCAUCAAUUUCACCCUCAAGCUUGUCAAAUGGGUAUACCUUUUUUCUCUAAGAUUCACUUGCACACAUUUAUGGAGUCAUUAUACUUUACAUUUUUCAAUGUGAAACAAUAAAAUACUUAAUUGACUCGCUAUCAAGGACUUGCUUUUGUCUGUGAGCAGGCAUGAAGCAAAAUUUAUCAAAGAGAUUAUCAAGGAUGUGUUGAAUAAAUUAGAUCCCAAGCAAGGGCGGAGGCAUGUCAAAGGCAUGGGUACCCUAUAGCCCAGGUUAAGAUUUUAUCAAUAUUUUUUUACUAGUUUUAUGUAAAACAAAUUCGUAAUUCUUGAUUGAGUUAUCAUAAAAUUCUGAAAAUUUGUGUGUAGCCUUCUAGUAUGAUGCUUUAACUUGGGUUAAAAUUUCAGAAGUUUUGAAAAAAUUCAGAAAUUUGAUGAAAAAUCACAAUUUGACCAGUUUUACAUUAUUGGAUGUAAUUUUCAAUCCGAUCAUCAGAUUGAGCUGAAAUUUUAUGAGAAAUCUUAAAAUAUAUUGAAUAAAAUCUGGUUAAAAUUUUAGGAUGAAUAGAGCUUGGUAGUGCUAAGAAAAAAAAAGACCGUCAAAUAAAAGCAAAACAACUCAUUAAGGGUAAAAUGGUUACUUGCCAUUAAAAAAUAAAACAAAUCAGCUAUUCCUUCCUUUUAUAUGUUGCCGACUGGGCAAAAGCAGAAUAGGAAAAGAAAGAAAAGAAAAGGCGAGAGAGAAAGAGAGAAAAGUAAGGGAAAACAUAAAAAACAAUUCAAGGAAAAAAAUUAAAAAAAGUGAGAGAAUAACCUUGUAAACUUACAAAGUCCAACUUAUAAAACACUAAUCUAAGAAAGAAUCAAGUGAAGGAAGGAGGAAUUGAGAGAGAGAAAAAAUUUAAUUACUUUUUUUUCUAGUUGACAUGAGAUUGUUAUUUUAUUCGGGUUGAGAGGUUGUUAUAAUAUCGAUUCAAAUUCGAAUAUAGAUAAAUUAUAUUUCACAAAACAUUGAAGGAUGUAACUUCAAUAGUGGGUUUAUUUUUACUUUCACUUCAAUUUUAUGUACUUUGAAAUUUAUUUUUAAUAUUUUAAGUAGUGUAUUUGAAUUAAAACUUUACUGUUAAUUUUAAAAAUUCAUGUAUAUGAAUUAAUAAUUUAUUUUAAAAAAAAAUUAUAUAUUUAUUUAAUAGCCUAAAAAUUCCUGACUCCGCCCUUGAUACCAAGUACUUAUAUGUUCCUGAGCACCUAGUAGGUAUGGAUCGGCUUGCUCACAAUAUUUUUGACUUUCUAAGAACAUGUUUGGGAACGUCGUGCAAACCGCGUUUCCAAAAAAUUUAAUUUUUUUUUUGCUAAAAUUUAAUAUGAUUUGUACGUUUUGGAUUGUUUUGAUAUGCUGAUGUCAAAAAUAAUUUUUAAAAAAUAAAAAAAAUCAUUAGCAUGCAUUUCGGCACAAAAAGUUAUUUGAAAAGCAACCGCUACCACACUGUCAAGCACCCUCUAAGUACUGCAACAGAUGAUGUACGCAUUGUGGGCAAACAUGGGAUGCCAGGAAUAGGAAAGACGACUAUAGCAAAAUUUGUAUUUAAUCAACUCUGCUAUGGAUUCGACGAAAGCUGUUUUCUUUCUAAUAUCAAUGAAACACCAAAACAAUUUAAUGGUCUUGUUCCUUUACAAAAGCAACUUCUUCACGAUAUUUUCACACAGGAUGCUGCAAACAUCAAUUGUCAUGAUAGAGGAAAGGUUAUGAUCAAAGAACGACUUCGUCACAAAAGAGUUCUUGUUGUUGCUGAUGAUGUGGCUCCUCAAGACCAGCUAAAAGCUUUGAUGGGAGAGCGAAGUUGGUUUGGUCCCGGAAGUAGAGUCAUUAUUACAACAAGAGAUUCAAAUCUUCUUCAUAAAGCAAUGUUAGAGAAUAAUAUAAAUCAUAUCCUGGGAUCUCACCUAACAGCUUAAGCUUUUGGGUUGAGAUGGUUCUUUGACAUGAUAUCAGAGUCUUGAUGACCAAGUGGUCACGAGUUCGAAUCUCACCAACCCAUUUAUUUGAUAAAAAUUAAGCACAAGGUAAUAUGGAUUUGUGCAAGUUUCAAGCCCAAAGGGCUUUCACUUGAGGGGUGUGCUAGAGAAUAAUAUAAAUCAUAUCCUGGGACCUCACUUAACAGCUUAAGUAUUGGGUUAAAAUGAUUCUUUAACAGCAGAUCAAACAUAUCGGAUCAAAGAAUUGACAUGAGAUCAAUCCCUUCGGCUUUUCAGCUGGCAUGCCUUUAAGGACACCAAGCUAGAAGAAGAUUAUAUUGAGCUUUCGAAGGAUGCAGUUGAUUACUGUGGAGGACUUCCUUUAGCUCUUGAGGUUAUAGGAGCUUGUCUGUACGGGAAAAACAAAGAUAGAUGGAAAAAUGAAAUUUACAACUUGAGCAGAAUUCCAGAAAACAAUAUUCAAGGAAAGCUUCUAAUAAGUUUUGACGCACUGGAUGGUGAACUACAAAAUGCGUUCCUUGAUAUUGCAUGCUUCUUUACUGAUAUAGAGAAAGAAUACGUCGCAAAAGUGCAUUAUUUGAUAUUGCAUGCUUCUUUAUUGGUAUAGAGAAAGAAUACGUCUACAAUCCAGAAGUUGUUUUGGAAACUCUCCGUGAAAGGUCUCUGAUUAAAGUAUUUAGAGGGAUAGUAACCAUGCAUGAUCUAUUUUUUUAUAUAUAGUAAACGAGAGAAUUAUAUAUUAUAAGCAGCCCUAUCAAGUAGGUGGAGCUGAAAGAGAGAUAGAAUACGAUGGGAAUAUAAAAGAAAAGAAAAGACCAAAGCAAUGAGGGACCUAAUUAGUUAGUCCAGUUCAUAAUAUAUUCAGAAUUUCUAAAAAGAUCUGAGCCUGUAUAGCUAAAAUUUCUAACUGAGGACUUCAACCAGAAGGCCAAACGGUGAAAAGUGAGAUAAAAAAUCAUAUCCCAAUCCAGAGCCUUGGAUUUGAAGAUUAAGCGGUUGCGCGCUAUCCAAAUUGACCAGUAUAGACCUUUACAGAGAAGGGUAAUAGCACGUCGCUGAAAUUUCCAUUGAUCAAGCCAGACCAUUCCUGUAGAUUUUGAUUUGGGUCUUUGUGCAGAUAGCCUGAGCACCCGAACCAGUUCAAGAAACAACCCAAAAGAGACCAUGUUAUAGGACACCAAUGGAAAAGAUGAUUAAUUGUCUCAGUUUCCUUGCAGCAGAAUGGACAAUGAGAUUCCUCAUAAUUAAUGAUUCUCCUCUCAGCUAAAAAGCUUCUUGUACUCAGACUGCCAUAAAGAAGAAGCCAUAUGAACACAUCCACUUUUGGUGGGGCAUAACCAUUCCAUAGCAGAACAGGGGAGUGAUUAUUUUCAGUGGCCGAUAGACUAUUAAAGAAGAGGCAACCUAAUUGAACUGAGUACAUGCCAGAGCUGUGGAAUUUUCAUAACUUGUCGUCUGCACCCUCUGAGAAAACGAGACAACACUGCACCUCUACAAUCAAGCUCUCCCUCAUGCAGUUCUCACGGGGCCGGAGGAGUCUUCUCCAGGUUGAGAGAUGUAUCUGUCAAAUUAUAUAUAUCUGCAAGGCUGGUUUUUUGCUGGAGGGAAAGGUUAUAAAGUCUGGGGUAUAAGAGCUAGAGAGUGGUUGCAGAGCCAAGCCAAGAGUCGGUCCAAAACCAAAUGUUCCUCUCGUCACCCACCUUGAACCUGACAUUUGCAUGUAAGAGAUUGGCUAUGUUUUGUGUUGAAAAGUUCGUCAAAACAAUGCCAUGCCAAGUUGGAGAUAAAGAACCUGUAAACGCAGGGAUACCAUUCAUAAAGUGAGGUCGGUAUUUUAGAAGAAUGUGUUCUUGCCAGCCUCCUGCCACUCCCUUAUCUAGAUUCCAUAGCCAUUUAAAUAGUAGAGCCAAAUUUUUGUUGUAUAUGGAUCCCAGCCCGAGACCACCAAAAGAUUUACUCUUUAUUACUCUGUGCCAAGCCACCUUAAAAAUGCCAUGAGAUGUUGAGGUUCCCUUCCAGAGAAAAGACCGGGUUAGAGAAGAGAUGACUUUAAUAAUAUGCUUUGGCAUAGCAAAAACAGACAUGUAUAACAAAGGAAGAGAGCUCAAGACUGAUUUAAUUAGACAUGUCAUUCCCGCCAUUCUAAAAAAAUUCCCUUUCCAUGUGCUUAGCUUUGCUCUGAUUGUGGACAACAGUGGUUUCCAAGUAGAGAGUCUGCUGGGAUUGGCUCCAAGAGGUAGUCCAAGGUACCUAACCGGGAAAGUAUCACUACGACAGAAAACUGAGUUCGCCAGGCUAGAGGUGUAGUCAUUGUCCAAGUUGAUACCUAUUAGUGAGCUUUUAUAGAAAUUAACUUUCAGUUCAGAAAUGAUAUCAAACCAACGAAGAAUCCUCUUGGCAUGUAGAAGAGAGGGAAAAUCAUUUGGCAGGAAAAUCAGAGAGUCAUCGGCAUAUUGUAAAUGAGUUAUAUAAUGUCCUGGAGCAGUCUGUAAGCCUUUGAAGUAACCUGAAGCGGAUGCCCUAUUGAAUAAAACUGUCAACCCCUGAACUGCGAUGUCAAAUAGGAAAGGAGAGAGAGGGUCCCCUUGCCUGAGACCCCUCUUCAGACUAAAUUCUCUACUGGGGGAACUGUUUAUCAAGAUGGCUAAUUUAGAAGUGGAUAAGCAUUCAAAGAUCAGCUUCCUCCAGGGUGAGCCAAAACCCAUGUAUCCGAUGCUUGUGUCAAUAUGUUCCCACAAAAUUGAGUCAAAGGCUUUAUGGAAAUAUACCUUCAGUAAAAGGCCAUGCUCCUUCUUGCUACGCACACCAUAGACAACCUCAUUUACUAUCAUGAACUUGUCUAAAAUCUGACGCCUAGCAAUGAAUGCAGACUGGUUAACACUGAUUACAUCUAUCAGGACACAUCGAAGCCUAGAGGACAGUAGCUUUGCCACUAUUUUAUAUAACCCGUAAAUCAAGCUUAUCGAACAAAAAUGGGAGAAUCUGCUCGGCCCCUUUGUUUUUAGAAUCAGAGUUACAAAAGAAGAGCUGAUACCCUUUGGUAGUUUACUAGUUCUGAAAAAAAAAUUUAACCAGCAUAAAAACCUCUGAGCUGAUGAUAUUCCAUACCUUUUUAUAGAAGGAGAAGGUGAAACCAUCGGGGCCAAGGGCUUUGGAACCAUCACAGUCCCAUAUAGCUUGCUUCACUUCUUCCAUUGAAGGUGGUCUUUCUAGCGAAAUUGACUUGGCUUCUGAAAUUUUGGAGAGCCUCCCAUUUCAAUUCUUUUACACGUUGGUUUGCGAAACAAGGAUGAGAAGAAGUUGACAGCGCCUUUUUUGAUAUCAUUUGAGGAGACUAGGUGACUGCCAUUAUGUUCAAUCUUACUAAUGUAGUAACGGCCUUUCCUUAGACUUGCUGAUAUGUGAAAAAAAACAAGUGUUCUUAUCCCCCAUUUUACACGAGUUUUGACGAGAUUUUUGCCUCCAGAUAUCUUCAACCCUUCUGUUAACCUCCCAUAGUUCAGAGUUCAGCUCCUGGAACUUUGUUUUUUCGGUCUUAGACAAGGGACGCACUUCGCUUAAGUUUUCAAGUGUUGUAAUGGAGUUCUGGAUGUCUGCAAGUUUUAGAUUCUGAUCCCUGAAAGUGAAUUUAUUCCACUGUUCUUUAAUCAUUGGGCAAGUCACCCAAAACAAUUUGAUCAUUUCAAAAAAAAAAAGUGGGUCGUCUUCCAAAUGACUUGUUUCUUGAUUUCAACAUCUCUCUCUCUCUUGUUUUUGAAGUUUUCAAAGACUAAAAAAAAACAAAAGUUCGUUUUGUAGCUACUUUUCUUUAUAAAUUUAAUACGCAAAGCCAAGAGAAAACAAAAUUUUCUAAUAUCUUUGCAUAGUAAAUAUUAUAACCCAAUUUUUUACCCUUUUAUUUUAAUUAUUAAUAUUACUAUUAUUAUUAUUAUUUACUGAAAAAAUGAAAAAAAAUGAAAAAAUGAUGAUGAAAAACAAAUAAAAAUGAAAUAAAUGAAGAAUGAAUUAAAAUUUGGGGUUAACGGCAACAUGAUUGGAAGUUUUGGGGUUUAAUUAAACUUUGGAUUAGUUUUAUUGACAAAAUCAAGAGCUUAAUUGAUGAAUUGAUAAGUUUGGGACUUAAUUGGACUUGGAUUUAAUUUAAUUAAUGAAAUCAGAGACUUAAUUGAGAAAUACCAAAGUUUGGGGUUAAUUGGGGGGGACCAUUGCAACAGAUUAAAGUCCAAGGACUAACUUGUAAAAGACGCCGAAAUGCAGGGGUCCAAUUACAAUUUAACUAGGGGUUUAAUUACAAAACUUUCAAAACUUCAAGUGCCAAAAUGCAUAUAGCUGUGAAUACCAAAACGGCACCGUUUCCAGUUGCUGUUCAUCUUCCUCACCUGACCGAAACAGACGCCCACCGCCUAACAGCCAUUACUUCUGCAAUUAUCACACUUUAUGGUUGGAAGAAACGGCAUUGUUUUCUCUGGCUAUAAAAGCCAAAGAACGACUGAGCAGAGGCGGGGGGGCGAGCGAAAAAAAAACCGGGAGGAGAAUAUCAAGAGAGAGGAGAAAAAAAAGCCAGAAUCAAGGGAGGGGAAAAGGAAACAGAGGUCGAAACCCAGGGGAGAGCAAGAAAAAAACACAAACAAAAAAAGAAGAACAACACAGAAAAAGACCAUUAACACCCAGCAUCACCAUCGGCUUCCUCUUCUCCAGCGCCAGAAGAAAUAAGGCCAGAAGAACGCAAGGAAAGGGUGCCCUGCCAAGCUGUUACGAUUCAAGUUACCAUAGAAUUAAGGUUACUAGCUUACAAAUAAAGAAGUACUGUUUCCAGUACAGAACAGAAUUGCUAGCCUUCAAGCAAAGAAUUGCAGCAUCUGCUGAAUGUGGAAAACGUUAUGCCUUCACCACCGCUGUAUCAUCUGCUUCCUCAUCUCCAUUAUGGUUCAAUUACAGCAUCUAUACCUAAGCAAUGGAGUGACUUUUUAUUUGCGAAGCUGCAAGAACAUUGCCUCAAUUUAUGGAUUUUUUGUAAGAAUACAUAUUUCCUUUAGUUAUUUCUAUUUUAUUAAAUAGUAUCUUUAAUUAUUUUAUUAUUAUUAUUUAAUAUAAAAAUUAAAUAUCAUCUUUAAUAAAAAAAAUAUUAAAUAUUUAAUGCUUUUUGGUAAGAAUACAUAUUUCCUUUAGUUAUUUCUAUUUUAUUCUAUUUAAUUUAAGAGAUUAAAUAUCAUCUUUAAUUAUUACAUUUUUCUUAUUUAAUUUAAAAAAUUAAAUAUUAUCUUUAACAAUAUUUUUUAUUAAAUAUUUAGAUUAUGCUUGGUUUUAUUUUUUUUUCUUGAUUUUAUGAUAAUAGUUUUCUUAUUUAAUAUAAAAAAUAAAUAUUAUCUUUAAUAAUUAGAUCUAUCGAAUAUCACUUAAAAAAUAAAUUAUAACUUUAAUAAUUAUUUUUUGAAAAACAAAAAGCCAACAGUCACUAACAUAUUUUAUUAAAAUCACUUUAGUUAUUUAGAAAAUAUUGAAAAUUGAUUUUUGUUGUUUUACAUUAAAAUAAAAAAAAUUGAAUAAUGUUUUUAUAUUUUAUUUCAAACUCAUAUUUUAAAACAAAAAUGAAAAAUAUGUGAUAUUAACCUUUUUUAUUAUAAAGUAAGCUUUUCAAUUAAAAGUGAUGGGAAUUUUUUCGUGAUAACAAAAUGCAUGUACAAUCAUGCACAUUUAAUUAAAAGUGAUGGGAAGUUCUAUUGAAUUUGAUGGUUUUUUAAGGUACAGAAGACUUGGAUUGACGUGAGAGUACAAGAUCAUUUUACAUAGAGAUGCUUGAAGUUGCUCCAAAUCAGUAUGAUACUUCCAUCUGACAUGUAUUUGUUGGCUUGAAGAUCAUUUUCCAAGCUUGGAAGUUUUAUUCAAUGCUCUUUGAAAUCUUUUCCAUCCGCUUUUAUAUUGGACAACCUCGUUGUUAAUUAUUAUCCAUGAUGUAAUUUAUAUUUUCAAGUUACAAAUUUUGAUGAAUAUUGUUUUAUUUUUUUCCUCACUUCAAAAGAUGAAAAUCCUUGAUGUUAGUUAGAAAUAAAUUGGUUUUCUAGGAAGAGAUUAUUGAUUGGGAUAUAGUGUUUAAGUUGGUUCUUCAUCAUUUAAUGUUAUAAUUUAAAAUAAUUGAUGAAAAUUACUGAUACACAGGAAAGUUCUGAGAGCAUCUUCUUUUUUUUUUUUUUUUUUUUUUUUUUUUUUUUUGAUUCACGUGGGGUGUCCGGGCCAGCUUGCGCGCACCACGACUAUUCCCCACGGCCCACUGGACAUCCUGCAAGCCCAGGGGCAGGUAAGGCACCGCGGGGGUGACAGGCGUGCACAUAGAGGGUCGAACCCGGGACGGGGGCGGAACAAGUCACACGGUUGACCACAGCAGCUAGGCCAUCAAGUGCGAGAGCAUCUUUAAUUAGUCUAAUAAGUGAAGUGUUGUUAGUUUUGACUAUAAUAUCUAAUUCAGCUUGGAUAUCAACAACAUGUUGCAUCCAGUCUUAUAGCCAAUGUUUUUUUUCUUGGUCCUUGAAACUUUUACCUAUUUUCGUUUUGGUCACAAAACUAUAUUUUUCUUCAUUUACAUCCUUGAAAGUUGUAUUAACAUGGUUCCAUUUGUUGUUAUUUACUUCGAUUUUCAUGUUCUCGCAUUUAUCAUAUGUCUUUAAAUAUCCCUGCAUUGAAUUAGAAAUCAAUUUUUUUAACCCUCCUAACCCAGUUACUAUUAAGGUUAGUUCUCCACCCGCAUGUUCUUCCUUCUCAAGCGUGGCAUCGGUCUUUAGCUACACUUACUUAGUCCCUGUUAUUUAUAAAGCUUAUAAUUUAGUUCAAGUCAAUAAAAGCUUAGCAGUUUGAUACAAAAGCUCAUGGUCAAGUUAAAAAUGUUUAUUUUGGAUGUAAUAAAUAUUCAUAUUGGAACAUAAUAUUCAUCUCUCAAAUCCAUAAUCCAAUUGAUCAUAUAAAUAAUUGUUUUAAUUAAUAACUAUAAGAAAUAAAACCCCUUACUAGUUGAUUACUUAAAUAAAAAAACUAAUGAUUGUCGAGCAAAGUAAAUAAAUUACUUAACCAGGGUUAUGAUAGGAGUUAUUUGCCAAGAUUGAAUUACAUAUAUAACAGUUUAUAAAUCAUGUUAUAAUAUCUAUCAACAUAUAUAAAACUCGACAAGAUAGAAGACUUUGUUUAAUCAAUCUUAGGUUAAGACAAGAUUAAAUCUAGUUUUAUUAUGAUAUAUUUUAGAGUGCGGUUGAAUUGCACUUCUUAAAAUAUUUUUGAAUUGUUCUGAUAUCAAAAAAUAUUUUUGAAUUGUUGAUUUGAGUUGAUUCUUUAUCAUGUUAUGAUUUAAGAUAAUUAAUGAAAACUAAUAAUACAUAGGAAAUUUUUGAAAGCAUCCUUAAUUAGUUUAAUAAGUAAAAUCUUGUUAGUUUUGGCUAUAAGAUCUUGCGAUGUAUUUAUUGCAUGGUUUUUACUAUUUUUAGUUUUUUAUAUAUAUAUAUAUACAACUUUUGUUUUUCUUGCCAGUUUGUCAUUAGCUUUAUGACACUAGCACCAAUUACUAAUAAAUCUAGGGCUAUUAUUAAAUAAAGAAAAAACAUAAACAUUAUUAAAACACCAAACUUGCAUAGUUACCUAGGGAAACCAUAUGACAAUAAUCUAAUUUAGAAAAUAAUUAAUUUGUCCUUGUAGUCUUAGAAAAUAGUCUUUAAUCCUUGUGUUUUCAUAUUCAUUAAUUAUCUAAUGUGUUUCAUCUAUGAUUUAAUGUGUUGAUUGAAAUUGACAAGUGAGUUUACUCAUAUUUUUUAAAACAUGUUUUUUAAAUUAGAAAAUAUCUAAUUGAAAUGAAGAUUAAAAUAAAGAAGACCAAAAAGAGAAAGACUCGUAAAGAUUUUAUGUUAGUGCUCAACAUGUUCUUGGAUUACCUUUGUCUUUCGUGUCAAGUAAAAUUCUAGUAUAUAACACUAAAUUAAGAAAAACAAGAGGUGAAUUAAAGGUCUAACUAAAUGAAAUACAAGUACAAAGACUACAUCAACAUUUGAUAUACUCAACUCUCAACAAAUUGAAAUUUCAAGGUUAUUCGUAUCUGAAAACACAAUCUCAAUAAUCUUAAUGUGAGGAGUGAUUUCUUUCCUAUUAUUUUUUUCUGUGUUUUAAAAAUAUUUUAAAAAAAUUAAAUUUUUUUUCUUCAAAUUAAAUUUUUUUUUAUAUUUUCAAAUAUUUUGAUAUACUGAUAAAAAAUAAUUUUUAAAAAAUAAAAUAUAUUAUUUUAAUAAAUUUCCGAUUAAAACAUAUUUUAAAAAAACCAAUAUAACAUUUUCAAACACCUCCAAAAAAUCUGAAAAACUUGCUACCACCACUCAUAAUUCAUCCCCAGCAGGCAUAUUGAUUCUGUUAAAAAUGAACCUAUUCAGCUUAGGCAUCAACAACAUGUUGCAUCCACAGUCUGUUAAGAAAUCUAUUAUAGCUCCUUUGUUGUUUUACUGCUCAUGUCACUGCUCAUAGCCAGUGUUUUAUUUCUUGGUCCUUGAAAUAUUCACCUAUAUUUUUUGGUUUUGGUCAUCAAAUUUUUUUUUUUCAAUUACAUCCUUGCAAGUUCUAUUAGCAUGGUCGAUAACACACUCAUAGCAGUUCGAUACAAUGGCUCAUUGUUGAGCAAAGUAAAUAAAUUACUUAACCAGGGUUACCAAAGGAGUUAUUUGCCAAGAUUGAAUUACAUAACAGUUUAUAAAUUUAGUUUUACGGUGUUUUUAAAAGUACAGAUUGAUAUCAAUAUGAUAUGUCAAUGUCGAAAAUAAAUUUUUUAAAAAUAUUAUUUUAAUAUAUUUUCAAUCAAAAAUGUAUUUUGAGAAGCAAUUUCAACCACGCUACCAAUUAGAUUAAAAAUUUUCUAAUAUAUGGAUUGAUAUCUAUCACACAUGGACAUCACGGCGCCCUUAAAAUUUUUUAUGGAAAGAAUGGAUUUCUGACAUCCUGUUUUUUUAUGGAAAAUGUCUUGUUUUAAGGAGUCGCCACCUAGUAUUAUGGUCACUACAAACCUUAACUGGUCAACAGAGAUUCUAUGGUUCGGGGUUGGUUACGUAAAAGGGAAGAUAUUAUCACCCCUUAAACGCCCUGCCUGAGGCAGACUACAUUACUGACUUUGUCUUAAAUUGCUAAGCGUUUUAUUAGUUUAUGCCAUGAUAAUUUGCUUAUAAUAUUCCUGACUCUAGCGCUAGUAAAUAUUCAACUACGGAUACUUCCAACUCUUGCGUUGGUAAAUAUUAUGUAGCUAUAAAAUAAAUUUAGAUCAAUAUUUUUAUUUAUGACUCUAGCAUCAAUGAAUAAAGAAAUAAAAUAAAUUUAUUUUUACGCAUGCACAUAUUUUUUAUUUUUUAGCUAAAUAAAAUAAAAAUACAAUAAAAUAAAAACAAAUUUUAAUCAGUAUUUUUAUUCUUGACUCUGGCAUCAAUGAAUAAACCAAUAAAAUAAAUUUAUAUUAUUUUUAUUCAUGCAUACAUAUUUUUUUUAUUUUUUUAUUUUUUUAAUUUUUGGACUGGUCCAGCUCAGCUUAUGUGAGCUAGCCAGCCCGGCCUAGACACUGGCCCAAGCCUCUUUCUUGCUUGGUCUUCCUCUCCUCGACCAGCCUGGUCUGCUGGAGGAAAGUAAGUGAAAUGAAUUUGAAAAGUGGGGAAGAGGAAGAACUUACCUGGUCUGCUGGAGGCGAAGGCGCGCGGUUGUUGAUCGACCAGCCUCUUUCUUGCUUUCCCUUCCUCUAGUCUUUUCUUUCUUGUUCUCUAGCUCUUCUCCGUGUUUGUUUGCCUGGCUUGCUCUCUGAUUUAGGAGACGGAGGCGUGAUGGAUGACCGGCCAAAGCUCUGCUUCGGUUCCUUUGUACGCUCCUGUGUCGUCCUCUUGUUCUUCCUCUGUUUUUUGUUCUUUUUCGUUCGUCCCCCUGUUCUUCGUGAAUUGUUCUGGGUUUUUUCUUGCUGGUUCUCGGCUCCCCUGUAUGUGUUUCCAGUGUCUUCGUUCUCCUAUUUCUGGGUUUCUCCUCUUUUGCUGGUUCUGCCUUUUUUUUCUCCCCCUCUCUGUUUUAUGUUUGUGGUCUUCCCUGUUUCCCCAGUCCAGUGCCUCCCCUAUUUUCUUCUUUUUUUGUUUUCUUCUUCCUCUACUCGGUUCUGCUCUUUUUUCUCCAAUUCUCUCCUGUGACCUUUCGUUCUCUGCCUUUUAUAGCUAGAGAACAAUGCUGUUUCUUCCAACCAUUGAUUGCAGGUGUAAUGGUGGCGGUGGGCGUCCAUUGAAGAAGAUGAACAACACAUCCCCACAGACGGCGCCAUUUUGAUGUUAAUGAUUAUUUGCAUUUUGGCCCUGAUUAAAAGUUUUGUAAUUAAGCCCCCUAGUUAAAUUAUAAUUGGACCCCUGCAUUUCGGAGCAUUUUAUAAGUUAGUUCUUUGACUUUAAUCUGUUGCAAUUGUGCUCCCAAUUAACCCCAAACUUUGAUAUUUCUUCAAUUAAGUCUCUGAUUUCAUUAAUUAAAUUAAUUCCAAGCUCAAUUAAGUCUCAAAACUUAUCAAUUCUCUAAUUAAGCCCUUGAUUUGAUUAAUUAAACUAGUCAAGAGUUUAAUUAAAUCUUUAAACUUCUAAUCAUGUUGUCAUUAACCCAAAUUUUAAUUCAUUCUUUAUUUUUUUUUAUUUUUACUUGUUUUUCAUCAUUUUGUUUUAUCAUUUUCAGUAAAUAAAAUAAUAAUAAUAAUUAAAAUAAAUAGAUCAAAAAUUGAAUUAUGAGAAUAUCCAUGACACUCUCUAGUUAGUUUUGAGAAUUUUAAAUCCAAACAAGUGAAUUUAUAUGCAUGCUUGUACAGCUUGAUUUUCUCUUUAAUUUAAUCAACAAUAAUUUCUUAUCUUCAAUAUAGAUUUGGGUUUAUCAUUCGGGUAAGACAAACCCUAGUAUUUUAAAAUACUAUGGCAAAAAGGUUUCAUGGAUCAAGACAAUAGUAUCAUUCAAAUGUUAGCAAUAGAAUAAAUUUUACAUAUUUUUCAAGUUUACGUAGAAUAGUAGUGGAAUAAUUCUUUUAAUAUUUAAAAAUUAAAAUAUAUUAUGUAACUGUUUUGUAUAAAUUCUACACUAAAGUUAGCAAAUAAUAACACAAGAAAGGACCAAAGUUAAUUACAAUAAUUUUAUUUUUUUUAAAUGGAGCCACAGUACGAGGAAAUCUCUUCACUUAUCAAUGAAAUAUUACUUCUCCUGUAAAUGAAUAGAAAUAAUUUCAUUGAUUAAUGAUUAUUUGGAAGAAGAAAGCGUAUCCCUUCUCACUUUUACUAUUCAGCUUGCUGCAAUUUCAGAGCUUCUCACAAAUGGUGGGAUCCAACCAAUUUCAUAACUCAUGUUGCAUCCUUAGUCUUACAGAUAAAGCUAAUGGUUUUUUUUUCUUUCUAAAUUGAAUAUCAAUAUUUUUUGUUGGCAUCAAAUAAUUUAAAAUAAGAAUUACAUAGCAGAGGGUUUAAGCAAAUAUUAAAAGAGAAGGUUUUGUGUAAUUAUUAGAUAAUUGAAAUCAUCACUAAUCUCCUUUUUUUCAUUUUAUUUUUUAUUACCCUUAGCAUGAUAUCCAGAGAGAAGAACGGUUCAAGACAGAACAAUAAUGGAGCGGAAUCAAAAUCUUUGUUAGCAGUAACCUGUUCGACCCAGUUGUUGUGGAAACUUUGCAAAGGAUCUGCAGGAAGAAAAAUGAAAUUUGGUAGUAUUUGUGUGUCUUAUAUAAUUGUGUUCGUUCAUACACCCAAUUAUUUCAUACAAGAGAAAAUUCUUUCUCUGAAUAGAAAAAACUAUUAUUUUUAAAAUAAAAACAACUAAAUAGAAAAAUUAUUAUUUUUAAAUAGAAAAACUAGAAACGCCUGAUAAUAUUGAAUAAAAAAUAAAAUAGAAAAAUUAUUCUUUUCAAGUAGAAAAAAUUAUAAAAAUUUAAUAAUAGUGAAUAGAAAUAAAUAUAUUUAUUAUCCCAAAAGUUCUUACAUCAAAAUCUCAUUUAUCAUAUUUUAUAUAUAUCUAUAAAAAAAACUAAUUUGUCACAAGAACUGAGUCUAUGUGCUAAAACCAGAAAAACAAAUGUAUAAAAAAAAACAAAUUCCACGCAAGGCUUUGAUUAACAGAGUAACCGAUGGACAUUUUUUAGUAAAUUAAUUUCAAUUCAAAAUGACAAAAUAAGGUUUGUCGGUUUUCAUACAUAAAUUUUUAUAUUGUUAACGUAGGAACUGUUUUGCGUCCCUGACUUGGCGGAUUUGAUUUGAAUAUAUUAUUUGAUUAGUCUAUUCCUGCCUUGCAUUGACUGGAAAUAAGAUUUGAAUAUAUUAUUUAAUUUACACAGGAAAUUUCUACUUGCAAAGAAUUGAACUGUCAUUGACUUCUUGCAAAGUAUUCGCAAGAAAGGCAGACAAGUGUGUCCACUACUUCUGCAAAUGAAUAGAAAGCAUAUCAUUUCUCUUUCUCCUAUUAAAGAAUACAAUUACAAACCUCAAUUCAAUAUCCAUGCUUUACUCGGCAGCUAACUUCUCAUUACCAUUGCUGCCAUUUCAUAGCUAACUCUUUGUUAUAUUUAACUUACUCUUCUUUGCUUCUCUCUCGUUUUAAUUUCAUGUCUUGCUCAUAACGACAAUUUGAAAGCCUUACGUUCAGAUAGAUAAUCAUUGAUCAGUUCCUCCUAUAUCAUUCUAUUUAAUUUAGAAAUGCAGAAGGAAAAACGCAAGCAAUCCAAAGAUGAAGAAAACGAUUCAUCCUCGCGAAAGAGAAGAAAAGCUGACCUCAGUAAGCCUGUCAGUUUUGUCUCCACAGGUAAGGCUGAUGCGUGUGUCUAUAUAUAUAUGUGUAGGAACUGCUGAUUCGAUUUGAAUAUGUUAUUUGAUUAGUCUGAUCAUAGGAUAGGUUGAGUCUACUACUACUUCUGCCUUGCAUUGACUCGAAAUUCCUGGUGUUUUCUCCUGCAAAUGAAUAGAAAUCACAUCCUUUCUCCUUGUAGGAACUCUUUGUUAUAUUGUUCCAUUGGUAAUUGAUAGUGCCUUAAGUUCUGCAGCUGCCAUGACAGAGCCAGAAUCUUCUCGAUCUAGACCAGAAGGGGCCUAUGAUGUCUUCUUGAGUUUUAGAGGAGAAGACACUCGCAAGACAUUUACAGAUCAUCUAUAUACUGCCUUGGUCCAAGCCGGAAUCCACACUUUUCGAGAUGAUGAUGAACUUCCUAGAGGAGAAGAAAUCUCCGAUCAUCUCCUCAGGGCAGUUCAGGAAUCAAAGAUAUCCAUAGUUGUCUUCUCAAAAGGAUAUGCUUCUUCUAGAUGGUGUCUCAAUGAACUUGUAGCGAUUCUGAAGUGCAAAAGGAAGAAACGUGGUCAGAUUGCUCUUCCUAUAUUCUAUGACAUUGAUCCUUCAGAUGUGAGAAAACAGAAUGGCAGUUUUGCAGAAGCAUUUGUUAAACAUGAAGAGCGUUUUGAAGAGAAGUUGGUGAAGGAGUGGAGAAAAGCUCUUGAGGAGGCUGGAAAUCUAUCUGGAUGGAAUCUCAAUGAUAUGGCAAAUGGGUAUGCCUUUUUUCCAAAUUUAUGGAGUCAAUAUACUUUACAUUUUUCAAUGUGAAACAAUAAAAUACUUAAUUGACUCGCUAUCAAUGACUGGCUUUUGUCUAUGAGCAGGCAUGAAGCAAAAUUUAUCAAAGAGAUUAUCAAGGUUGUGUUGAAUAAAUUGGAACCCAAGUACUUAUAUGUUCCUGAGCACCUAGUAGGUAUGCAUCAGCUUGCUCGCAAUAUUUUUGACUUUCUAAGUACUGCAACAGAUGAUGUACGCAUUGUGGGCAUACAUGGGAUGCCAGGAAUAGGAAAGACGACUAUAGCAGAAGUUGUAUUUAAUCAACUCUGCAAUGGAUUCGAGGGAAGCUGUUUUCUUUCGGAUAUAAAUGAAAGAUCAAAACAAUUUAAUGGUGGUCUUGUUGAUUUACAAAAGCAACUUCUUCAUGAUAUUUUAAAUCAAUAUGUUGCAAACAUCAAUAGUGUUGAUGGAGGAAAGGUUCUGAUCAAAGAACGACUUCGUCGCAAAAGAGUUCUUCUUGUUGCUGAUGAUUUGGCUCACCUGGACCAGCGAAAUGCUUUGAUGGGAGAUCGAAGUUGGUUUGGUCCUGGAAGUAGAGUAAUUAUUACAACAAGAGAUUCAAGUUUACUUCGUGAAGCAGAUCAAACAUAUCAGAUCGAAGAACUGGAACCAGAUGAGGCCCUUCAGCUUUUCAGCUGGCAUGCCUUUAAGGACACCAAGCCAACAGAAGAUUAUAUUGAGCUUUCGAAGGAUGUAGUUGAUUACUGUGGGGGACUUCCUUUGGCUCUUGAGGUUAUUGGUGCUUGUCUGUCCGGGAAAAACAGAGAUGGUUGGAAAUCUGUAAUUGACAAAUUGAAAAGAAUUCCAAACCACGAUAUUCAAGGAAAGCUUAGAAUAAGUUAUGACUCACUGGACGGUGAAGAACUAAAAAAUGCAUUCCUUGAUAUCGCAUGCUUCUUUAUUGAUAGAAGGAAAGAGUACGUCGCAAAACUGCUAGAAGCCCGUUGCGGUUACAAUCCAGAAGUUGAUUUGCAAACUCUCCAUGAAAGGUCUCUGAUUAAAGUAUUGGGAGAGACGGUAACCAUGCAUGAUCUAUUACGAGACAUGGGAAGGGAGGUCGUUCGUGAAUCGUCUCCAAAAGAACCUGGAAAGAGGACCAGAAUUUGGAAUCAAGGGGAUGCAUGGAAUGUGCUUGAGCAGCAGAAGGUAAGAGCUCAAAGCAUACACGAAAGCAUGGUCAAUGUUGUAUUUUCUAGUCAUACUUAUUACAAAUAAUCGUAUGAAAGUUGUAUUGAUUUUUUUCAGGGUACGGAAGUUGUAGAGGGUCUUAAACUGGAUGUCAGAGCAUCAGAAGCUAAAUCACUGAUCACAGGAUCAUUUGCAAAAAUGAAAUGCUUAAAUUUACUCCAAAUCAAUGGAGCACAUCUCACCGGAUCCUUCAAACACCUUUCUAAAGUGUUGAUGUGGAUUUGUUGGCAUGAUUGUCCUUUGAAAUAUUUUCCAUCUGAUUUUACCUUGGACAAUCUAGCUGUUCUUGAUAUGCAGUACAGUAACCUCAAAGAACUAUGGAAGGGAAAAAAGGUGUGAAACAUGCUAUAAUCCCCAAAAUUUAUCUAGUAUGUAAUUUAUAUUUACAUGUUAUGACUUUCUAUGAUUAAUUUUUAUUAUUUUGCACUAUAUCAUACAGAUUCUCAACAGACUAAAAAUCUUUAAUCUCAGUUAUUCUCAGAACCUUAUUAAAACACCAAACUUGCACAGUUCAAGUCUAGAGAAACUAAAGCUGAAAGGUUGCUCGAGUUUAGUUGAGGUGCAUCAAUCAAUUGGAAAUUUGACGAGCCUCGUUUUCUUGAAUCUGGAGGGAUGUUGUAGUCUGACGAUUCUCCCUGAAAGCGUUGGCAAUGUAAAGUCUCUUGAAACUCUGAAUAUUUCUGGGUGUUCACAACUUGGAAAAUUGGCAGAACACAUGCGUGAUAUGGAAUCCUUAACUGAGCUGCUAGCCGAUGGGAUUGAAAAUGAGCAAUUUCUCUCUUCAAUUGGACAAUUAAAGCAUGUCAGAAGGUUAUCAUUGCGUCAAAACAGUUCGGCUCCACCAAGUUCUUCUUUGAUUUCAGCAGGUGUUUUGAAUUGGAAACGUUGGCUGCCAACACCUUUCAUUGAAUGGAUAUCAGUGAAACGUCUUGAGCUUUCAAAUGGUGGUUUGUCUGAUCGCGUAACUAGUUGUGUUGAUUUCAGUGGUUUGUCCGCUCUAGAAUUUUUGGAUCUAACUGGAAACAAAUUCUCUAGCCUGCCUUCUGGGAUCGGCUUCCUUCCCAAGCUACAGGUCUUGUGUGUUCAGGCAUGCGAAUAUCUUGUAUCAAUCCCAGAUCUUCCCUCAAGUUUACGUUGUUUGGGUGCAACUCAUUGCAAAUCAUUGGAAAGAGUGAGAAUACCAAUCGAGUCAAAAAAAGGACUAUAUAUAACUCUACAUGAAAGUCAUUCGUUAGAAGAGAUUCAGGGCAUCGAAGAUCUAAGUAAUAGUUUCUGGUAUAUUAACGUUUAUGGCCGCAGUCAUUCACCAAAUAAAUUACAAAAGAAUAUUGUUGAGGUACUAUUUCUUUCGGUCUCUGUUGCACAAAAAUAAACACACAUACAUUGAUUAAUAUCUAAAAUCUCAGUAUUCCUUGAAAUCAAUAUGUAUACAGGCAAUGUGCAACGGUGGUCACCGGUAUUGUAUUUUCUCCAUUCCUGGUGAGAUGCCAAAUUGGUUGAGCUACAGUGGAGAAGGAUGCCCAUUGUCAUUCCAUAUACCUCCAGUCUGCCAAGGCUUAGUUGUUUGGUUUGUCCGUCCACUUGAGAAGGAUGAUCAUUAUUACUUACGGUCUGACACUAUUAUUAUUAUUAUAAGAAAUAAAAGCAAUGGUAUUCAAUUGUUUGAAGAUAUACGAACACCACAAACUGCCAUACCAAAUAUUGGGGGAUGGAUAAGAUACAUAAGUAGAAGUGAAAUGGCAAUGGAAGAUUACUGUGGAGAUGACGAAUGGAAGAUUACUGUGGAGGUGCGCACCGGUCAUUCAUUCGAACCCGUACACGUUAAAGAAUGUGGGGUCCAUGUGAUCGCAGGGAAGUUAGAUUCAUUUGAAGAGUCGGCAGUGGAAAGAGAUACAGUGAUGUCUUCAUCACCGCUGUAUCAUCUGCUUCCUCAUCCCCAUUAUGGUUCAAUUACAGCGUCUACACCAAAGCAAUGGAGUGACUAUUUAUGUGCGAAGCUGCAUAAAUAUAACCUCAGUUUAGCUCUUAAAAGUAAGAACAAAUAUUUCAUUUAGUUAUUUCUAUUUUGUUAUAUUUAAUUUAAGAGAUUAAAUAUUAUCUUUAAUUAUUUUAUUUUUCUUAUUUAAUCUAAAAAAUUAAAUAUUAUCUUUAAUAAUAUUUGUUAUUAAAUAUUUAAAGUCUGUUCGGUAAGAAUACAUAUUUCCUUUAGUUAUUUCUAUUUUAUUCUAUUUAAUUUAAGAGAUUAAAUAUCAUCUUUAAUUAUUACAUUUUCCUUAUUUAAUCUAAAAAAUUAAAUAUUAUCUUUAACAAUAUUUUUUAUUAAAUAUUUAGAGUAUGCUUGGUUUUAUUUUUUUUCUUGAUUUUAUGAUAAUAUUUUUCUUAUUUAAUAUAAAAAAUAAAUAUUAUCUUUAAUAAUUAGAUCUAUCCAAUAUCACUUAAAAAAUAAAUUAUAACUUUAAUAAUUAUUUUUUGGAAAAAUAAAGGCCAACAAUCACUAACAUAUUUUAUUAAAAUCACUUUAGUUUAUUUAGAAAAUAUUGAAAAUUGAUUUUUGUUUUUUUACAUUAAAAUAAAAAAUUGAAUAAUGUUUUUAUAUUUUAUUUCAUACUCGAUAUUUUAAAAAUAAAAUGAAAAGGAUGUGAUAUUAACCUUUUUUUAUUAUAAAGUAAGUUUUUUAAAUUAAAAGGGAAGGGGAUUUGUUCAUAAUAACAAAAUACAUGUACAAUCAUGCACGUUUAACUUUAUUUCCAAACUUGAAAGUUCUAUUGAAUUUGAUGGCUUUUUAAGGUACAGAAGACUUGGAUUGACGUGAUAGUACAAGAUCAUUUUACAUAUAGAUGCUUGAAGUUGCUUCAAAUCAGUACGAUACUUCCAUCGGACAUGUUGACAUGUAUUUGUUGGCUUCAAGAUCAUUUUCCAAGCUUGGAAGUUUUAUUGAAUGCUCUUUGAAAUCUUUUACAUCCGCUUUUAUACUGGACAACCUAGUUGUUAAUUAUUAUUUAUGAAGUAAUUUAUAUUUUCAAGUUACAAAUUUUGAUGAAUAAUGUUUCAUUUUUUACCUCACUUCAAAAGAUGAAAAUCCUUGAUGUUAGUUAGAAAUAAAUUGGUUUUCUAGGAAGAGAUUAUUGAUUGGGAUAUUGUAUUUGAUUUGGUUCUUCAUCAUUUAAUGUUAUAAUUUAAAAUAAUUGAUGAAUUGAUGAAAGUUAUGAGAGCAUCCUUAAUUAGUCUAAUAAGUAAAGUGUUGUUAGUUUUGGCUAUAAGAUCUUGCUAUGUAUUAUUGCAUGGUUUUUACUAUUUUUUGGCGUUUUUCUUUUUGUAUAUACAACUUUAACAAAACCGAAACUAAAGGUCCAGGAUCAUUGUUAUGUCUUCUUCGCUUGCUGAGGUUUGGCCUGAUUUUUAGUUGCUGCACAAUCUUCUACGUGAUCAACGGAUCUCAAUUCAAUACACCCCCUCAACCGAAUGGGCAACUCUUGCACAUGAAGGUUGGUCCGUAGAUGAUUAAACCGUGCAACAGUCAGAGGUUUAGUCAACAAAUCUGCGAGCUGAUCACGUGUGGACACGAAGGAGACAUGAAGUUUCUGCUGCACAACUUGAUCUCGUAAGAAAUGAAAGUCAAUUUCAAUGUGUUUCGUACGAGCAUGGAACUUUGGAUUAGAUGAGAGAUAAGUUGCACCAAUAUUAUCGCACCAAAGAGUUGGACAACGUUGGAGAGGCAUUUUGAGUUAUUGCAACAAAGAUUAAAGCCAUUGCAUUUCACCAAAGGGCUGCUGCGUGCCACUGUUUGUUGUUGUUUGCAGCUCUAGCUAAUUAAAUUGGAUCCAUGAAAGAUACAAUAUGCUCCUACACUUCGCCGGUCAUCAUUGUCACCAGCCCAAUCGGCGUCACUAAAUCCUUGUAAAGUAUGAUCAGACUGAUGAGUAAUAUGUAAACCAUAAUUUACAGUGUAUUUGAGAUAACGAAGUAUACGUUUCACUGCCUGCCAGAGAACAUCUUUGGGCUGAUGCAUGAACUUGCUCACCUUGUGAACUGCAAACGCAAUGUCAGGUUGUGUAAAACCGAGAUAGUGUAAGGCACUGACUGUACUUCGAUAUAAAUAAGGGUCGUCGAAAUCAAUACCCUCAAAUUUGGAGAGUGUGCAGGUUGUGGACAUUGGUGUGCUGCAAGGUUUUACCUUAUGUAGCUUGAGUCUUCGUAACAAGUUAAUUACAUAUUUUCGUUGAGUCAGAAUCAGAUCACCACCAUCAUGCAGAGUUUCAACUCUGAGAAAAUAUGAUGACGGUCCCAAAUCUUUGACAGGGAAGGCACGUCCAAGGUAAGAAAUUAAUUUGUUGACUUCCUCAAAGUGAGAACCCGUGACAAUUAUGUCAUCAACAUAUAUAAGUAUCAGCAGCUGGAAACUUGCAGUCUGUAGAAUGUAAAGUGAAGGAUCUGAUUUUGAGCCUACAAAACCAUAUUGAAGCAAUUGAUCUAUCAAUCGAGAAAACCAAGAACGGGGAGCUUGACGAAGACCAUACAAACUUUUCUUUAAGCGGCAUAUACGAGUGGGAAAAUCUAGAUGAAUAUACACUUGAAGUUGACACAUAUAUACCUCUUCAUCUAGCAGUCCAUGAAGAAAGGCAUUUUGAAUGUCUAGUUGCCGAAUACACCAACACUGGGAGAGAGUGAUAGAUAACACUAGCCGAAUGGUUCCUUGUUUAAUGACGGGGCUAAAGGUUUCCAGAAAAUCAACACCAUGUUGUUGAUGAUAGCCUUUAGCUACCAGCCGCGCCUUGUACCGCUCCACAAUGCCAUUAGCAUGGGUCGUGAUACGGUAAACCCAUUUAUUUCCAACAAGAUUGAUGUUUGAUUUAGCUGGUACAAGAUCCCAAGUAUUUUUUUGUAAAAAAGUAGUAAAUUCCAUGUUCAUUGCUUCCCUCCAUUUGUGGUCUUUUGAAGCAUCAGUAAAAGAUGUUGGCAAGAUUGUGCAAGAAGUGCAUAAGGCAAUGGGUAUUUGAUGAACCCAACAUAUGGUUGCUUUGGUUUGAGAGAGUUUGUCUGAGAUCUGGUAGUCAUUUUUCUUGAUAUGUUGGAAGGAGCAAGUGCAUCAGCAAAAGAUGUAUGAACCGCAUGUAGUGCUGGAGUUGGAACCUCAUUUGAAAUAACAUUUGUAAUAACAAUAGCUGGAAUGAGAUCAGAUUCAUGUGGAGAGACAUGAUUGGCAUUUGUAACAUCACCUGCAAGAAGAGUUAGGGAAUUCGAAACACUUGGUUGUAAAUUGGCUGGUAAGGUGAUAGCAGUGGACUCGGGAACUAAGGACACAGAUUGGGGAGAUUUGUAAGGAAAGAAAAGUUCAUCAAAUAUGACAUGUCGAGACACAAAGAUUUUGCCAGUAGACAAAUCGAGACACUUAUACCCCUGAUGUGAGAGACUGUAGCCAAUAAAAAUACAUGUUUUCGAUCUGUAAUCAAAUUUAUGUUUGUUAUAAGGACGUAAAUUUGGCCAACAAGCACAACCAAACACACGCAUAAAGUUAUAAUUCUGUUUUUUAUGGUAAGCCUUUUCAAAAAGAGAGAAAUGAUUUAAAAUUUUAGUGGGAAGACGAUUAAUUAUAUAAACAACCGUUAAAAAUGCAUCCUCCCAGUAUGGUUUUGGAAGAUUAGCAUAAGCCAAUAAUGCUAGACCCAUUUCAACAAUUUGACGAUGUCUUCUUUCAACAGCUCCCAUUUGCUCAUGUGUGUACGGGCAAGCUAGAAGAUGUUGAAUACCAUAUUUGGAAAAAUAUGUAUUUAAUCUAUGAUACUCACCUUCCCAAUCAGUUUGAAUGACCUUAAUUUUGGUAUUAAAAUGGUGUUCAACAUACGUUUGAAAAUGUAAGAAAAUAUUUUCAACAUCGGAUUUUUGCUUAAGAGGAAAUAACCAAAUAUAUUUUGUGAAAGCAUCCAAGAAACAAACAUAAUAGCAAGAGCCGUAGCUGGAAAUCACGGAACUAGGCCCCAAACAUCUGAAUAAUUGAGUUCCAAGGGCUUAGUAACAUGAGGUACAGAAACGGAAAAAGGUAAAUUAUGGCUUUUUGCCAUCUCACAUUCAGGACAUAUCUUGUGUCUUUUAUUGGAAUGAAAGGAAAGAUUAUUUGAGCAGAUAACAUGAUUGACAGUGUUGUAAGAGGCGUGCCCAAGAUGACAAUGCCAAUCUGAGAUUGAAACACGAACACCAACAAGAGCUUUGGGAUAUAAAUGCUGAAGAGGCUGUGAAAAAUAGUAGAGACCAUCUUUGACGACACCCUUAUGCAGGGUGUUUCCCGAGUAAUCCUUGAUCAAAAAACAGGAAGCAUGAAACUCAAAAUAAACAAAAUUAUCUUCAAGGAAUUUUUUUUUAUAGAAAUAAGAUUUUUUGUAAUUUGAGGGACAACUAAUAUUUGGUCAAGGAUAAAAGAUUUAGAGUGUGCAGAUAAAGAUGUCUUGCCUAAAUGAGUUAUGUGCAAACUUGUGCCAUCUCCUACUUGAAUCUGAUCAUUUCCAGCAUACUCUUCACUACGAACAUUAAGGUUGUUGAAGUUAUUAGUCAAAUGGUGCGUAGCUCCAGUGUCGGCAUGCCAUUCUUGCUCCAAUGAGUGCUGAAUGUGUUGGUUGGAGGCAAUGUUGGCUUGAGGAUUUGGUUGAAAAGGUUGAGGAAGAAACUGACUGUCAAAUCUCUUAAAGCAUCGAGCCGCAGUAUGGCCAGGUUUAUCACAGAGCUGACACCAAUGAUUAGUGUAGUUGUUAUUUGGACGAGAAGCAGUUUGGAAAUUACCUCUACCAUGAAAGGAGGGAUGUACACGCCCCCUGCCUCGGAAGGUAAAAUUGUUGUUGCGGACACGGGAUCUAGAAAAGGAUUGUUGCUUGAUAGCAACAUUAGCUGAUGGUAUGGAAGACAGGAGAGCUUGCUGAUGAUGCUACACACGUGCCUCACAAAUGAGCAACAUAGAGUACACCUCUUCUAAGGUGACAUUUUCUUUAAUUGAAAUGGUGGUGAUAAGAAAAUCAUACUCAGGUCCUAGACCAGUGAGUAGGUGAAAAUUUCAUCUCAUUUGAGUGCCUGACCUGCCAUAGCUAGUUCUUUAGAGAGCUUUUUCACAUACAAGAAAUAUUUUGUAACAGACUAGGUAGUUUUAGGAGCAGUAGCAAGCGUAGUGCACUGUGCUACUUGCAUGAGUAUAUCAUCAAUAAGAGACGCAUUAAUACAACUGAGAAGAAAUAUUGAAUUGAGAUCUGUUGAUCACGUAGAAGAUUGUGCAGCAACUAAAAAUCAGGCCAAACCUCAGCAAGCGAAGAAGACAUAACAAUAAUCUUGGACCUUUAGUUUCGGUUCUGUUAAAUGCCUUGAUUUACGUCUUCAGAUUCUACUUUUAAAUUUUGUAUAGCAAAUUAGUAGGAGUGAUUUACUCACAGUUGUAUUAUAAAAUAUUUAGACUCUGUACACAACAAACAAUCGAAAUAAGAAAACAAUUCUACCUCAUCUGUCUCUGUUAAAUUCUACAUGGUAUCAGAGCCAACAAUUUACGUCCUCUCAUAAAGAUUCUUCUCUGUCCAUUACUUUCAUCUCUUCCUUCUAAACUCCUUUCUCAGAUUCCUCUUAGCUACCAUGGCCGCCUCUCCCCAUUCUUCCCUUACUUCUAACAACACUUUACCUGUCUUCAAUCCUUCUUCCAGCAUCAAUAUCACCAAACUUACUGGCACCAAUUUUCUAAAUUGGAAAGCGACCAUGCUUCCCUAUCUCAAAGGUCAAAAAGUGUUUGGCUAUGUUGAUGGCAUUAUUAAAAUGUCUGCAAAGGAAAUUCCUCACGGUGAUAGCACCAUGCAAUCAAACCCAGCCUUUGAUAUAUGGGAAACCCAUCACAAUCUUCUACUUGAUCAACGAAUCUCAAUUCAAUAGUUUUGAGUUCAAAUAGACGUUUAAAAAGGGAGUUUUUUUCAUGAAUGCAACCCUUCAUGUAUUCAAUAUGAAUGAUGGGAGAUUUUAAUGUCUCGUGAAUGCAUUCAUUUAUAUAUGGAUGAUUUUGCAAAGAAUUGGUUGGUAAAAAACUUAAUUUCGAUAUAUAAAAACUGAAGAGAGAACAAUAAAUAGAUAAGAAUUGGUAUGAAAAAAAUAAUUUGUAUGUGUGUAUCGACUACAUUUCAUGUGUUGUAUCUUGAAAACACAAUCUCAAUAAUCUUAAUGUGAGGAGUGAUUUCGCUUUGCCGUACUGUUUAUCUUCUUGGCAUUGUUCAAAGGAACCCAAGGGGCGUGGCGUGAUGGCAAAGAGUUUGAGAUCUGCACAGCAGGUCUCGAGUUCGAGUCAGGCGUGCACCUCUUGUAAGAGCCUGGGACAGCCGGGGUUUUACUCGCUCAUCUGGGCUCACAAAGUGCGCUUUCCGGGGGGUGGGGUUUCCUUAAAUCCAAAAAAAAUUCUUGGCAUUGUUCAAAGGAACGCAAAAAGACAUUCCAAGCGUGAAAGUGUAUUAUUGUAAUAAAGUUUUUCAAACUUCCAAUAUAGAGAGUGAAAUAAAGAACUAUUAUUGUCAUAAAUUCUCUAAGUGCAUCAGUUCCACAAAUCGCUAGCAUGUAAUUCACCGGAUCUAUUGCAAACAAUUCCCUCAUAUGUCUAAAUUCCAAACAAACCAACCACCACCAUAACAUAGGAAAUCAGAGACAGAUUCAAUAUCUCCUUUUCUUGGACAUUCAACAGAAGAUUAAAAAUGAAGUAAUAAAACAUUAUAAGUUCCAAAAAUCCGCAAAAAAAAAAAAAAAAUUCCUGAAAACAAUACCUGAAUACCAUGGAACAGUAAUCCUUCCAUCUGAAAUCCACAGAUUGAUGUGGAGGCGUAGACUUUGAUCCUUCCGGUGGAAACCUCGUCCAGAACUUUUCUUUAGGAUCAAAAUCACUGUGUCUUAGUUCCCUCAUUAUUGCAUCAUGCUUCCCCACAGAAUGACUACCAAAAAAGAGAGGAAACAAACUAUUAAUCCAAACUCAUAUAAAAUCCCACCAAAGAAACCCCAUAUUGACCAGUAAGAGAGUACCUGAUACCCAGUUGAAGAUUAAGCAUCAAACCAUAAUUCUUGAGCCCUUUCGAAAUCGUUUGUCCUUGUUUCUUAUUAACCUCACCAUCAACAGAACUACAAGGACUUCUACCUCGCUGCAGCUGCUGCUGCACAUUACCCUCACAUCCGCCUCCAUUAUCAUCAUUACCAUCUCUAUAAAACAUAGAAGCCUCCACAUUAUCAACAAUAUCACAAGUAAUAUCACCAGCCUCCCCAUCCAACUCCCAAAUACAAAUCUGAGGAAAAUUCCCAUCCACUGGUGACCUCUUCCUCCCUCCCCCAACCCCAACUACUGGAUCCAAUGCCACCCCUUUAAAAUCCUCUCCACCACCACCAAGAACUCUCCCAUUCCCAUUCCCACUACCAAAUGUAAACAUUCCUUUCCCUUUAGGCACCCCAUUUUCCUAGUACCCUUAAUACCUCUUCCCAUUAGCCCAAACCAAUACCCCUUUCCCAGAUAUCACCCCAUGUUUCCACUCACCUACAUGCUCAUUCCCAUUACAGCACCUAUACUUCCCUUCCCCAUCUUGCAAAUUAAACUUCCACAAACCUUGAUAAACAUCCCCAUUGGCGUACCUAUACUUCCCUUCCCCAUCUUGCAAAUUAAACUUCCACAAACCUUGAUAAACAUCCCCAUUGGCGUACCUUACCAAAGCCUUGACAAACCUUGACUUGGAGUGACAAAAACUCAUUUGCACAACUUAUCCAUUAUGUAAUUUAUAUUUUCAAGUUACAAUUUUUGACGAGCCUCGAGUUUAGUUGAGGUGUAUCAAUCUGUUGGCUAUUUGACGAGCCUUGGUUACUUGAAUCUGAAGGGAUGUUGGAGGCUAAAAAUCCUUCCACGAAGCAUUUGUGAUCUGAAGUCUCUUGAAACUUUGAAUAUUUCAGGGUGUUUAGGACUAGAGAAGUUGCCGUAUUGCAUAGGUGAUAUGGAAUCCUUAACUAAGGUGAUGGUGGAUAGAAUUGAAAAUGAGCAAGUUCUCUCUUCAAUAGGACAAUUAAAGCAUGUCAGAAAGAUAUCAUUGUGUGGAAACACUUUUUAUCAGAACUCAUCGUCAUUUACAUUUUGGCAUCCACCAAUUUCUUCUUUGAUUUCAGCAAGUGCUUUAUAUUGGAAACGUUUAAUGCCAAAAGCUUUCAUGGAUUGGAGAUUAGUGAAAAGUCUUGAACUUUCCGAUGAUGGUUUGUCUGAUCGCGCAACUAACUGUUUUGAUUUUAGAGGUUUGUCCUGUCUAGAAGAAUCGGAUCUAUCACAAAAUAAAUUCUCUAGCCUGCCUUCUGGGAUCGACUUCCUUCCCAAGCUAGGGACCUUAAGUGUUGUUGGAUGCGACAAUCUUGUAUCAAUCUCAUAUCUUCCCUCAAAUUUAUACCAUUUGAAUGCACUUUAUUGCAAAUCAUUGAAAAGAGUAAGAAUACCAAACCAGUCAAAAGAAGAACUACUUAUAGAUCUAAAUGUUUGUCCUUUAUUAGAAGAGAUUCAGGACAUCGAAGGUCCCAAUAAUAUUUUCUGGUCUAUUUAUGUUGAUUUCCCUAGGGAUUCAUCAAAUAAUUUUCAGAAAAGCCUUGUUGAGGUACUAUUUGUGUCUCUCUUGCACCAAAAUAAACACACACAUUUGAUUAAUUUUUAAAAUCUCAGCAUUACUUGAAAUCAAUAUAUAUUUAUAAAAGCAUUGUGCGUCGAUGGUUACCAGUAUUGUAUUUAUGACAUUCCUGGUGAGAUGCCAAAUUGGUUGAGCUACAUCAUUUGUUCCUAUAUUUUCCUUGUGACUUAAUAAGAGCGUCUACACCUGAGCAAUGAAGUAAGUAUUUAUUUCCGAAGCUGCAAAAACAUAAUCUUGAUUUAAUGCUUUUUGGUAAGAAUAAAUAUUUCAUUUAGUUAUUAUUAUUUUAUUUCAUUUCAUUUAAAACAAAAAUUAUCUUUAAUUAUUUAAUUUUUCUUAUUUAAUUUUAAAAAAUAAAUAUCAUCUUUAAUAAUAUUUUUUUUAUUAAAUAUUUAGAGUAUGUUUGAUUUUAUUGUUUAUUUUUUUAUUUUAUGAUAAUAUUUUUAUUAUUAAAUUUAAAAAAUUAAAUGUUAUCUUUAAUAAUUAGAUCUAUCCAAUCUCACUUAAUUAAAUCGUUAUUUUAUUGCUAGCAACUUAUGAGUCUUUUAAGCCAAAAGAAUUGUAGGAAGAGCUAAAAUUAGCAAGGAAUAUUUAGAGUCUAUUUGAUUUUAUUGUUUAUUCUUCGAUUUCAUGGUAAAAAUUUUAAAUUUUGAAAAACAUAAAUUGAAGACUUAUAUGUUUUGAACUUUUUUGUUUUAAAAAAAAAACCAACAGUCACUAACAUAAUUUCUUAAAAUCACUUUAGUUUAUUUGAAAAAUAUUGAAAACUGAUUUUUUGUUUUUUUACAUUAAAAACAAAAAUUGAACAAUCUUUUUAUAUUUUACUUCAAAUAUGGUAUUUUAAAACAAAAAUGAAAACGAUGUGAAAUUAACCAUUUUAAUUAUAAAGUAAGUUUCUUAAUUAAAAAUGAAGGUGAGUUAAUUUGUAAUAACAUGAAUUUUGCUGGUUUUUCAUGGAACGCAAUAAGUAUUGGACCUUUCAGAUUUCUUUCUGACAACUUAUCCAUGAUGUAAUUUAUAUUUUCAAGUUACAACUUUUGACUAAUACUUUUUCAUUCUUUUAUCACUUCUCAAUAUUCUCAACAAAAAGAUGAAAACCCUUGAUAUUAGUUAGAAAUAAAUUGGUUUUCCAGGAAGAUAUUAUUGAUUGGCAUACGGUAUUUGAGUUGGUUCUGCACUGUGUUUGGUAUUGCAGUAGCUGUUCUAGUUGAGGUUUGAAAAAAGUUAUUUUAUAAAAAGUAUUUUUAGUUGAGGUUGGUUUGGAAAAAUAUAUGUUUGGUUAAAAUUGUGGUUGAAAUUGAGGUUGAACAAAACGUAGUUUAAUGUGUUUGGUUAAGAAUGCUUUUGAAAUUGAGGUUAUAAAAUAAUUUUAAAAAAUAUAUAUUAAUAUUUAUGGUUUUUAAUUUAAAUAUUGUAGAUUUAACUCUUGCUCUUACAUCAUGAAAUAAAUAAUACUUUAUAUAAAAUAUUUUUUAUUGUUCCAUUAAAUUAUCUACAAUUCCAUUACGUAUAAAAUACAUCCGACAAGGACUACAUCUUUCACAAAUUUCUUAAGAGUGCAAUAACAUCAGGUAAAAUAUAAUCAGGAACAAAAUUGAGAUUGCAAUCAAAUUCUGCAAAUGCUACGUCAUCAAGCGAUCUUCGUUUAAUUUAUGUAGUGUCAUUGAAUAAUGUUUAACACUAGUUUUUCAAAUAAAAUACAAUUAAAAAUAUAAAAUAUUUUUUUAUUUUAUUGGGUCGGACCGGUUCAAUGUAUUUUUAGCUUUGAACCGGACCGGUCCGGCCGGAACAGUGGAGGCAUGCUCCACUGUUCAUUGAAGAAAACCCAUGAUCAAUGGAGCAUGGCUCCACUGUUCAUGGGUAAAUUCUCAGCACAAGAAGCAACAAAGAGCUGCUUCUUGUAAACCUGCGGCACACCCUCAUAAAGGGAUGGCUCCACUGUUCAUGGGUAAAUUCUCAGCACAAGAAGCACCAAAGAGCUACUUCAUGUAAACCUGCGGUACACCCUCAUAAAGGGUGGGUCCUACCAAAAAAAUUAUGGCCUUUUCUUAUAACCAAACAAUAAAAACUGUGGUUGCAAGUGAACCUCAUCCGUAGCCACAAUACCAAACGACCACUUAGUGUUAUAGCUCAAGACAAUUGAUAAAAACUACCAAUACAUUAAAAAAAAAGUACUUGUUCAAAAAGCAUUUUUAAUUGGUAUAAUAAAGAAAUUUUUUGCUAUAAAAUCUUUCUAUGUAUUAUUGCAUGAUUUUUAAUAUUAGCACCAAUUAAUAAUAAAUCUUUGACUAUUAUUAAAAAGGAAAAAGAAACUCAUGCUUGAAGGGUGCUCAAGUUUAACUUAGUUAUAAAAAUCUAAUUUAAAAAAUAAUUAAUUUGUCCUUAUAGUCUUAGAAAAUAGUAUUUAAUCCUUAUGUUUUUUAUAUUCAUCUAUGAUUUAAUUUUUUUCCAUCAAUUUCAUUUUCUUAUUUAUUUUAAUCCUGAAAUAAAUAAAAAAAUCAAAAGGCAUAUCAUGAAGACCAAUUCAAAAUAAACAAGAUGCUUAAAAAAUCUUUUAGUAUUGUCAUAACCCAAUUUUUGACCCUUUUAAUAAUGAUGAAAAAAAAUAAUGACGAUGAAAAGCAAGUAAAAUGAAAUAAAUGAAGAAUGAAUUAAAAUUUGGGUUAAGGGCAACAUGAUUGAUAAGUUUUGAGACUUAAUUGAGCUUGAAAUUAAUUUAAUUAAUCCAAUCAAGGGUUUAAUUGGAGAAUUGAUAAGUUUUGAGAAUUAAUUAAGCUUGGAAUUAAUUUAAUUAAUCAAAUCAAGGGUUUAAUUAAUUGGAUAAUUGAUAAGUUUGGAGACUUAAUUGAGUUUGAAAUUAAUUUAAUUAAUGAAAUCAAGGACUUAAUUGAAGAAAUAUCAAAGUUUGGAGUUUAAUUGAGGUCUAAAUUGCAAAAAUUAAAAUCCAAGGACCAGCUUAAAAAUUACGCUGAAAUGAAGGGGUCUAAUUAAAGUUUGUCCAGGGGCUUGCUCAUGAAAAAUCCAAAACGUCAAGGACAAAAAGGCAAAUGGCCAUUAGCAAUCGAACGGCAUUGUUUCAGGAGAACUGUUCGUCUUCUUCCGCUCACCAAACCAGAGAAACGGACGCCCCUGCCAUCACUGCUCCUGCAAUAAACGGUCCUGAGUCUUCAUUACCAAGGGAAACGCAUGCCAUUCGACGACAAUAAAAAACCAGAGAAGGGAAGCUAAGCCCGGACACGAAAAAGUCAGGCAGAACCGAACUAAAAAAAAAAAGCAGAGGAAGAAAGGGCAGAACCGAGGGGCCAAUGGAGAGCAUGAACGAAAACAGAGAGGGGACCUAAAAACAGAGAAAUAGGGAGAGAGCAAAAGGACAGCAGGCCUGCUUUGCUUUUGUUCUCAAAACGCAAGUGAAGUGCAAGGAAACUGCAAGCGUUGGUCAGCCUAAUUAUUCGUCUCCAGCUACACACUCCAAACCAUCGGAAAGAAAACUGGAAAAAACCGAGGAAACAGAGGAUGGACGAGCAAAAGAACCAGAGGAGAAAACACGAAAAAAGAAAACUAUUAGAGAGAGAGGAAAGCCCAGGAAAUAAAUACACAAGAAAGAACCAACAUUUCAUCAUCGUCUUCGUCCCUUCCAUCUCAAUAACCGGGGCGACGAGCAGAGUUAAAAGCAAAGGAAGAAGUCUAAAACAGAAAGACAGGGGAAGCAAAGGGCAAACGCAAGCAGGAGACACAGAGACCAACAUCAACAUCCUCAUCGUCUUCAUCGCCUCCAGCAACGUCUGCAGAUCAGGUAAGUUUGUUUUCGUUCCUUUCUCUUCCAUUUUUCAUUGUAAAGUUACUGUGCAGCUUGGAUUUAAUUAACUUUUGCACGCACGCGUGGUGCGUGCCUUUGCCCAGCCGGGUCACUGCUUGGGCCAGUGACCAGGCCGGGCUGGCUGGGUUCAGCCCAGCCCAUGUGGGCUGAGCUGGGCCCAGCCCAAAAAAUGAAAAAAUAAAAAAACAGAAAAGUAAAAGAAGGUAGAAAAAAUAAAAAAAAUGUGUAUGGAUGAAUAAAAAUAAUGUAAAUUUAUUGGUUUAUUCACUGACGCCAGAGUCAGGAAUAAAAAUACUGGUUUAAAUUUAUAUUAUUUUUAUUCGGUGUAUUUUAUUUUAUUUAGCUAGAAAAAUAAAAAAAUAUGUGCAUGCGUAAAAAUCAAUUUAUUUUUAUUUAUUUAUUCACUGGUGCUAGAGUAGGGAAUACAAAAUAUUGAUCUAAUUUUUCGUAGCUAUGAAUUUUUACCAACGCCAGAGUUGGAAUUAUUCGAGCUUGAAUAUUCACUGGCGCCAGAGUCAGGAAUAUUAUAAACAAAUCAUCAUAGCAUAAGCGAAUAAAUAUUUAGCAAUUUAAGACAAAACCAGCAAUGCAGUCUGCCUCAGGCAGAACGUUUAAGGGGUGAUAAUAUCUUCUUUUUUACGUAACCAAUCCCGAGCCAUAGAAUCUCUGUUGACCAGUUAGGGUUCUUAGUGACCAUAAUACUAGGUGGCGACUCCUCAAACAAGACCUUUUCCCCUUAAAGAACCAGAUGCCAGAAAUCUGUUCUUUGUCCAUAAUUCAAGAUUUAUUUUUAGGGCCGCCGCGAUGUCGGGUGCGACAAGUAUGACACCUUUUUUUAAAAAAAAUAAGACAACAACAUAUUUAAUCAACCCGAGUUUUGUGGCCUAACCACACCGUGACAAUCAUAUAAAAAUUAAAUUUUAAAAAAUCAACCCAUAGAAACAAAAAUACAUUGAAAAAACAAAUUUAAAAUAAAUCAAAUGAUUAAAAAAAGUUCAAUAAAACAUAUUUUGUAAAAAAAUAUUACAGACAAUAAUAACAAUUAUCAAGCUAAUAUUCAUACUACUCCAUAUGAAGCCUUACAUGGUCAACGUUGUCAAUACUAAUAUAUUGAUACGAAGAUGGUGAAAAGAAGCUCAUUGGGCUAGAAGUAGUGCAAAUAACUUCUGAAAAGAUUAAAAUAAUUCAAACUAAGCUCAGGAAGUACAAAAUAGACAGAAGAGUUACGUUGAUCAUAUAUGACUGGAAUUGAAAUUUGUUGAUGGUGAUUAUGUAUUUUUGAGAAUUUGAAAAGAUUCUAUAUUGGGCCUUUGAAAAUUUUGAAGAGAAUUGGUACAGUUCCUUAUGGAUUAGCUCUUCCACCCAGCUUUUUCAUCUAAAUAUCCAGUGUUCCAUGUAUCUCCGUGCUCCAUCACAUAUAUUAGAGCCAUAAACAGUAGCAUUUCAAGAAGAUAUGUCAUGUGAGAUUCAACUGGAGAGAAUUGUGGAUAGACAAAUUAGAAAACUUCGUUCUAAUGAGCUAGAUUGCUUCAGUGAAAGUAAUGUGGGAAGGUCAUUGGAGCGAUGAAGCAACACGAGAACCUGAGAAGAUGGUACAUAAUAAAUAUCGUUAUUUCUUCAUUCAAUCAAGCUAGUUAGUUUUAAUUCGAGGAUGAAUUUAUUUUAAAAGGGGAGGAGGAAAUGUAAACAUUAAUAAAUAUGUUUAAGUCUCGAUUAACUGUUUGAUACUUGUUAAAAAACUAGUCAUGAGGGCAUGAAAUUGAGUCUCAAACUACAAAAUGAACGACAACUUUGAAGCAAGUCGACUAAGGUAGCAUAGAGUGCCUUGAUCAAUUGGACUAAAUUUUUUAUUUGAUGUAGAAACACUUUUUUCCUUUGUGAGAAAAAAACAAGUUAAAAAAAAAAGCAGAAAUUUGAAAAAAAAAGAAGAUAAAAAAGAAAUAUGCUUUAGUUUUUGUUUCCAGAUAUUUUGAUUACGUAGCUUUUUUUUUUUUUUUGCCUUUAUUCACCUAUAUUGGCGCUAUAAAGUUUUUUUGAUUGAGGUUUGGUUAAUAAACUCUUAUUUCAUCUUUACUGCGCUAUAAAGCUAUUGCUGUUGAUAGCUUUUGCUGGGUUGAUCUUUUUGGUUUAUCUCUAUCAUUCUGGACAAAAGAUGAUUUUCAAGCACAUUAUGGCCGUUUGAUUGGAAUUGAUAAUGCUAAAAGCACUUUUGCAAAUUUGACAGCAGCAAGGGAAGGGUGUUAAUCUGCAGAACUCCGAAGGAAAUUAUUUUCGACGAGAAUAGAAUUGACCAUGUUGUUUCAUUGUCAGGGAAAGCACUUAUUUCUUUAAUGUAUGUUUCCGGAGAUUAUUGCGGUGGCCGGUGGCAAAUGUUUUGGCAGCUAAUGCAAUUCACAAUGACCUUGGUCCUUGAGAUCUUUACCUAUUUUGGUUUUGGUCACCAAACUUCAUUUUUUUUCAAUUACAUCCUUGCAAGUUCUAUUAACACGGUUCUAUUUGUUGUUAUCCACUUCGAUUUUCAUGUUCUGGCAUAUAUCAUAUAUCUUUAAAUAUCCCUACAUUGAAUUAGAAAUCAAUUUUUUUUAACCCUUCUAACCCAGUUGCUAUUAAUUAAGGUUAGUUCUCCACCUGCAUGUUCUUCCUUCUCAAGCGUGGCAUCGGUCUUUAGCUACACUUACUUAGUCCCUGUUAUUUAUAAAGCUUAUAAUUUAGUUCAAGUCAAUAAAAGGUUAGCAAUUUAAUACAAAAGCUCAUGGCCAAGUAAGAGAUGUUUAUUUUGGAUGUAAUAAAUAUUCAUAUUGGAACAUAAUAUUCAUCUCUCAAAUCCCUAAUCCAGUUGAUCAUAUAAAUAAUUGUGUUAAUUAAUAACUAUAAGAAAUAAAACCCCUUACUAGUUGAUUACUUGAAUAAAAACUCAAGAUUGUCGAGCAAAGUAAAUAAAUUACUUACUCAGGGUUACUAGAGGAGUUAUUUGCCAAGAUAUUUAAAAAUACAGUUGAACCGUGUUUUCUAAGAUUUUUUUGGAUCAUUCUGAUAUACUGAUAUCAAAAAUAAAUUCUAAAAUAUUAUUUUAAUAUAUUUUUAAUUAAAAUUUUUUUGAAAAAUAAUUUUCACUGCAAUCCUACACAGGUUUAGAAGUUUUUCAAAUAUAUGGAUUAAUGUUGACUCUCUAGUCAUUUUUUAUAAUAAGUUUUGAAUCCAAACAAGUGAAUUUAUAUGCAUGCUUGGACAGCUUGAUUUUCUCUUUAAUUUAAUCAACAAUAAUUUUUCAUUUUCAAUAAAAAAUUGAGUUUAUUAUUCGAGUAAGACAAACUCUGUAUUUUAAAAUACUAUUGCCAAAAGAUUCUCUUUAUAUGAAUCAAGACAACAGUAUCAUUCAAAUGUUAGGAAUAUAAUAACUUUUACAUAUUUUUCAAGUUUGGUAGAAUAGUAGUGGAAUAAUUCUUUUAAUAUUUAAAAAUUAAAAAAAUAUUGUGUAGCUGUUUUGUAUAAAUUGUAAAGUAAAAGCACAGAGAGAAGAACGGUCCGAUAAUAAAGGACCUCAAUAAUGCUAACGCGUGGGACCCAGUUAUUGCAACCACCACGAAAUUAGCGCUCCAAAUUCCAGCUCAAUAUUUACCAGUACUACACGCUUGAGAAAUUUUAUUAACAAGCUUAGAGUAGAAAUUUUAUUAACAAGACAAAUUUAAAAUAAACCUAGAGAUUUACAAGCUAUCAUUAACAAAGCACAAGAUUAGAUUUACAAGCUUCAUGUCACUUCAUGACACGCUUGUUUUCAACGUUUUAUAUUAUUUUAUUUUUUUUGUUUUUAUUUUUUAAAAAUAUUUUUAAAAAAUUUUGAAUUUUAUUUUUAUUUUUUUUAAUUUUAAAUUAAUAUUUUUAAUGUUUUUAGAUUAUUUUAAUAUGUUAAUAUUAAAAAUAAUUUUUAAAAAAUAAAAAAAUAAUUUUUUAAUAUAUUUUUAAAUAAAAAAUAAUUUAAAAAACAAACACAACGCUUUUACAUUUUAAAAGAAGGGUUCAAGGGAGAACAAUAAUGAAGGGGAAUCAAAAUCUUUGUUAGCAAGAAAAAAUUAUAAAAGUUUAAUAAUUUUUAAUAGAAAUAAAUAAAAUUUCUAAACUAAAUAAAAAUAUUUGAUAAAAAUAUUUUCUAUCCCAAAAAUUCUUAUAUUAAAAUCUCAUUUAUCACAUUUUAUAUCUAUAAAAAACUAAUUUGUCACAUGUACAUUUUAAAUUAAUUUCAAUUCAAAAUAACAAAAUAUGAUGGACAUUUUUUAGUAAAUUAAAUUCAAUUCAAAAUAACAAAAUAAGAUUUCUUGAGGCUUAUCGUUAAACCUCGUUUUGGGAUGAAUUGAUCACGAGAAUAAGAAAUUAUGUGUAAAUUAUACAAAAUUUAUUAUUAAUCAUCAAGAUUUAUUAUUUAUUAUCAAUAUUGAAUAAUGAUUUAUUUUAUAAUAUAAAUUAUGUUUAAAAUAAAAUUGAUAAAAUUAAAAUACAUGAAACGAGGUUGUAUAUUUUGAAACUAAAUUAAAAUCAUUUUCUUUUUCUAUUGUAUCCUUCAAAAUUAUUUAUUUUAUAAAAAAAAAACUUGUUAGCUUGCAAGUACACAUGUCAUGAGUCUCCACUGCAUCAAAUUUGCAAAAUCAUAUGGCCCAUUGAUAGAAAGGUGUGUUCGAAAAAAUGUUAACGCUUGAGAAAUUUCCUUGCUUUUUUUCCUCUACGUGUUCCCUUUUACCUCUUUUAUAAUUAUGAUUAUUGCAUCGCUAAUAAUUUGCAAGAAAGAUGAUGAACAUUUUUUAGUGAAUUAAGUUCAAUUCAAAAUAACAAAAUAAGGUUGGUUGAGGUUUUUUUAGAACCUCGUUCAGGGAUUAAUUAAGGAGAAUAAAAAAAAUCAAAUUAUACAGGAUUUAUUAUUAAUCUUUUAUAUUUAUUAUUGAUCAUCAAUGUUGAAUAAUAACUUAUUUUCUAGUAUAAAUUAUGUUUGAAAUAAAAUUGAUAAAAGAGUACAUGAUACACAAUUAAUGAUGGAAUCGUAUAUUUUAUAUAAAAAUGAUUAAAUUGAGAUUUAUUAAUUACCUUUAAACAUAUUAUGGUUUUAAUCGGUGGAUGAUGUAAAUUAUAAAACAAUAUUUAUUUUUCUGAUAUAUAUAAUUAAACAGUCUCUCCUGAACCAAAUAAUAAAAAUAUUGUAUAACUUUUUUGGAUGAAUUGUUAAAAUGUAGGGACUGUUUGGGUUCCUGACAUGGCUGAUUUUAUUUGAAUAUAUUAUUUGAUUAGUGUUGACUCUACUAUUGCUGCAUUGACUGGAAAUUUCAGUAUUCAAUAACCUUGCUUUACUCUGCAGCUAACUUCUCUGUCCCAUUGCUGCCAUUUCAUAGCUAACUCUUUGUUAUAUUUAACUUCCUCUUCUUUGCUUCUUGCUCAUAACGAUAACUUGAAAGCCUUACGUUCAGAUAGAUAAUCAUUGACAAGUCCAUCCUAUAUCAUUCUAUUUAAUUUAGAAAUGCAGAAAGAAAAACGCAAGCAAUCCAAAGAUGAAGAAAAUGAUUCAUCCUCGCGAAAGAGAAGAAAAGCUGACCUCAGUAAGCCUAUAUAAAGAAUACAAUUAACCUCAUUUCAAUAUCAUAGCUUUGGAAUUUCAUAGCUAACUCUUCGUUAUAUUGCUCCAUUGGUAAUUGAUUGUGCCUUGAUUUCUGCAGCUGCCAUGACAGAGCCAGAGUCUUCUCGAUCUAGACCAGAAGGGGCCUAUGAUGUCUUCUUGAGUUUUAGAGGAGAAGACACUCGCAAGACAUUUACAGAUCAUCUAUAUACUGCCUUGGUCCAAGCAGGAAUCCACACUUUUCGAGAUGAUGAUGAACUUCCGAGAGGAGAAGAAAUCUCCGAUCAUCUCCUCAGGGCAAUUCAGGAAUCAAAGAUAUCCAUAGUUGUUUUCUCAAAAGGAUAUGCUUCUUCUAGAUGGUGUCUCAAUGAACUUGUAGAGAUUCUUAAGUGCAAAAAUAGGAAAACCGGUCAGAUUGUUCUUCCUAUAUUCUAUGACAUUGAUCCUUCAUAUGUGAGAAAACAGGAUGGCAGUUUUGCAGAAGCAUUUGUUAAACAUGAAGAGCGUUUUGAAGAGAAGUUGGUGAAGGAGUGGAGAAAAGCUCUUGAGGAGGCUGGAAAUCUAUCUGGAUGGAAUCUCAAUGAUAUGGCAAAUGGGUAUGCCUUUUUUCUCUAAGAUUCACUUGCACACAUUUAUGGAGUCAAUAUACUUUACAUUUUUCAAUGUGAAACAAUAAAAUACUUAAUUGACUCGCUAUCAAUGACUUGCUUUUGUCUAUGAGCAGGCAUGAAGCAAAAUUUAUCGAAGGGAUUAUCAAAGAUGUGUUGAAUAAAUUAGAUCCCAAGUACUUGUAUGUUCCUGAGCACCUAGUAGGUAUGGAUCGGGUUGCUCACAAUAUUUAUGACUUUCUAAGUACUGCAACAGAUGAUGUACGCAUUGGGGGCAUGCAUGGGAUGCCAGGAAUAGGAAAGACGACUAUAGCAAAAGUUGUAUUUAAUAAACUCUGCUAUGGAUUCGAGGGAAGCUGUUUUCUUUCGGAUAUCAAUGAAAGGUCAAAACAAGUUAAUGGUCUUGUUCCUUUACAAAAGCAACUUCUUCACGAUAUUUUAAAACAGGAUGUUGCAAACUUCGAUUGUGCUGAUAGAGGAAAGGUUCUGAUCAAAGAGCGACUUCGUCGCAAAAGAGUUCUUGUUGUUGCUGAUGACGUGGCUCAUCUGGACCAGCUGAAUGCAUUGAUGGGAGAUCGAAGUUGGUUUGGUCCCGGAAGUAGAGUAAUUAUUACAACAAGAUAUUCAAGUUUACUUCGUGAAGCAGAUCAAACAUAUCAGAUCAAAGAAUUGGAACCAGAUGAGUCCCUUCAGCUUUUCAGCAGGCAUGCCUUUAAGGACUCCAAGCCAGCAAAAGAUUAUAUUAAGCUUUCGAAGGAUGCAGUUGAUUACUGUGGAGGACUUCCUUUAGCUCUUGAGGUUAUAGGAGCUCUUCUGUACAGGAAAAACAGAGGUGAAUGGGAAAGUGAAAUUGACAACUUGAGCAGAAUUCCAAACCAAGAUAUUCAAGGAAAACUUCUAAUAAGUUAUCACGCACUUGAUGGUGAACUACAAAGAGCAUUCCUUGAUAUUGCAUGCUUCUUUAUUGGUAUAGAGAAAGAAUACGUCGCAAAAGUGCUAGGAGCCCGUUGCCGUCUCAAUCCAGAAGUUGUUUUGAAAACUCUCCGUGAAAGGUCUCUGAUUCAAUUUCAUUGGUGUAACAUUAAAGAUGAAAGGCAGUUAUUUGGAGAGAUGGUAGCCAUGCAUGAUCUAUUACGAGACAUGGGAAGGGAGGUCGUUUGUAAUGCGUCUCCCUUGCAUCUUGGAAAAAGGACCAGAAUUUGGAAUAAAGACGAUGCAUGGAAUGUACUUGACCACCAGAAGGUAAGAGCUCAAUGCAUACACGAAAGCAUAGUCAUGCGUAUUUUCUAGUCACACUUAUUACAAAUAAUUGUAUGAAAGUUGUAUUGUUUUUCUUUUAGGGUACGGAUGUUGUAGAGGGUCUUGCACUGGAUGUCAGAGCAUCAGAAGCUAAAUCACUUGGCGGAGGAUCAUUUGCAGAAAUGAAAUUCUUAAAUUUACUCCAAAUCAAUGGAGUACAUCUCACCGGAUCCUUCAAACUGCUUUCUAAAGAGUUGAUGUGGAUUUGUUGGCAUGAAUGUCCUUUGAAAUAUUUUCCAUCUAAUUUUACUUUAGACAAUCUAGUUGUUCUUGAUAUGCAGCACAGUAACCUCAAAGAAUUAUGGAAGGAAAAAAAGGUACGAAACAUGCUACAAUCCCCAAAAUUUCUCCAAUAUGUAAUUUAUAUUUACAUGUAAUGACUUUCUAUGAUUAAUUUUCAUUAUUUUGCUCUCUAUCAUGAUAGAUGCUCGACAAACUAAAAAUCCUUGAUCUCAGUCAUUCUCAGCACCUUAUUAAAACACCAAACUUGCACAGUUCAAGUCUAGAGAAACUAAUUCUGGAAGGUUGCUCGAGUUUAGUUGAGGUGCAUCAAUCAAUUGAAAAUUUGACGAGCCUCGUUUUCUUGAAUCUGGAGGGAUGUUGGAGGCUGAAGAUUCUCCCUGAAAGCUUUGCCAAUGUAAAGUCUCUUAAAUGUUUGAAUAUUUCUGGGUGUUUACAACUUGAGAAAUUACCAGAACGCAUGGGUGAUAUGGAAUCCUUAACCAAGCUUCUAGCUUAUGGGAUUGAAAAUGAGCAAUUUCUCUCUUCAAUUGGACAAUUAAAGUAUGUUGGAACUUUAUCAUUGCGUGGAUGCAGUUCGGCUCCACCAAGUUCUUCUUUGAUUUCAACAGGUGUUUUGAAUUGGAAACGUUGGCUGCCAGCAUCUUUCAUUGAAUGGAUAUCAGUAAAACAUCUUAAGCUUUCUAAUUGUGGUUUGUCUGAUCGCGCAACUAACUGUGUUGAUUUCAGUGGUUUGUCUGCUCUAGAGUAUUUGAAUCUAGAUGGAAACAAAUUCUCUAGUCUUCCUACUGGGCUCGGCUUCCUUCCCUAUCUAUUAACGUUGAUUGUCGAUGCAUGCAAAUAUCUUGUAUCAAUCCCAGAUCUUCCCUCACGUUUAUGCAUUUUGCAUGCAAAUCAUUGCAAAUCAUUGAAAAGAGUAAGAAUACCAAUCGAGCGAGAAGAAGAACUAUGUAUACAACUAGGGGGAAGUCAUUCGUUAGAAGAGAUACAGGGCAUCGAAAGUCUAAGUAAUAGUUUCUGGUAUGUUUGUGUUGGUGAGCACAGUCAUUCACCAAAUAAAUUUCAGAAGAGCGUUGUUGAGGUACUAUUUCUUUCAAUCUCUUUUGCACAAGAAGAAACACACAAUUGGCACAUAUAUUGAUUAAUAUCUAAAAUCUCAGCAUUACUUGAAAUCAAUAUGUAUACAGGCAAUAAUCAUUAUUAUUAUUAUUUUAUUUUAAAAAAAUAAAUAUCAUCUUUAAUAACAUUUUUUAUUUUUCUUAUUUAAUCUAAAAAAAUAAAUAUCAUCUUUAAUAAUAUUUUUUAUUAAAUUUAAAGUCUGAUUGGUUUUAUUUUUUAUUUCUUGAUUUUAUGAUAAUAUAUUUAUACAGGCAAUGUGCAACGGUCGUGACCCGUAUUGUAUUGCCAACAUUCCUGGUAAGAUGCCAAAUUGGAUGAGCUACAGGGGAGAAGGAUGCUCAUUGUCAUUCCAUAUACCUCCAGUCUUCCAAGGCUUAGUUCUUUGGUUUCAUAAGGAUUCUCAUUGUCACUUCCACAUUGACAUUAUUAUUAUUAUAAGAAAUAAAAGCAACGGUAUUCAAUUGUUUGAAGAAAAACAAUUACCAAUAGACACGGUACGUGGAAGGGUGGGAUGGACAAGAUACAUAAGUAGAAGUGAAAUGGCAAUGGAAGAUUACUGUGGAGAUGACGAAUUGGAACUAUACGUAUAUUCAAAGCCAUCAAUACUUGCGGUGUACAGAGGUUGGCAAUUAAAACCCGGACACAUUAAAGAAUAUGGGGUCCAUGUGAUCGCAGGGAAGUCAGAUUCAUUUGAAGAGUCGGCAGUGGGAAGAGAUGCAGUGAUGCCUUCACCACCGCUGUAUCAUCUGCUUCCUCAUCCCCAUUGUGGUUCGAUUACAGCGUCUACACCUAAGCAAUGGAGUGACUAUUUAUCUGCGAAGCUAGAAGGACAUAGCCUCGAUUUAAGACUUGAUGGUGAGAACAAAUAUUUCAUUUAGUUAUUUUUAUUCUAUUAUAUUUAAUUUAUGAGAUUAAAUAUUAUCUUUAAUGAUUUUAUUAUUAUUAUUUAAUCUAAAAAAUUAAAUAUCAUCUUUAAUAAAAAAAUAUUAAAUAUUUAAGGCUUUUUGGUAAGAAUACAUAUUUCCUUUAGUUAUUUCUAUUUUAUUCUAUUUAAUUUAAGAGAUUAAAUAUCAUCUUUAAUUCUUACAUUUUUCUUAUUUAAUCUAAAAAAUUAAAUAUUAUCUUUAACAAUAUUUUUUAUUAAAUAUUUAGAGUUUGCUUGGUUUUAUUUCUUUUCUUGAUUUUAUAAUAAUAUUUUUCUUAUUUAAUAUAAAAAAUAAAUAUUAUCUUUAACAAUUAGAUCUAUCGAAUAUCACUUAAAAAUAAAUUAUAACUUUAAUAAUUAUUUUUUGAAAAACAAAAGGCCAACAAUCACUAACAUAUUUUAUUAAAAUCACUUUAGUUUAUAUAGAAAAUAUUGAAAACUGAUUUUUGUUUUUUUACAUUAAAAUAAAAAAUUGAAUAAUGUUUUUAUAUUUUAUUUCAAACUCGAUAUUUUAAAACAAAAAUGAAAAAGAUGUGAUAUUAACAUUUUUUAUUAUAAAGUAAGUUUUUUAAUUAAAAGUGAUGGGAAUUUGUUUUUAUUGCAUGUACAAUCAUGCACAUUUAACUUUCUUUUUAAAUUUGAUGGUUUUUUAGGACGGAAAUGGCUUGAAGGUGGUGAAGGCUUUGAUUGACAUGAGAGUACAAGAUUAGUUUACAUAGAGAUGCUUGAAGUUGCUCCAAAUCAGUACGAUACUUUCAUCUGACAUGUUGAUAUGUAUUUGUUGGCUUGAAGAUUAUUUUCCAAGCUUGGAAGUUUUAUUGAAUUCUCUUUGAAAUCUUUUCCAUCCGCUGGACAACUUAUAUUAUUAUGCAUGAUGUAAUUUAUAUUUUCAAGUUACAAAUUUUGAUGAAUAUUGUUUCAUUUUUUUCCUCAUUUCAAAAGAUGAAAAUCCUUGAUCUUAGUUAGAAAUAAAUUGGUUUUCUAGGAAGAGAUUAUUGAUUGGAAUAUAGUAUUUGAAUUGGUUCUUCAUCAUUUACUGUUAUAUAUAAUUUAAAAUAAUUGAUGAAAAUACAUAGAAAAGUUUUGAGAGCAUCCUUAAUUAGUCUAGUAAGUAAAGUGUUGUUAGUUUUGACUAUAAGAUCUUGCUAUGUAUUAUUGCAUGGUUUUUACUAUUUUUUUGCAUUUCUUCUUUUUGUAUAUACAACUUUUGUUUUUCUUGCCGCUUGUCAUUAGCUUUAUGGCACCAACACCAAUUAAUAAUAAAUCUUGAACUAUUAUUAAAUAAAGAAAAAAUAUAAAUAUCGUUAAAAUACCAAACUUGAAUUGCUCAAUCCUAAAGAAACCCUAUGACAAUAAUCUAAUUUAGAAAAUAAUUAAUUUAUCCUUGUAGUCUAAGAAAAUAGUAUUUAAUUCUUAUGUUUUCAUAUACAUCUAUGAUUUAAUAUGUUGAUUGAAAUUGGCAAGUGAGUUUACUCACGUAUUGUUAUAUUGGUUUUGAGUUCAAAUAAAUGUUUAAAAAGGGAGUUUUUUCAUGAAUGUAACCCUUCAAUAUAUGAAUGUUUAAAAUUGUAUUCAAUAUGAAUGAUGGAUGAUUUUGCUAAGAAUUGGUUGGUAAAAAACUUAAUUUCGAUAUAUAAAAACUUAAGAGACAACAAUAAAUAGAGAGACUAGUAAAGAUUUUAUGUGCUUUCUUGUUUUUUUUUUUUAAUUGGAUUACCUUUGUCUUUUGUUUCAAGUAAAAUUCUAGUAUAUAUCACUAAAUUAAGAAUUAAAGGUCUAAUUAUAUGAAACACAAUUUUAAAGACUACAUCAACUACAUUUCAUAUGCUCAACUCUAAGCAAAUUGAAAUUUCAAGGCCAUUUGUAUCUUGAAAACACAAUCUCAAUAAUCUUAAUAUUGAAUUAUUAUUUGUUGAGUUGGAAAAUAGCACUAAGGAACACAAAAGCCGUACUGUUUAUCUUCUUGGCAUUGUUCAAAGGAACGCAAAAAGAUACUCCAAUUGUGAAAGAUUAUUAUUGUCAUAAAGUAAAACUUUCAAUAUAGAGAGUGAAAUAAAGAGCAAGAGCAAAAAAAUAAUUCGUGUGUGUAUUAGCUAAAUGAAAUGAAGAUUAGAGUAAAAAGGAUAAAAAAAAAAAAAAAAAAUAGAGAGAGAGACUCGUUAAGAUUUUAUGUUGGUGCUCAACAUGUUCUUUCUUAUUUUUUUUUUUUUUUUAAUUUUAUCUUAACGAGUGAAAUAAAGAAACACUCCCCCCAUCUUUCUUGUUCCCUUUCCCUUCUUUACAUGGCUUACUCAGUGAAAAAGCAAUUAAACACCCCAUUUGAUUUUCAAUCAGUAUGAGAGUGAGAGAGAGAGAGGCCAAGGUGGUCCUUGAAUAUUUUCUUCUUUUUUGUCUCGCUCACUGGGGCAAACCAUUUUUUCCAAAAUUUUGAAUAGCAUGCGAUCAAAAAGAAUUUUGAAUAGCAUGCCAUCAAAAGGAAUUUUGUUCAAUCCCAAUCCCACAUUGUCUGUAGAAGUAUUUACUUUUGACUGUACACUUUGUUAUUUUCCAAUCCCUCCCCAGUUCUGCAACCAUUUCUCUACUUUCUAUGCUCUUGGCUUGCUAAAAACUAAAGAAAACACAUUGCUCUACUUGCCUGCCUUCACUCUUCAGAUUGCUCAACAAAUCCCUUGAGACCUUCUCCAUAGUUAACACAUCACAUAAUGGCUACUCUAAAAAAUUUAGCCAUAAACAUUGAACACCUUGAGCAAUCAACGUGCCUUCCUUCACAAUAUCCAUCACCCAUAAAUCUUUCUUUUGGGAUGUCGCCGGGAGUUUAAUUUCCGUGUAAAAAUUAUGUAUAAAUUUCCAUUCUUUCCUUCCAUCCAUUACUUGUCCUCUAUGAAGAUUCUAUGUAUGAAAUCUCGGAAUCUUUUCGAGUAUAACUUGGGAUCAACAGCUGAGAUAGACGUGGGAUCCACUUCUAAGGACUUGUAUGCAUGCUCUAGCUUUUUGCUGAUAUCAUAAUCCUAGAGAUACCAAAGUGAAGAACUACAUCUCACAAUCACCAAAAUUCAAAGUAAAGUAACGGAGAAGAAAAUCUGAUAACAAUGAAUGAUCACUCAUUAACCACAGCGAAUCUUACGCUUUGAAAACACUUUUCACCAUCAAUUUUCCUUUUCUCAUUGAUUUUAAAUCUUCCAGGCAGAUAAAAUAGCAUUGGUUUUAUUCAUCAGCUUAGGCAUCAACAACAUGUUGCAUCCACAAUCUUACUACUACAUUAUAAUUAUAAACAAAGCUAAAAAAAUAUAUAUAUGAGGACAGAGUUAACAGACAUGCACUAAGAGUUAACAGACAUGCACUAACACACACUGUGCAAAUCAGUGUACAGCUGUUAUAACAAACAAGUGUACAAUCUGUUUUCUCCAACCUUCCAGCAUUAUUCUCCCGAGCAUAUUCUGUCAGCUCAAGAUUAGGCAAUUCUGUUAACCAUUCUGUUAGCUCUGUUCUCUUUUGUUGUAUAUAUACUUGAUUGAUUGAUUGAUUCAAUAACAUUAUCUUUCUCUCUUCUCACCUGCCCCCUUUUUCUUCUCCUUUUACCUCUAGCUUCCAAUGCCUAUCAACACCACCAUCCUUAACACAAAUGAAUCUCACAGCAUGUUGAUUACCAUCAAUGUAGCAGCCCAAACUCCAUUAAAACUUAUCUCCACCAGGCACCAACUAUCUAGCCUGGAAACUUUGUUGGGGAUUCCGGCUCCCCCAUGCGCGGACCGGGGGUGUACUGAUAGUUGCUCAACGGAGGGUAAAGCACACUGAUACAAUAUUUUACGUGGUUCGGCAAAACCGCCUACAUCCACGGGAGAGUCCAUAUUAUUAGAGAUAUAUAGAGAAAGGAUUACAACAUACAUGGAGGAGGAGGAUCACUUCACUCAAACUCAAUUCCCAGCUCUUUUGCUACACUUACAGCUGCUGCAAUGGCAGCAGCCAUUGCAGCUCUCUCUUUCUCUCCACUCUCUUGCACACACUCACGUUCUCUCUCUCUCAUUUUUCUCUCAAAUAUAAGCCUCCUUUAUAGGCAUUUCAUGGUCAACAUGGAGGGGCCAAUAGCCUUAAAGCAUGGCAUGAAUUGUGGCACAAUUCAUGCUUCCACUUGCUUAGUGGUGGGGUAUUGCCACAAAUGGCAAUAUCCUAACAAUCACCCCCUUUGCCAUUUGUGUGGGCAAUUGUCCUCUUGCUUCUUCAGCACAGGCUUGCAUCUUGCAGCUCUUCCAAGCUUACCAUUCUGAGAGCGUCUUCAACACAACAUUCCCUUUCGAGUGUAUCAAUCAUGCUCGGUCCGGAAUGAUUUUUCAAGCCUUACACCAAGGCUUACAACACCCCCUCAAAUAGAUAUUUCUAAGUGCGACAGUCAUUUAGUAUUUCAAUGUGAUCACAAGCUCACCACUCUUCCAAGAGUCUACUCAUCCAAGAGUUGUGCCUGCCCUCUGUUCCACCCUAGGAACCACGUCUUACUUCUCCGUGAGUCUCUCGCUCUUAGUCGUAAGAGUCCAGGUAGCUCUCCACCUUUAACCAUAGGGGCAGCCCAUUAAAGGUUGAUUCAUAUCUGUCUUCAUACUCUGAGUAUUACAAUGCCAUUACCGAGCUCACCACCUUAACAAGAGUCAACUCGUUCUCGGAACCUGCGCAUGCCCUUCUGCUUCUUCAUAGCAGCCGCGUCUUAAUGCUCCACAAGUCACACACUUAUUGUCCAAGGCAAAUGUCUUCUAGCUCAUUGAUCUUUAGCAUGGGGGCAAUAUCCAUGAAAGUCAAUCCUGCAUUUGUCUCCAUACUCAUCAUAGCCACUUCAUUGGCUAUCUAUACACUUGUCCACUUGUAUCUAGCCAUCACAUCGGCUUUGGAGCGUUCUGAACUGGGCUCAUAUCAUGGCCCUCACACCUUCUCCUCAGGUGUCUCCGCUCGUCAUCAUGCGACGGUCUGAACUGGGGCUCCUCUCAUAGCCCUCACACCUUCUCUACGGUGUCUUCGCCCGUUGUCAUGGGGCGGUCGCAUCCUUCUUCAGCUGGGAUGCUUCAAAGUGGCUCCAAAAUUCUCUACCACCAUGUGCACUAUGGGAGAGAUUAUAACCACUGAUUACAUAGAAAGAGAAACUUGCGGUAUACUCCUCGCAAUCCUCCACCUCGAUUUCUAUGUUUGGAGCUUUUGUGUCUUUCUACUUGAUAGCUCCACCUACACCAACUCUCUUUGGUGUCUUCGCCUUUCAUCAUAGGCGGUCGCCUUUUAUCACAGGCGUUUGCACCCCCUCAAUUAGGUGCUUCUACAACAGCUCUCUUUCCAUCCUUGCAUGCAUUGGAAAGGUCUUCGCCUGUUGUCUUCAUCAAGAGCAUAAGAGACUUCCUGUUGUACAAACUUUAACAGUCUCUGCUCUGAGCUUCAUCUGGGAACACUUCUUCUCCUUGCACCUAUUGUCUCAUUACAGUACCUCGUUGGAUCCUACGGGUACUCCUGCACAAUCUCCGUGUGCCCUCGUGCAAUUUCUGUUCUCCAGAUUUCUCCCUAUUUCUUGCUUAUGUUUGACAGCAGCUCAUCCUGUCACAACACCUGUCCAAGUCAAAAAUAUGGUGCCAAUCUUUAUCCCCUUGCUGUAUUCCUCUUCCAUUAUCAGGGUCUUCAUCAGUUCUCCCCUCGAGAAAUCACAGUCACCGAAUCUAACUUCUUUGGAGAAAUCACCACUCCAUCAGAUCCUUGAACCUUUGGAACCCAACUAUUCCCUUGUGCCGUCAUCCUGCUAGCCUUCAACUGUUUCAUUACAAACUGCUAUAUAUACAAAAAUAGUACCGUAUGGAUAAUCCUUCCACUAAGCAAGUUCCCAGGAAAGAUUGGAGGGGUCACACUGGUCCCGCUUAAAACCCAAUCUCCUAGACAGAACUUCUUAGGACAUAUCUAUCCAUCGUACUGUCUUUUUGUAUAUACAACCAUUUGCUAGCUUUGUUGCGGCUUUCCUUUACAAGUGAUCUGGGGUAUCCCGAUUUUAUACCUGAUUUCUCAACAUCUGGCGAGACUACCAGUUCUUAGAUUCGUCAAGAUUGGUCUUUAUCAAUUUUCACUCUACACCUCUAAUUGUCCACUUGAUCGGGUGUCUAGAGUGUCCCAAUUUUGCCUUCCCUCAAGGCAGUUAAAUUUCUCCCAACUUAGCAGCUCAGCACAUGUAAUUGGGUAAACAUGUGCACCUUCUUCUUCUUCUCUUCAACGACCACCAUGAUAACCUUCAGAUGCCUCCUGAUCGGGCAAUCUCUUUUGUUAAUUCAUCACUACCACUUUCGGUCUCAAAUCUCAACGAUCGGACCAUACCAUUGCAUCCGAAACGAUCAAAUUAGCUGGAAACAAGUCUGAAAUCGUCCAAAUCGCACUUCAGACGGCUAAGAUUUGAUCAAAACAAUUCUGGCCUGAUCAAUGGCUCAGAUUCAAUCUCAGAUCCGGUUGCACGUAGGAUCAGCUACACUGGAUCCUGUCCCUCGGCUCGCGGCUCGGCUCCAAUUAGGCUCGGCUCGGCUUGGCUCGGCUCGUGGCUAAUGACGUGGUUGGUGGGUCCCACUUUGCUGACGUGUCAGUGACUGUACGCUGACAUGGCAUGCCAACUGUGCAUGCUGACAUCACACUUACAUCAGGCUGAUGUCAUCCCUGGCAUGCCUACUAUGCAUGUUGACAUCACAAUUAUGUCAUACUGACGUCAUUCAUAUCCGGGUCAGCCAUGUGGGUCGGGUCAACUGGUAUUUGGGUCGGGUCAGCCCAUCCGGGCGAAGAAGACGCGUGGGGUGCGUCUGCGCGCGUGGGCAGACGCCUUGCCGGAGAGUGAUGGAGAGUACGGCCAUGUCCGACGUCCGAUUUUGACGCCGUUUUCACCAGUGGCUUCGUCUCGGCCUCCUCUACACGGUGGUAUAGUCAAAACACCAUUUUGAGAACUUUCAUUUUUGAGCAAAAAUCAAACACCCCUUUAAACCAUGUGCUCUGAUACCAGUUGUUGGGGAUUCCGGCUCCCCCAUGCGCGGACCGGGGGUGUACUGAUAGUUGCUCAACGGAGGGUAAAGCACACUGAUACAAUAUUUUACGUGGUUCGGCAAAACCGCCUACAUCCACGGGAGAGUCCAUAUUAUUAGAGAUAUAUAGAGAAAGGAUUACAACAUACAUGGAGGAGGAGGAUCACUUCACUCAAACUCAAUUCCCAGCUCUUUUGCUACACUUACAGCUGCUGCAAUGGCAGCAGCCAUUGCAGCUCUCUCUUUCUCUCCACUCUCUUGCACACACUCACGUUCUCUCUCUCUCAUUUUUCUCUCAAAUAUAAGCCUCCUUUAUAGGCAUUUCAUGGUCAACAUGGAGGGGCCAAUAGCCUUAAAGCAUGGCAUGAAUUGUGGCACAAUUCAUGCUUCCACUUGCUUAGUGGUGGGGUAUUGCCACAAAUGACAAUAUCCUAACAAACUUCAAUUCCAGACUCUAUUCAUAGGACAUUUGAUUGAGGUCUCCACAAACAUUGAAACACCGCAAUUUUUCAUGAUAAAAUCCAAAGGAUUGGUACUUUGGUGUUUGAGGGGCUGGUAAAUGAAAGAACAGAUCAAGAGAUGACAUCCCUCUAUACCGCUGUUAUUCCUUUCAAGGUGCGUAUCAGGUGUUUGAAAAACUUCCUCAACUUAAAAAUAAAAAGGUCCUGUUUACAAUGUUUUUUAGUCCUUUACAAAUCUUCCAAUGUGUUGCGUUUACUGAAUAUGAUAGUGGGAACUUAUUUAUCAAGAAUUAACUACUCAGAAGAAAAUGUAAAGACGCAAUAAUGAUUUUUUUAUUUUAGAUUCCAUAGUCUACAAACUUGGAAGCAUACGGACCAGUCAGAAGACAACAUGUUUAUUGUAUAUGAUAAACAAUAAUAAACAUCUCAUUCUUAAAAUGAUGGUAAAUCAGAAACAACCAUCCAAUACUUGAAGAUCUGUUGAAGAUAUUUGGCCUUUGGAAAUUUUGAAGAGAACUGGAGCAGUUGCAUAUGGAUUAGCUCUUCCAUCCAAUCUUUUCAUCUAACCAUCCAGUUUUCUAUGUAUCCAUGCUUUAAAAGUAUCUUCGUGCUCCAUCACAUGUAUUGGAGCCAUAAACAGUAGCAUUUCAAGGAGAUAUGUCAUGUGAAAUCCGUUCUAAUGAGAUUGCUUCAGUGAAAGUAAUGUGAGAAGGUCAUCCAAGUGAUGAAGCAACACGAGAACCUGAGAAGAUGAUACGUAAUAAAUAUCGUUAUUUCUUCAUUCAAUCAAGCUAACAAGUUUUCUACUUAAAUUCGAGGAUGAAUUUAUUUUAACAGGGGAGGUGGAAAUGUAAACCCACCCCAUAAUAUAUAACUCAUUAUUGUUUUAUAUGUUGGCCCGUUAAUUCAAGUCAUUUUCUUCUAUCUCUCUUAUAGGAAUGUUCCUCCUUCUCCCUUUUACUGCAAAUAUUCCCCCACGAUCCCAAACCAUCAAUUGACCCUAUAACUCUCUUGUUUUGAGUAGGUUUACUUCAACUUUAUCAAGUGUUUAUAAUAUUGUUUUAUGUUUAUUUAUUUAUAUAAAAUUGUUGAAUUCUAGGCGUUAUAUGAUAUUAGUUGAUGUUAUAUGGAAUUAUUUAAAUUAAUUUGUGUGUGGGUAGUAAUAAGUGUAUAUGAAUAUGAAUUGGAGUAAGGUCAUAGAUGGGUUGGUGUGAAGCUUUGAUUAAUUGAUAUAUUUUGAUGUAAUGAGUAAAUACCUUAAGAAAUUUGAAUAUUUGAAAGAUAAUAGGUAAAUAUUGAAGAAUUGUAUAGAAAGAAUCAUAUUGAAAUUAUGAAAAAUAUGUUUUGGGGUUGAUGAUGGAAGAAUUACAGUUUGGUCCUUGCUUUUGAGAAAUUAAGAUUUUGUCCCUAAAUUCUAAAACAAUUAUAGUUUAGUCACUGGUUGUAAAUAACAAUUUUUAAGAUAUUUUCCUGAUAAAUAUCUGAGAAAUAAUGAUCAUCUAUUAUCAAUUUUUAUUGUUAUCAUUUAAAUUUAAAAUUAAUUGUAUUAUCUACGAGCACAAGUGGUACAGUUAUCAAUCGAAUUUUAGCAAAAUCAAGGAUCCAAGAAUUGGCCUCUGUAACAUAUUAGGAAACUGGCAUGCAAACCCGACAAGAUAAAAGGCAAGGGACAAGAUAAAAUGAGAAAUAAGACACAAGAAUUUACGUGGUUCACCCAAUUUGGCUACGUCCACGGGCAAGUAUAGAAGGAUUUUACUAAGUAAUGUGGGAAUUACAACCUCUCUCUACUAAUAGGAGAACAACUGAAAUCUCUCUAUUAAUAGGAGAAAACACCUCACUUACUCUCUCACAAAUACCUCACAAUUUUGUGGGAUUACUUUCCCUCUCUCACUCUUCUCUUCCUCUCUUAUGAUGUGCAAAAUAAGCUUGGAUGCACUGCCUAUUUAUAGGCAAGCAUCCAAGCAAAGGACAAAAAGGCACCAAUUGGUGCUGCAAGUGGCACCGAAUUGGUGCCCAACAUUGUUGAAUUUGCAGCACAAAUUUGGUGCCUAACAUUGUUGACUUUGCCAACAAUGCAGCUGGCUUCACAUUCUCCCACUUGAAGACUUUGAUGAGUGAAUCAAGUCUUCACACUUAAUCAUCUGUGAUUCUUCUAUCCUUUCUAUACUUGUCAUCUUCAUGCUGCUUACAUUUCUGUUAGGCCAUAAGAGGAUCUGCACCAUAUGUACUUGUCAGUGUUGACUGGUUUGGUUAAAGCAUCUGCUGGGUUUUCCUUCGUGUGAACCUUUUGAAAAUCUACACUUCCAUCUUCCACUACUUCGCGAACAAAGUGAUACUAAACAUCUAUGUGUUUUGUUCUUGAAUGAAACGCGGGAUUCCUUGCAAUAUGCAAAGCACUCUGACUAUCACAAUACAAAAGAAUGUUCUCUUGUUUGUGCCCGAGCUCCUCCAUAAGUUUCUUCAUCCAUAUUGCUUCUUUACAAGCUUGUGUAGCUGCCAUGUACUCAGCUUCUGUUGUGGAUAAAGCUACAACAGUCUGAAGUUUAGAGACCCAGCUCACAGCUCCUCCUGCAAUUAUGAACACAUAGCCUGUAGUGGAUUUUCUUUUCUCAAGGUCGCCAGCAAAAUCUGAAUCAACAUAACCUCUGACGGUAAAUUCUGAUCCUCCAUAUCAUAAUGCAACAUCUGAGGUGCCCUUGAUGUAUCUCAAGAUCCUCUUAAUAGUAUUCCAAUGCUCUCUACCAGGAUUUGCCAUGUAUCGACUAGCUACUCCCACUGCUUGUGCAAUGUCUGGUCUUGUACAUAUCAUGGCAAACAUUAAGCUUCCCACUGCUGAUGCAUACGGUACUCGAGACAUCUCCAUCCUCUCUGCUUCAUUGCUAGGAGACAUACUUGAGGAUAAUUUGAAGUUAAUAGGAAGUGGGGUGGAAAUUGGCUUACAAUCUUGCAUGUUGAAGUGUCGUAAGAUCUUAUUCAAAUAAUUCUUCUGAGAAAGCCAAAUCUUCCUCUUACUUCUGUCUCGGUGAAUUUGCAUCCCUAGAAUCUUGUUUGCUGGUCCCAAGUCCUUCAUAUCAAACUCCCUAGCCAACUGUGCCUUCAAUUCUUGGACUCGAUCUUUGUUGGAGCCUAUUACCAACAUGUCAUCCACGUACAACAACAAAAUGAUGAAAACAUCAUUUUCUUCAAACCUCUUGUAAUACGUACAAUGGUCUGAACUGAGUCUGUUGUACCCAAGGCUAAUUAUGAAGGAAUCAAAUCUCUUGUACCAACAUCUCGGCGCCUGUUUGAGACCAUAUAGAGAUUUGUUCAACCUGCAAACCAAGUUCUCCUUGCCUACUUCAGCAAAACCCUCUGGUUGGAGCAUAUAAAUUUCUUCUUCAAGUUCUCCAUGAAGAAAUGCAGUUUUCACAUCUAACUGCUCUAAGUGAAGAUCAAAUAUAGCACACAUCGCCAAGACUACUCUGAUUGUAGUAAGUCAUACCACUGGAGAAAAUAUCUCAUUAAAAUCUAUUCCUUCUUUCUGAGCAUAUCCUUUCACCACCAAUCUUGCACGAUACCGCUCCACUUGAUUAUUGCCAUCAUGCUUUAUCUUGUAAACCCAUUUGUUGCCAAUGGCCUUCCUUCCUUGUGGUAGCGGAACAAGAUCCCAAGUGUUGUUCUUGUGUAGAGCUUCAAUCUCCUCUUGCAUCGCUGUCAUCCACAUAGAUACAUCUGUGCUUUUGAUAGCCUCAUGGAAAGUUGAUGGCUCUCCAUCCUCUGUUAGAAGACAGUAUGCAAUGUUGCUCUCAGUAACAUAUUCUGAGUGCCAAGCCGAUGGUCUUCUUUCACGAGUUGACCGUCGAACUUCAGGAGUUUCAGAUUCUAUUUGUUCUUGUUCUUCAUGCUCUGGUACAGCUUCAGAAGAAGUAUGAUUCUGAGUAUUUUCCAUCUGGACUGCUGUAGUCUCCUUUGGAAUGCUAUUAUGUUCUUCCAUUUGUAUUUUACCUUCUGCAAAUAUAACAUCUCUGCUGAUGACUAGCUUGUGGGAUUGGGCAGUGGGAUCCCACAAGCGAUACCCCUUCACUCCAUCAGCAUAUCCCAAGAAUACACAUUUUCUGGAUUUUGAAUCCAGCUUGUUGACUUCUUGAGUAUUGUACAUCACGUACACAGGACUUCCAAAUAUAUGUAAUUGAGAAUAAUCAGCUGACUUUCCAGUCCACAUCUCCAUCGGUGUCUUCAGCUCAAUUGCAGUUGAUGGAGAUCGAUUUAUCACAUAACAGGCGGUAUUGACUGCUUCUGCCUAGAAUGACUUUCCUAGACCUGCAGCCUUCAACAUUGCUCUCGUUCUUUCUAAUAGAGUUCUGUUCAUCCGCUCUGCCACUCCAUUUUGCUGUGGAGUGUAUGCCGUUGUGAACUGCCUUUUGAUACCUUCAUGUUGACAGAAGUUAUCAAAUUCAUCACUGGUAUAUUCUCCUCCAUUGUCAGUCCUCAAACACUUGAUCUUCUUUUCAGAUUCAAGUUCCACCCGCGCUUUGAAAGUUUUAAAGAUUGCGAACACAUCUGCCUUCCUUCUAAUUGGAUGCACCCAACAUCUCCUGGAGAAGUCAUCUAUGAAUGAUACAAAGUAUCUUGCUCCUCCCAAGGAUACAACCGGUGCUUGCCAAACAUCAGAGUGAAUCAAGUCUAAGAUGCAUUUGCUCUUAGUUGUUGAUGUGCCAAACUUCAACCUGUGUUGUUUACUUGUAACACAGUGCUCCCAAAAAGGUAAAGUAACCUUUGUAAGCCCAGGGAGUAACUUCUGAUCAAAGAGAACUUUCAAACCUUUCUCUGACAUGUGGCCUAGUUUUUGAUGCCACAUCAUCGUCUUCUUUUCUGCAGGACUGGCUGAUGCGAUUGACGCUUCUGCCCUAUGAUGUGUUUCUCCCAUUAAUACAAACAUGUUUGCAACUAUUUUUCUCGCCUUUAAAACUACCAACGCUCCUUUGACAAUUUUCAUUAUUCCAUUGUCUGUUCGGAUCUUAUAGCCAAGACUAUCAAAUUGUCCCACAGACAAAAGAUUUUUCUUUAAGUCUUUCACAUGACGCACUCCUGUAAUAGUACGAAUUAAGCCAUCAUACAUCUUCAAUUUGAUGGUGCCAAUGCCAGCAAUCUCUAAAGCAUGAUUAUCACCCAUGAACACUUUGCCUCCAGAGAUGGGUUCAUAUGUAUGGAACCAAUCUCGAUUAGGAGUCAUAUGCCAUGUUGCUCCUGAAUCCAUUAGCCAGACCUCAGUAAGCUCUUCUCUAUCUGUAGAGAUUGUCGCUGCUUCACUAUAUAAAACCUCCCCAUCUUCUGAGGUGCUCGCAACACAUCCUUGAGGUUUUGAUGACUCUGCAGUAUUCUCUAUACCCCUUUUAAACCAACAAUCCUUUUUGAAGUGCCCUUUUCUGCCACAGUUGUAGCAUUUCACAAUCUUCUUACUUCUUGAUUUGGACCUCCCUUGCCUUUGACUCCCACUGGAGCCACGCUCCGUUGAUCUCCCUCUUGACAUCAACAAUGCCUCUGCUUGGUUUGAACUAUUUCUGUCUCCUUUAUUUUUGCGCCUAUUUUCUUCUUCCAAGAUAGCGGCUGCAACAUCAUCAAAGACUAAAUAGUCUGUGAGGAUAUUAUUGGUCAAGUUGAUAAUGAGCUGAUCAUACGAAUCUGGGAGACUUCGAAGUAGAAGUUCUGCACGUUCACUUUCCUCUAUUUGUUGACCCAACGUAGUGAGUUGUGAAAAUAGAGUUCUUAUUGUGUUGAUGUGGUCAGUCACUGCCGUGGUUUCUGCCAUUCGAAGGGUAUAAAGUCUCCGCUUUAAGAAAAUCUUAUUGUGCAAAGACUUGGACUCAUAUAGCUUUGUUAGAGUCUCUCAUAUCUCCUUAGCUGUUUUCUUCUCCGCUACACUUGAUAAUACUUCAUCGGCUAAUGCUAAAUGUAUGUUAGCAAUAGCAUUGCCAUCCAUCUCAUUCCAUUUUGCAUUAUCAGUGAUCUCCGCGGGCCGAUCCCCAAUUGCUGCCAAGCAAUUGUCUUUCCUUAAGAUUGCUUUGAUUCUCAUUUUCCAGAGUGAGAAAUUGCUCCCAUUGAACCUCUCAAUCUCAUACUUUGCUGCCAUUUUAUUCACCGUGAUCUAUUCAGCUAUCACUGUUUCACAGAUCUGUAACGUAUAUAGAAAUAGUAUCGUGUGAAUAAUACUUCACUAAGUAAGUUCCCAGGAAAGAUUGGAGGGGUCACAAAUGGUCCCGCUUAAAACCCAAUCUCCUUAGACAGAACUUCCUAGACUGUAUUUAAUCACCGCACUGACUUUCUAUAUACGCCAACAGUAACGUAUGUGAAUAGUGCCGUAGACGUGAAUAGUAACCGUAUACACGAAUAACUUUUGUGUAUUAACAACACCAACCAAAAGGCUCUGAUACCACUAUUAGGAAACUGGCAUGCAAACCCGACAAGAUAAAAGGCAAGGGACAAGAUAAAAUGAGAAAUGAGACACACAAGAAUUUACGUGGUUCAACCAAUUUGGCUACGUCCACGGGCAAGUAUAGAAGGAUUUUACUAAGUAAUGUGGGAAUUACAACCUCUCUCUACUAAUAGGAGAAAACACCUCACUUACUCUCUCACAAAUACCUCACAAUUUUGUGGGAUUACUUUCCCUCUCUCACUCUUCUCUUCCUCUCUUAUGAUGUGCAAAAUAAGCUUGGAUGCACUGCCUAUUUAUAGGCAAGCAUCCAAGCAAAGGACAAAGGGGCACCAAUUGGUGCUGCAAGUGGCACCGAAUUGGUGCCCAACAUUGUUGAAUUUGCAGCACCAAUUUGGUGCCUAACAUUGUUGACUUUGCCAACAAUGCAGCUGGCUUCACAUAACAUAGUUUGUAUUCUGAGCCAAUCUGGGGUGGGACUUGAAACAAAUGUUGUAUAUUGUUUGCACUGUCACUUUGCUUACCCUCUUAGGUUUUUAUUGAGAUUAGGGAUUCUAUUGUAGCUCUUUUUUCUCCUUUUAUUAUAAUAAAAUAAUAUCUAUGGAUUAAUUUUGGUAUAAUUUAAGAAAGUAAGUCCUUUAAUCAAAUUUUAGAUUGACCAUCCUCUAUGUGUUAAAAGUAAAUGUUAAUUUAUAAAAUAAUAACUAUGUUUAAGUCUUGAUUAACUCAGAAGAUGUCUUCUAAGACGCAUCUCUGUCUUCUCUUCUCUUCUCUUCUUCUCUAUAAAAUUCCUUUUUAGCUCUCUGAUGUACUUAAUGUCCCGGAGGUGUGGCUUCUUCAUAUGAAGAAAAUGUUAAGAUUCAAUUAUGAUUUUAGAUUUUAGAUUCCAUUGUCUACAAAUUUGAACCAUGAUGAUGAAGCAUACGGACCAGUCAGUAGACAACAUGUUUAUUAUAUAUGAUAGAGGUCCUCAAUGUAUUUCACGUUUCUAUGAGAAAUUUCACGAGACUAUGAGUACUCGAAUUGAUCUUAGUACAACAUUUCAUUCUCAAAAUAAUGGUUAAUAAAAAAGAACCAUUCAAAUACUUGAAGAUAUGUUGAUAGCAUGCAUACUUAAGUGGAGUUUGCUGGAACAAAUAUGUACCAUUGGUGGAGUUCGUUAAGAGGGGGGAACUAAUUCCUCGAUAUAUUAGGCCUUUGGAAAUUUUGAAGAGAAUUGGUGCACUUGCUUAUGGAUUAGCUCUUCCACCCAGCUUUUUCAUCUAAACAUCCAGUAUUCCAUGUAUCCAUGCUUUAGAAGUAUAUUUGUGCUCCAUCACAUGUAUUGGAGCCAUAAACCGUAGCAUUUGAAGAAGAUAUGUCAUGUAAAAUUCGACUGGAGAGAAUUGAAGAUAGACAAAUUAGAAAACUUCGUUCUAAAGAUUGCUUUAGUGAAAGUAAUGUGAGAAGGUCAUACCUGAGAAGAUGAUACGUAAUAAAUAUCGUGAUUUCUUCAUUCAAUCAAGCUAGCAAGUUUUCUAAUUAAAUUUCGAGGGUGAAUUUAUUUUAACAGGGGAGGAAAUGUCAACCCCACCCAUAAUAUAUAACCCAUUAUUGUUUUAUUGGUCCAUUUAGGUAGCCCAUUUGUUAUAUACAGAAGGAGAGAGGUAAGGACAUUGUUAGUCAUUUUCUUCUUUCUCUCUUACGGGGAAUGUUCUUCCUUCUCCCUUUUACUGCAAAUAUUCCCCCACAAUCCUAAACCACCAAUUGACCAUAUAACUCCCUUGUUUUGAGUAGGUUUACUUCAACUUUAUCUAAGUGUUUAUAAUAUUGUUUUAGGUUUAUUUCUUUAUAUAAGCUUGUUGAAUUCUAGGCCUUAUAUGAUAUUAGUUGAUGUGAUUUGGAUUUAUUCUUAAGUUAAUUUGUGUGUGGGUAGUAACAAGUGUAUAUGAAUAUGAAUUGAAGUAAGUACCUUAACAAAUGUGAUGGGUUGGUGUGAAGCUUUGAUUAAUUGCUAUAUUUUGAUGUAAUGAGCAAAUACCUUAAGAAAUUUGAAUAUUUGAAAGAUAAUAGGUAAAUAUUGAAGAAUUGUAUAGAAAGAAUCGUAUUGAAAUUAUGGAAAAUAUGAUUUUGUCCCUAAAUUCUAAAAAACAAUUAUAGUUUGGUCACUGGUUGUAAAAACAAUUAUAUUUUCAAACUUUCAAUAUAGAGAGAGAAAUAAAAAUAAAAAGGAAAAGGAAAAGGAAACAACCCCCAGCUUUCUUGUGCCCUUUCCCUUCUUUACAUGGCUUCCUCGAUCGAUGUAAAAAAGCAAACGCCCCAUUUGAUUUUCAAGCAGUAUGAGUGAGAAAGAUAGAGAGGACAAGAGAGGACAAGGGGGUCCUCUCUCUCUUUCCUUGCUUUUUUUAACGCGUGGACCCAGCAGUUGUUGCCACCAAAUUCCUUCCUCAAUAUUUACCAGUGCUACACGCUUGAGAAAUUUCCUUGUUAUUUUUUUUAUUAAUGAAAUAUUACUUUUACCGUAUAGCCAUUGAAUUCUAGAUCAAUUUAUCGGGUAUUGGGCCGGUUUGGAUUUAAUAAUUAUGAUUCACAGACAUACAACUAGUACUUGCAACUAUUAAUAUUUAUUAUUUUCAUUAAGUUUUUCAAACUUUCAAUAUAGAGAGAAAAAUAAAAAUAAAAAGGAAAAGGAAACAACCCCCAUCUUUCUUGUGCCUCUUCCUUUUUUUUUAAGUUUAAUGUUGGUGUUUGGGUCAACUUGCACGCAUCUCGACUAAUUUCAUGGGCUCUGAAGUUAACAACUAUGUAAGUCUCCAAUGACCAUCAUAUAAACAACCACGGGGCUCGAAUUUAAAACUAUAAAAAAAACAAAUCUCUUAAUCACAUGAUCUUAUUAAUGUACCACCAUUUAGGUAGUUGCCCUUUCCCUUCUUUACAUGGCUUACCCGAUGAAAAAAGCAAACACCCCAUUUUGAUUUUCAUUCCGUACGAGUGAGAAAGAAAGACAGGACAAGGUUUGUUGAGGCUUUUUUUUUGGAACCUCGCUCUGGGAUUAAUUAGCGAGAAUAAGAAAAUUCUAUGCAAAUUAUACAAAAUUUAUUAUUAAUCAUCAAUAUUUAUUCUUAUCAUCAAUAUUGAAUAAUGGUUUAUUUUCUAGUAUAAACUAUGAUGGGUUCGUUUAUAAAAAUAAAUAAAUUGAGGUUUUUCAAUUUCCUUUAAACAUAUCAUAGUUUUAAUACCAUUUAUUUUUACAUUUUAAAAAUAAUUUUUAAAAAAAUUAAAAAUAAAUUUUAUUUUUUAUUUCAAAAUAAUAUUUUUUUAAAUAUUUUUAAAUUAUCUUGAUAUAUUGAUAUUAAAAUUAAUUUUUAAAAGAUAAAUUUUUUCAAACAUAAAGUUUAGCCUGCAGAUCUUCCGCUGAUCCCAUCUCAUUGUUGUAUGCAUCCAAGCUAAGCCAAUUCAAGAAAGAAGAUUUGAAGAAUACCACCAGCAGCAGGAGUAAUACAUUAACAUAACAGCAUUAUGGCAGAAGGAGGGACGACCUCACUGCAAGGGCGAAGGCAUGUUAAAGACUUGGGCGUGCUAUAAUUUAGAUUAAAACUUUAUUAAUAUUUUUUGAUUAGUUUUAUUUAAAAAAAUUGUAAUUCUUGAUUGAAUUAUUAAAAAAAUUUAAAAUUUAUGUGGAGCUUUCUAGAAUAACGUUUUAACUUGGAUUAAAAUUUCAGAAUAUUUUGAGAAAUUCAAAAAUUUGAUGAAAAAUCAUAAUUUAACUAAUUUUAUGUUAAUUGAUGUAAUUUUCAAUCCAACUAUCAAAUUGAGCUGAAAUUUUACGAGAAAUCUUAAAAUAUAUUAAAUAAAAUAUAAUUAAAAUUUUAUGAUGAGUGGAGCUUGAUAAUACUAACAAAAAAAAUCAUCAAAUAAAAACAAAUCAAGAAUAAAAUGAUUAUUUCCAUUAAAAAGUAAAAUAAAUCAACUAUUUAUAUAAUAGCUAAAUCUAUUAAGAUAAAUCGAAAAUAACUAGUAAAAUCAAUGACUUGUAUUGACGAGUGUGUCUAUAUAUACAUAUAGGAACUGCUGAUUCGAUUUGAAUAUGUUAUUUGAUUAGUCUAAUUCAUGAUUUGCAUUGACUCAAAAUUACCACUAGAAAUUCCUAGUUUCGUGGUGCUUUCUCAGCCUGCAAAUGAAUAUAAAGCAUAUCCUUUUAUCCUAUAUAAAGAAUACAAUUAACCUUUUUAUCUUUUAUAAUUAUAAUUAUUGCAUUGCUAAUAAUUUGCACGAAAGAAUAUUGUUUCUCUGAAAAGGGCUUGAGAAAACCCUAAGCAUAGUAUAUAAUCUCUUAUAGGAAUCUCUUUAUUAAAUUAUCAAAAUAUCAAAGUCUGUUUCCAAAGACUAUGACUACAGUUUAUAUAUAGAAACAACCAAAUAUAAAAAUUAUUAAUUUUUAAAUAGAAAAACCAGAGAGCUUGAUAAUAUUUAAUAAAAAAAAUAAAAUAGAAAAAUUAUUCCUUUUUAAGUAGAAAAAAAUUAUAAAGAUUUAAUAAUACUAAAUAAGAAAAAUUAAAAUUUCUACACUAAAUUAAAAAAACAAAAAAAAAACUGAGAAAAUAUUUAUUAUCCCAAUAGUUCUUAUAUUAAAAUCUCAUUUAUCAUAUGUUAUAUCUAUCAAAAUAAUAAUAAUAAUAACUUGUGACUUGAACUAAAGCUACAUGCGAAAACUAGAAAAACCCGGUAGAGACCCGUUCUGUUUUUUCAAAUAUGUUUUUUCUUCUAGCUAGAGACCUUUUUUUUUAAUAUAUUUUUCUAUUGGUUACUAAACCAUUUCAAAGUUCACUAUAUAAAUACUAGAAGAAUAUUUUAUUUUUUCAAUAUGGAAUAAAAAAAAUCAUUUUUGUUUACAUACCUCAAUUUAAAAGAAUUAGAUAAUAUUUUUUUAAUAUGAGAUAAAAAAACCUUUUGAAAUAAUCUUUUAAACUUUAUUAUAUGCAACAUGUAUAAUCUAUAUUCAUAUAAAUUAUUUCUUUAAUUUUUUUCAUUCUCAUAUUCAAACUUCCAAUAUUGAGAGAGAAAUUAAAAGGAGCAAAAGGAAACAACCAGUGAGGACAAUAUCCUCCAGCUCAUCAUCAGAUCCCACGAAAGGAACGCAGAAAGACAUUCCCUUUCUUGUCAUCAAGUUUUGAAUCAAAAAGUACUUUCGUGCAUUAUUGUCAUAAAGUUUUUCAAACUUCCAAUAUAGAGAGAGAAAUUAAAAGUAAAAAUAAAAAGAGCAAAAGGAAACAACCCCCACCCCAUCUUUCUUGUUCCCUUUUCCUUCAAUGAAAAAGCAAGCACUAAUGCACCUUCUCCACAAACUACCCCCCAAUUUCGCCACUAUAUAAAUAUAUUAUGGAAAACAAGAUAAAAAGAAAUCUUUCGGUACAUCUAUAUAUAUAUAUAUAUAUAUAUAUUAUGGCUAUGAAAAUAGGUUUGUGGAAAUUUACAUGGUUUGAUUUUGACAGUGUCAGAUUAGACAAUUGCAUGGAAAUGGUCUUCUUAGUUUGCCGUGUGGAAAAUCAUGUCAUUUACGGGACUGCUGGAGAGAGUUUCUAUUGAUAAUUUCACUCGAAAAGUUUUAGUAAUUUACAAAGGAAAUUUCUCCUUUAUAUGAAUUGAAAAACUAUUAUUGACUGACUUCUUGCAAAGUAUUUGCAAGAAAGCUAAAGAAUUAAAGUUUUUCAAUUUUGAAAAUUAUAAUUUAAAAUUUUUAGAAAAAAAUCAAUUAUUUUUAAAAUUGUUUUCAAAAAUACACUACCAGAAAUUCAUCUAAUACCAACGGACUUACCGACAGAAUUAUUCUGUCGGUAAAUUGCGGUGAUAAUUACUGACGGAUACUAAUCCGUCUGUAAUUCAGUUGGUAUAUACCGACGGAAUUAUUCCGUCGGUAUAUACCGACUGAAUUACAGAAGAAAGAUAUAGAAUUAAAAAAAAGCGGGGAUGUUGACGUGACAGUUUUUGCGGGCGAUUUUACCGACGGAAUCAACGAGGGAUUCAAACCCUGAUUUUGUUUAUGAGCAAUUUUGACUAUCUUAGAGGUAGAACUAGGUUCUCUUUAAUCAUAGAACUUGUAGCCUCAUGUCUUAGCUUUCUAACAAGACUAAUCUUGCUUAAAUCGGAGUUUUAUAACUCCAGAUAUAGUUAAAAAUAUGAGGAGAGGUCAGACAGUAACAGUUCAAUGUUUAGACAGUAACAGUUCAAAAAUGAGACAGUAAUAGUUGGACAGUAACAGUUCAAGAACGAGACAGUAACAGUUAAAAAAUGAGACAGUAACAGUUCAAAAAUGAGACAAUAAUAGUUGGACAGUAACAGUUCAAAAAAGGAGACAGUAACAGUUAAAAAACGAGACAGUAACAGUUCAAUGUCUAGACAGUGACAGUUCGGGAUUUAAACAGAAACGGUUCAAAUAUAUAUAUAUAUAUAUAUAUAUGUGUGUGUGUGUGUGUGUGUGUGUGUGUGUGUGUGUGUGUGUGUGAAAUGAGAAAAAUGUAAAAUAUUAAGAAAUGACUGAAAGAAAGACUUAUUGGUUGUUGAUAUGGUUAUAAUAAAACAUAUCCUUGAGUGAGGAAGUAGAGCUUCUAUUGCAGGUAGGUAAUCCGUACCUAUACUUUCUAGUUUAAUUCUAUGAUUUAAUAAGUUAUUGAUGUGAGAUGUGAAUUACCGAAUAUGGGAUAUUAGGAUAAAGGAGGAAAGUUUGCGUAAUGAUGCCGAUAUUUGGAAAGUAUUCUUAAUGUAUGUGUAUUCAAGGUGAACGGUUGUUCUGUGAAUUGCCAAGUGAUGAAAUUAUAAUUGAUAAAGAAAAUAUGAGAAGUGUGAUUUGGGGCGUGAACUAGCAUACAUUUAGUGUAUGUUAGGAUCCCGGGUAAGGGGAUCAAGAUGUAUUGGCUAGCAUACAUUUAGUGUAUGUUAGGAUCCCGGGUAAGGGGAUCACCAUGUAUUGGCUAGCAUACAUUUAGUGUAUGUUAGGAUCCCGGGUAAGGGGAUCACCUUGCAUCGACUCCUACAUGAUGAUGAUGAUGAUAACAGUGAAAUUGGUAUCGGUAAUGUGUUAAGCGGAAAUAAUCAUGGGUGGUUUUAUGAGAUCUUGAAUGGAGGUUGAUAAUAGAAGAGGAAAUGGUUUUUAGUAGUUGAAGGAGAAAAAGUCUCCAAUAAGAACCAAAAGGGAGAAGUGAAUAAAAUAUGAAUGUAUGUUGCCUUUUUAAAUUGCUGGAUAUUUGUAUUGCUAUAUUAUUGUGAUAUUCAUAUUUCAAUAAUAUGUAUUUUAUUUUCAGGACCAUCGCAUGCAUGACAGGAGUAGAUUUUGGCUUAGGUUCUUUUUUUGUAAUUUAGGUUCUAAGGAGUAUACCCUUGUAUUUGGUAAUAUUACAACUUUUAUUUAACUUAAUUUGUAUAAUUGAUGUUUAAACUUGAAUAGAUGAACUUAAUUCGGUAGUUUGUAUAACUAUGUUCCAUUAAGCAUGUUUAUAUCUUUAACCAUCCAUAAUGAUAAUUGUUGUACAAUGUAUAUCAUCAACAUUGUGGUUGAUAUGAAUGGUGAUGUUUGUGGGAUUGAGACCUAAGAUGAUUAGGCUGAAUUGAGUUGGAGAUGCGGUAUAUUAGAAGUGUAAACAGGACGUAUGUCGAUAACUUGGGACCUCCCGGUAUAGGGGAUACUCUGUUAAAAUUUCACUAGACUUUAAUGCAAAUACCAUGAAUAGAUAUAUAUAUAUAAAAUUUAGUCACUCUGUUUAUCAGCUAACAUGAGAUCGUUGCUUUAUCCCUGAUAUGGGAAUGUUACAGGUUCGAUAGAAGUCAUGGAUGAUUGUUCAUGGAUGUAUCGAGAUCCAUGUGUUAAUUUUGACAACAUGUAUUAAUUAAGAUGACAACAUGUAUUAAUUAACUAACAUAGUUAACUAAUACAUGUUUUCAUCAUAAUUUUAUAGAGGUUCGAUAAAAGUCAUGGAUGAUUGUUCAUGGAUGUAUCGAGAUGCACCCCAUGGAUUGCAGAGGAUUCUUUGAAGAAAAUUCAAAUUUUCAUGUUUUCGAUAAUAGUCUUGUUGAUGUUGACGCAGAGGAGUUGAAUGUUGUUUUGAGCUCUAACGGACAAGCAAAUAUCGAUGAAGAUGAUGAUUAUGAUGACAUCCAUAUUGAAGAUUGCGAUGGAGCUGAUGACUAUUCAAUUGAUGACGAAGAAGAAGAAAAUUCUGACUAACUAGCAGAAUCAAGGAAAGUGCAAAGCAUUUUUCUAAAAUGUAAUAUGUAUUAUCGAUGAUAUUUUGUAACAUGAAAUAUUUAUUUGAUAAGUGUUUAAGUGUUUUUGUGUGAUGGGCAGUUUGUAAUUUAAGUGUUUGUAGGAAGGUAAAUAGGCAAUACAAACAAAAGUUUUCAUGCACAGUGCACGAUCACCAACGUCCAUACCGAUGGAUUACAUUUCGUCGGUAUUGCACAGAGAGCUGUAAAAUAUUUAUUGGAAAUGCCACAAUCACCGACGACUUUGCAGAUGGAUUACCGUCCGUCGGCAUUCAACAGAGAGGUUCACUGGAAAUGCCACAAUCACUCACCGACGACUUUGUAGACAGAUUAAAGUCUGUCAGCAUUCCACAGAGAGGUUCACUGGAAAUGCCACAAUCACCGACGACUUUGCUGAUGGAGUAGAGUCUGUCGGCAUUCCACAGAGAGUGGUGGAAAUGCCACAAUCACCGAUGACUUUGCAAACGGAUUACAGUCCGUCGGCAUUGUGUCGGCAGCUCACAAUUAUCGAUAAAUUCACCAACGAACGGUGUGAAUUCCAAAGGACGGGUAAUAAAUGCAUAUCUGAUAGCGUGCAGCUGCCGACGGAAUUACCAACGAACUGCGAAAAAUAUGGAGGGUAAUUAAAAAAUUCUGGAGCAAAAUUCAAAAUUUACCGACGGAGUUAAAUGUUCGUCAGUGAAUCCGUCGGUAAAAUUACGAUAUAAAUGCCAGCGACCGCCCUUUGAGUUCAUUUUUUCAUCUCCUUUGUUUUUAGAGCUUAACUUUUUGUUUUUUUUCCCUCUCAUUUCCUUCAAAUCUCUUGUUUUUUCUUGUAAUCUCUAGUUAUAUCUUCAGCAAAUUAAAAGGUAUGUAUUUCCUCUACUUAAUUUGCUUUAAGAUUUUACUUUUUUAUUUGUUCUUUGUUUAGCAAUUGUUAUUUUUGUUAUGUUUUUUGUUUUGGUGUAUUUUCAUAAUGUAGAUAAAGUCUUACAAUAAACACAUUAUUAAGGUAAGCAUUUUUCAUUCUUAAAGUCUAUAGUUUUUUUUUUAACUUGUUCAAUAUAUUUUGUUGUUUGUUUUGCCAUAAUAAUUAGGGGUGAGCAAAUUCGGUUCGGUUCGGUUUUUAUCUAAAAAACUAACCAAAAUCAAAUUUUGAAAAACUUAAAAAUUCAAACCGGACCCAAACCGGAACCGGUUCAAACCGACCGGUUUCGGUUCGGUUCGGUUCGGUUUUUUUAUCAGGAAAACCGGAAAACCUGUAUUAUUGUUUUUUUGGGCUUUUUCGGGCUUUUUAAUGGGCUUUCUGAUGGGUUUUCUGAUGGGCUUGUAAUUAAUGUAAAUAUCAUCUAAUUUUGUUACAAAAUUCUAUAAUAUAUUUAAUAUUUUUUAUCACUAAAUAUUCAUUUAUAUUAAAUUAUUAGUGCUAAUAUUAUGUUUAAUAUGUUGCACAUCUUUCUAAUAUUUAUAUUUAGGAGUUUGGACUCCUCAUGCAUCAAAAUUUAAAUAACACACACACCAAAUUAAAAUUAAAAUUACAAAGCAUUGCCUUCAAAAUGGGCUUAAAAAAACAACAAAUAACAUUGCCAUAAAAAAUAAAAUACUUCAUGCAAAAAAUAUAAAUCUUCAUUGUGCACAUCAUCUCAAUCAAAAAGCACAACAAGAUGACAAGAACAUUGCACUUUGAUUCCGUAAUACCAUUGACAUCAAAACCUGAAAAUCAAGAUCUAAAAUUAUAACAUGAUAAAAUAAAUUAGAAUAUGUAAAAAUAAAUAGUAGUAUUUUACCAUCAAAGUAACUUUUGAACUAAUUAUCAUUUGUUACUAAAUGUAACUUUCCACCAAAUUCUACAAAAUAAAAAAUUAGACAUGUUAGAUGAUUGCAAACAAUUUAAUUAAUAAAUAACAAAAUAAAAGGUGCAAAUUUCUAAAAACAAUUACCUGACUCAAGGUUUUCGUAGGUUUCAAGAUCAUUUAUCAAGCUUCUAAUAUCAGUUGGAAUUGAUCCAUGAUGAAACCAAUUUUGACAACAAAUGAGUGCUUGAACAGUUGCUGGAGAUAGAGAACUUCGAAAUUGAUCAAGUACACGACCACCUGUGCUAAAUGCUGAUUCAGAAGCCACUGUAGAUAUAGGAAUAGCCAGAACAUGUUGUGCAACCUUUGAAAGUGUCUUAUAUUUCAAAGCAUUACUUUUUCACCAACCCAAAAUAUCUAACUUAUCAUCAUUACGAUCCUCACAACCUUCAAUCAAAUACCUCUCAACCUCAUUUUUAUUUUCCACACUAUCCACCUUCAGCAAAUGUCUUUUGAAUCGAGCCAAAGUGUUAACAUCUACCUCCACAUCAUCAAUAGCAUUAACAUCCUGUUUAUGCCUAUUAUUAUCCACCACUUCAUCAAUUUUCAAAUAAAACUCAUACAAGCUCACCAAAGUAUCUUUCACCUUAUUUGUUAGCAAUUGUGCUUUGUCAUAAUCAUACAAAUCACCAAAACAAAAUUCCACAUAUUUCAACUUCAAACAUGGAUCUAAGACAUUAGCCACAUAUAACAAAAAAUUCUGAUUUACUUCACAACCCCAAUACUUCUCAAACUUUAACAUCAUCUUCAUCGCCAUUCCACUUUAACAAGUUUGUAUGCAUGUAAAUCAAUUCAUUGAAGAAAGAAUUUGAUGUGACAUGCAAUGAGCCAGAAAAUAUCAAUGUAACCAUAUAAAAGAUCUUUAAGAACUUAACCAAAGUUCUUGCAUUUUCCCAAUCCUCCAAACUAGGUGGCCCUAUGUUUUUUUUAUUCCCCUUUGAAUCAACCUCCAAAAAGUAACUCAUAUACCUAAGUUCUCUUUCACCUAACCUCACAAAUACCUUUUCAAACUUUUCAGCAGCUUCUAGCAUAAGAUAAGUUGAAUUCCAUCGAGUUGCAACAUCUAAACACAAUGAUUUCUUACACUCUAUAUGCAACUUUUCAGCACACUUCUUAAAUGCAAGAUGCCUCAACGGUGAAGAUCUCACAAACCUAAUGGCAUUUCGAAUCUUAACAACUGAAUCAUUAAUCUCUUUCAAGCCAUCACACACAAUGAGGUUUACAAUGUGUGCACAACAUCUAACAUGCAGGUGCUCAUUUGACAAUAUAUUAGUUGGCCAAUCUUUCAUCACAUUCUUUAAAUAUGAAAUGGUCACAUUAUUAGAGCUUGCAUUGUCUAAUGUAAUAGUCAACAGUUUAUCAAUCCCCCACUCCAACAAACAAUUCUCAAUAACUUGGCCAAUUGUCUCACCCAUAUGAUUGGAAACUUGACAAAAAUUAAGAAUUCUUUUAUGCAAAUUCCAGUCAUUAUCAAUCCAAUGAGCUGUUAAACAAAUAUAGUUAAUAUUUUGGAUUGAUGUCCAUGUAUCUGUUGUCAAGCACAAUCGUUGACCCCUAAGAGCUGUCCUCAAUCUAUCCUUCUCUUCAACAUAAAGUUUCAAACAAUCUCUCAUAAUUGUAAAACGAGAAGGAAUGUCAAAUCUAGGUUGUAUAGUCCUAGCAAACAAUUUAAAUCCCCGACCCUCCACAAAAUUAAAAAGCAACUCAUCAAUUAUAACCAUCUUUGCUAGUGCUUGUCUACAUUCAUCAUAAUUAUAACCUAUUGCCUUAAGACUUCCCACAUUUUGUUCUCCCAAUUCACCCUUCUCUAUCUUAGGUUCUAAUACCAAAACCUUUUGUUUCUUAUCAAUCACAAAAGGGAACUUCUUGUACACUUUUAAAUGACUCCACAUAUUACUUGUGCCAUUAACAAUAGUAUGACAUGCAUAAUGUUUUCCACAAUAAUUACAUUCAGCUCUAGGGGUUUUAGGAUCAACAUCAAGUUUUGUAAAGUGAUCCCAAGUUUGUGACUUCUUUUUAUCAUCAGCAUUUCUUUUCCUAGAUGAAAGGACUUGAGGUUGUUUACCUUGUGUAUCUGUGGUGGAUCCUGCAUUGGUUGAUUCUACAUUAGGUUUUGAAGUUGGAGAAGUAGUUGAUGUUGGUGUAGUGCCUGUGGAUGAAGCAUUUUGAAUUUGAGUAGUUUCCAUCUGUUAUUAUAUAUGAAAACAUGUUAAAAACCAAUAAUUUAUAAUAGAUUAACAACAGUAUGACAUGCAUAAGUUCAACUGUAAUUUUAAAGAUUAUUUUCACAAGUUAAGUUCUUUUAUUUUGGUUGAUAUGUUGUAAAAACAAUUAUGUUGCUGAGUGCUGAGAUUGUAUUUUGUAAUUUCAAUAGACAAUAAUACAAUACAAUAUAUAUAUAUAUAAACAUUAUUCUCUUUUCAAUAAAUAAAAAAAAUUCAGUUUUCAGAAUUGAUAAAUUACAAUCCACCGAAUCCCCCCUCUUUUUUUUAACACAGAUAAUAAACAUUAUUCUCUGUUUUUUUAGCACACAGCAUUGACAGCACACCAUAAUAAUGGAUUAGCAAUAAUAUUUAAAACAAAUGCCUCUCGGGGAAACUGUAUUUUCCCAUUUUUCUCCCUAAUGUAAUAUCAGGCUCAUAAUACCAAUUCACCGCAUUGGUAUUGCAAGUUUUUAUCAUUUGUUUAGUAUCAUUUUCUUCUUCAGUCAUUUGGCUAUUGACAUAAUGAGAUAAUUUUUCUAAUCUUUUACCAGUACUCCACCUUAGAGUAUGAGUGGAAUUCAAUCUCUAAUGUCUAGCUAAAAGCCUAAAACGGCACAAAGAGGUUUCUUUAGUAAUGAUCAAGUUUUACCACUACCAGUGCCAAUUAUUCCCAUUUCUUUCAGUGAUGUGCUGUUAGCUUUAGCAUUUGGAACAAUCAUAACAUAUUGUCUUUCUCAUGACCAGUGCCAUUUCUACCAGUGCCAAUUAUCUGUGUUUUGUAUAUUAAAUUAACAUGCAAGAGUUUGUAUAUUAAAUUAACCCUCAUUCCGAUAUUAAUCUAGAUUCCAUUAUUUUUUCAUUGCUACUCAUGACCUUAAUAAAACACGAAUUCAUUAACAUAUUGUCUUUCUCAGCAAAGAAAAAACGCAUUGUCUCUGUCAUAAAUCUCUUCUUAAGAAGUUUAUUAAAAAAUAAACAGAAUCACAGAGCAAUAGAGCAUAUGUUCAAAAAAAAAACAGAGACAAAAAAAAAAUCAUACCUGGUGUGACACGAUUCAAGGUCGGGUGUGAGAGAGGGAGGUGACUGCCUCACUGGUUCGCUAAAUCUGGAGUUGGACUCUGGAGGUUCGGUGAGCCGGUGUGGUGUGUGUCCUACGAUUCAAGAUCAGGUGUGACCGUGUGAGAGAGGGACGUGGCUGACUGGGGUUUGAAGAUGAAGAUGGUGGCCGGUGGGAGAGGGAUGUGGCUGACUGGCGUUUGAAGAUGAAGAUGGUGGGAGAGGGAUGUGGCUGACCGGCGUUUGAAGAUGAAGAUGAAGAUGGUGGGAGAGGGAUGUGGCUGGUUGUGGUCCAGUAGAUGAAGAUGGAUUGAUUUCUUACAUAUGUGAAAUUGUGAGUUGUGAGUUGAGGGAGCGGCUUAGGAGAAAGGAGAAGGACGGCUGGAGCAGGAGUAUGGAUGCUAGGGUUAAGAAAAACAACGCGAUUUUUUUUGUAGCUAUUUAUAGUACCCCUUAAACCGAACCGGUUCGGUUCGAUUGGGGUUUUUCCGGUUUCAGGUUUCUAAAACCGAAACCGAACCGAACCAAACCAAAAAUUUUUACAAAAAAUUUAAUCGGUUUUUUUGGUUAUUUUUUUUUCGGUUUUCUCGGUUUAUUCGGUGUCUCGGUUUUUUUUCUCACCCCUAAUAAUAAUUGAACACUUUGUUGAAUUUUAAUUGUUAUUGUUGAAUUUACCUUGCAAUUAGUAAUUGAAUACACUGGAAUGAAUUUAAUUAUUUUAUCUCAAUUUUACUGUAUUUUUGCAUGAUAUGUGUUUAAUUAUUUUGUUGAAUUUUAAUUGUUAUUGUUGAAUUUACCUUGUAAUUAGUAAUUAAAUAUAUUGGAAUAAAUUUAAUUAUUUUAUUUCAAUUUUACUGUAUUUUUGCAUGAUAUGUGUUUAAUUAUUUUGUUGAAUUUUAAUUCUUAUUGUUGAAUUUACCUUGUAAUUAGUAAUUGAAUAUAUUGGAAUGAAUUUAAUUAUUUUAUCUCAAUUUUACUGUAUUUUUGCAUGAUAUGUGUUUAAUUAUUUAGUUGAAUUUUAAUUGUUAUUGUUGAAUUUACCAUGUAAUUACUAAUUGAAUAUAUAAGAAUAAAUUUAAUUAUUUUAUCUCAAUUUUACUCUAUUAUUACAUGAUAUGUGUUUAAUUAUUUCCAUUAAUUUUAAUUGUUAUUUGUAUAGAUGUUAGGUUAUAUGUAAGAUUUUUGAAUGGGGGUCAAUUGGUUGUGGCUAUUGUUAAUAUUUGAAGGUUUGAAAACUUUGGGUAGUCUCCAGUAUAGAAGAGACGCUGCUGAAUUUUUUUUAACAAUCGAAUUUAAUUAUAUAAUUAUUCUUAUAAAAUUGCGUAGAUGUGUAUAAUGAAAUCAACUGUUCGUCGCUCACAUAUGGUCGCAGCUAGUUCUUCUAGCAGCAAGAAUGACAUUUCCUUAGGUGUCAAUCAAGAAGAGGUACCUGCACCACCUACCGAUGCUGCCUCUUGCAGCACGGUUUCACAGCGCAGAGACGGCGUGCCUUCACAGUGGAAUCAAUUUACUUACAAGUACGAGGCACAAUGGAAGAACGAUGUUUCAAUGUAAGUUUGUUUUGAUUUUAGUUUUUUUUUUAAUUAUAACAUAAUUUAUGAACAACUAAUCAAUAUUUCAUUAAUUUAAUUUAUUUUCAGGUUCACAAACAUUGAGACCGUCCGAGUAAUAUCAUCGGCGUUUAAAUCGUCGAUGGAGAUUCCAUUAUUUCAAUGGAGUUAGGUAUCCAGACAUCCUGAAUGGAUACCUAAUAUCGAUGCAUGGUUUGAUAAAUUUGAGGUUGGUGUUAAUUUCUAAUUUCCAGCUUAUUUUUAAUAAAUUAUUAAUAUAAUUAUAAAUAAAUUAUUAUUUUUAUUUUAAAUAAAUUAUGUAUACGUGGCACAAAUUCGAGUAGGACAGCACACAUGAUAAUAUUGUGAGGAGGGUGUGGGAAAAUCAUGCGGCAACUAAGUAACAUCGAAAACAAUAUGAUAUUUUUUAAAAAAAAAAUAUGUUUUAAAAUCUAAUUUGUUACUAUGGAAGUAGGUUGUGUGAUUUUUGGUAUGAAGCACAAAAAAAGGUAAAAAAAAAAAAAACACGAGAGAUAGAGGUCUCCAAGGCUAGAACGACGUGGCGGUUUGGGGGGAUUUCAAACCGCUACACAUCCCGGAAAAUAUUUGGCCGGAAUAUAUUGAGCACGUGACGUCUGAGCGGUUCACACGACGCUCAAAGUCUGGUGCUGACAACCGGAACAGGCAAAUUCAUGGUUCACUGACAACGCACAUCGACGGCUCCGUAUCGUUUGCUACACAUGCAAAACGGAUAUAAGAUUAAUUUAAAUGAAAUAUAUCGUUAAAUAAUUUGUUGUUACUUAAUUAAUUUUUUUUCUUACAGGCUACGUCUCUUGGACGUGAGCCGAGCCCAAUGGAGCUGUUUGUAGAGACGCACAUGCGGAGUCAAGACCGCCAAAAGGGGGUGCAACAGUUCGUUGACAACCGCGCUCAACACUUUGUGGUAUGUUCGUUCAACCAUUUUAUUUCGUAAGUUAUUAUUUUUAUUGAAUUGAAUAUGAUGAUUUUUUUUUAUUUUCAGGAUACCUAUAAUAGUCGUUGAGGGAGAGAUAUAGGGACGAUCCUUCAAUCCAUCCGGAUUUCAAUCCGGAUUUGUGGAUGGCGGUAGGAUCGUCCGGUGGACUCGAUAAAAAUCAGGUGUAUGGGCUCUCCAACACCACGGCCGAGAACUUGCGAGCGGCCAGUAGUGCCUCAACCGUUGGGAGCUCCCAAUCUAAGGAGUCCGUGGCCUUGCAGCAACACACGAGUCAUCUCACCGAGAAAUACGAGCAACUCUCGACGAAUUAUGAACUUCGCCAAAUUAUCAUGAACAUGACAUCACAGAGUGACUUUAUGGUCUCGGGAAAAACCAGCCUCCUCCUCCUCCUCCUCCUCCAGCCCCGCCAUUCUGCUAAUUUAAUAUUUUUUUGGAAACACAUUCAAUUUGUAAUGAAUAUUAUUUAACUUUAUUUUUUUAUUUUUGAUGUUUAAUAAAAUUUUAUUUGCAUAAUAGUUUUUUUUACUAUUAAUUUACAUAUUUUUAUAUUAUUUAUUCUAAAUAAUUUUUUAAAAAACAAAUUUAAAAAACCCCACCAACAGAAUUCAUCCGUCGGCAUUUUACAGAAAGUUGAAAGAUAUUUACUAAAAAAGGCCACAAUCACUGAUGUCUUCACAGACGGAUAGUGUCCGUUGGCAUUUUACUUAGAAUCAAAAAAUAUUUACUGGAAAUACUAUAUUCACUGAUAUUUUCACAGACAGAUUUAUUUCGUUGGUAAAUACCGAGAGUUCAAACAAUGACUUGCAUUGACGAGUGUAAUAAUCUGGAACCACUCGCAAUAAAUAAAGCCACAAAAGGCAGACGAGAGUGUCUAUAUAUAUACAUAUAGGAACUGCUGAUUCGUGGUGCUUUCUCCUGCAAAUGAAUAGAAGACGAGUGUGUCUAUAUAUAUACAAAUAGGAACUGCUGAUUCGUGGUGCUUUCUCCUGCAAAUGAAUAGAAAGCAUAUCCUUUUAUCCUAUAUAAAGAAUACAAUUAACCUCAUUUCAAUAUCCUUGCUUUACUCUUCAGCUAACUUCUCUCUCCCAUUGCUGAAAUUUCAUAGCUAACUCUUUGUUAUAUAGAGGUAUAUAUGGCUAACUCUUCUUUGCUUCUUUCGUGUUUUAAUUUCAUGUCUUUACCAUUAACAAUAAUGUGAAAGCUUUGUUUGUUUCAUGUUUAACUUCAGUUGCUAUUGUCUUAUGCUCUCUCAUUAUUAAGCUUAAACUGUUGUAUCAUCUUCGAUGAUCUUGACAUGUAUCUCUUACUUGUAUUAGCAAGAGAGUAGAUACCUUCUGCAAUUGCUCCAUUGCUAAUUGACUGUGCCUUGAUUUCUGCAGCUGCCAUGACAGAGCCGGAGUCUUCUCGAUCUAUAUCACUAGGGGCCUAUGAUGUCUUCUUGAGUUUUAGAGGAGAAGACACUCGCAAGACAUUUACAGAUCAUCUCUAUACUGCCUUGGUCCAAGCAGGAAUCCACACUUUUCGAGAUGAUGAUGAACUUCCGAGGGGAGAAGAAAUCUCCGAUCAUCUCCUCAGGGCAGUUCAAGAAUCGAAGAUAUCCAUAGUUGUCUUCUCAAAAGGAUAUGCUUCUUCUAGAUGGUGUCUCAAUGAACUUGUAGAGAUUCUGAAGUGCAAAAAUAGGAAAACCGGUCAGAUUGUUCUUCCUAUAUUCUAUGACAUUGAUCCUUCAGAUGUGAGAAAACAGAAUGGCAGUUUUGCAGAAGCAUUUGUUAAACAUGAAGAGCGUUCUGAAGAGAAGUUGGUGAAGGAGUGGAGAAAAGCUCUUGAGGAGGCUGGAAAUCUAUCUGGACGGAAUCUCAAUGAUAUGGCAAAUGGGUAUGCCUUUUUCCCAAAUUUAUGGAGUCAAUAUACUUUACAUUUUUCAAUGUGAAACAAUAAAAUGCUUAAUUGACUCGCUAUCAAUGACUGCCUUUUGUCUAUGAGCAGGCAUGAAGCAAAAUUUAUCAAAGAGAUUAUCAAGGAUGUGUUGAAUAAAUUAGAUCCCAAGUACUUGUAUGUUCCUGAGCACCUAGUAGGUAUGGAUCGGCUUGCUCACAAUAUUUUUGACUUUCUAAGUACUGCAACCGAUGAUGUACGCAUUGUGGGCAUACAUGGGAUGCCAGGAAUCGGAAAGACAACUAUAGCAAAAGUUGUAUUUAAUCAACUCUGCUAUGGAUUCGAGGGAAGCUGUUUUCUUUCGAAUAUCAAUGAAACACCAAAAAAACUUACAGGUCUUGUUCGUUUACAAACGCAACUUCUUCGUGAUAUUUUAAAACAAGAUGUUGCAAACUUCGAAUGUGUUGAUAGAGGAAAGGUUCUGAUCAACGAACGAAUUCGUCGCAAAAGAGUUCUUUUUGUUGCUGAUGAUGUGGCUCGUCAGGACCAGCUAAAUGCUUUGAUGGGAGAGCGAAGUUGGUUCGGUCCGGGAAGUAGAGUAAUUAUUACAACAAGAGAUUCAAAUCUUCUUCGUAAAGCGGAUCAAACAUAUCAAAUUGAAGAAUUGACACGAGAUCAGUCCCUUCAGCUUUUCAGCUGGCAUGCCUUUAAGCACUCCAAGCCAGCAGAAGAUUAUAUUGAGCUUUCGAAGGAUGUAGUUGAUUACUGUGGAGGACUUCCUUUGGCUCUUGAGGUUAUGGGUGCUUGUCUGUACGGGAAAAACAGAGGUGGUUGGAAAUCUGUAAUUGACAAAUUGAGAAGAAUUCCAAACCACGAUAUUCAAGGAAAGCUUAGAAUAAGUUAUGACUCACUGGACGGUGAAGAACUACGAAAUGCAUUCCUUGAUAUCGCUUGCUUCUUUAUUGAUAGAAAGAAAAGGUACGUCGCAAAAGUGCUAGGAGCCCGUUGCGGUUACAAUCCAGAAGUUGAUUUGGAAACUCUCCGUGGAAGGUCUCUGAUUAAAGUUAAUGCCAUUGGAAAGAUAACCAUGCAUGAUCUAUUACGAGACAUGGGAAGGGAGGUUGUUCGUGAAACGUCUCCAAAAGAACCUGGAAAGAGGACCAGAAUUUGGAACCAAGAGGAUGCAUGGAAUGUACUUGAGCAGCAGAAGGUACGUAAGAGCGCAAUGCAUACAUGAAAGCAUAGUCAUGCGUAUUUUCUAGUCAAACUUAUUACAAAUAAUUGUAUGAAAGUUGGAUUGAUUUUUUUUUAGGGUACGGAUGUUGUAGAGGGUCUUGCACUGGAUGUAAGAGCAUCAGAAGCUAAAUCACUGAGCACAAGAUCAUUUGCAAAAAUGAAACGCUUAAAUUUACUCCAAAUCAAUGGAGCACAUCUCACCGGAUCCUUCAAACUGCUUUCUAAAGAGUUGAUGUGGAUUUGUUGGCUUCAAUGUCCUUUGAAAUAUUUUUCAUCUGAUUUUACCUUGGAUAAUCUGGCUGUUCUUGAUAUGCAAUACAGUAACCUCAAAGAACUAUGGAAGGGACAAAAGGUGUGAAACAUUCUACAAUCCCCAAAAUUUCUCCAGUAUGUAAUUUAUAUUUACAUGUUAUGACUUUCUAUGAUUAAUUUUCAUUAUUUUGCCCUCUAUUAAGACAGAUUCUCAACAGGUUAAAAAUCCUCAAUCUCAAUCAUUCUAAGAACCUUAUUAAAACACCAAACUUGCACAGUUCAAGUCUAGAGAAACUAAAGUUGAAAGGUUGCUCGAGUUUAGUUGAGGUGCAUCAAUCAAUUGAAAAUUUGACAAGCCUUGUUUUCUUGAAUCUGGAGGGAUGUUGGAAUCUGAAGAUUCUUCCUGAAAGCAUUGGCAAUGUAAAGUCUCUUGAAACUUUGAAUAUUUCUGGGUGUUCACAACUUGAGAAAUUGCCAGAAUGCAUGGGUGAUAUGGAAUCCUUAACCGAGCUGCUAGCAGAUGGGAUUGAAAAUGAGCAAUUUCUCACUUCAAUUGGACAAUUAAAGCAUGUCAGAAGGUUAUCGUUGUGUGGAUACAGUUCGGCUCCACCAAGUUCUUCUUUGAAUUCAGCAGGUGUUUUGAAUUGGAAACAGUGGCUGCCAACAUCUUUUGGAUGGAGAUUAGUGAAUCAUCUUGAGCUUUCUAAUGGUGGUUUGUCUGAUCGCACAACUAACUGUGUUGAUUUCAGUGGUUUGUCCGCUCUAGAAGUAUUGGAUCUAACAAGAAACAAAUUCUCUAGCCUGCCUUCUGGGAUCGGCUUCCUUCCCAAGCUAAGGCGGUUGUUUGUUCUGGCAUGCGAAUAUCUUGUAUCAAUCCUAGAUCUUCCCUCAAGUUUAGAUUGUUUGGUUGCAUCUCAUUGCAAAUCAUUGAAAAGAGUAAGAAUACCAAUCGAGCAAAAAAAAGAUCUAUAUAUAGAACUACAUGAAAGUCAUUCGUUAGAAGAGAUUCAGGGCAUCGAAGGUCGAAGUAAUAGUUUCUGGUAUAUUUGUUCUAAUCAGUUCAGUCAUUCACCAAAGAAAUUACAGAAAAGCGUUGUUGAGGUACUAUUUCUUUCAGUCUCUUUUGCACACGAAGAAACACACAAUUGGUACAUACAUUGAUUAAUGUCUAAAAUCUCAGCAUUUCUUGAAAUCAAUAUGUAUACAGGCAAUAAUCAUCAUUAUUAUUAUUUUAUUUUAAAAAAUAAAUAUGUUUAAUAAUAUUUUUUAUUUUUCUUAUUUAAUCUAAAAAAUUAAAUAUUAUCUUUAAUAAUAUGUUUUUAUUAAAUAUUUAAAGUCUGAUUGGUUUUAUUUUUUAAUUAUUUCUUGAUUUUAUGAUAAUAUACAGGUAAUGUGCAACGGUCGUCACCCGUAUCGUAUUUCCCCCAUUCGUGGUGAGAUGCCAAAUUGGAUGAGCUGCAGUGGAGAAGGAUGUUCAUUGUCAUUCCAUAUACCUUCAGUCUUCCAAGGCUUAGUUGUUUGGUUUAUCUGUCCACUUGAACCCGUGACAAUUGAAUUCGAUUCUCGCAUUAUUAUUAUUAUAAGAAAUAAAAGCAAUGGUAUUCAAUUGUUUGAAGAUAAACGAACACCAGGAACUGACAUGUUUUUUAUUGAGGGAUUCAUAAGAUACAUAAGUAUAAGUGAAAUGGGAAUGGAAGAUUACUGUGGAGAUGACGAAUUGGAACUCUGCAUUUAUUCAGAGCCAACAGAGCAUGCGGUGCGCCGUCUUCCAUUCUACCCCGUACACAUUAAAGAAUGUGGGGCCCAUGUGAUCGCAAAGAAGUUAAAUUCAUUUGAAGAGUCGGCAAUGGGAAGAGCUACAGUGAUGCCUUCACCAUCGCUGUAUCAUCUGCUUCCUCAUCCCCAUUGUGGUUCAAUUACAGCAUCUACACCUAAGCAAUGGAGUAAUUAUUUAUUUGCGAAGCUGCAAGAAUAUAACCUCAGUUUAACAUUUCAUGGUAAGAACAAAUAUUUCCUUUAGUUAUUUUUAUUCUAUUAUAUUUAAUUUAUGAGAUUAAAUAUUAUCUUUAAUUAUUUCAUUAUUAUUAUUUAAUCUAAAACAUUAAAUAUCAUCUUUAAUUAAAAAAUAUAUAUAUAUUUAAGGCUUUUUGGUAAGAAUACAUAUUUCCUUUAGUUAUUUCUAUUUAAUUUAAGAGAUUAAAUAUCAUCUUUAAUUGUUACAAUAUUUUUCUUAUUUAAUCUAAAAUUUUAAAUAUUUUCUUUAACAAUAUUUUUUAUUAAAUAUUUAGAGUCUACUUGGUUUUAUUUUUUUUCUUGAUUUUAUGAUAAUAUUUUUCUUAUUUAGUAUAAAAAAUAAAUAUUAUCUUUAAUAAUUAGAUCUAUCGAAUAUCACUUAAAAAAUAAAUUAUAACUUUAAUAAUUAUUUUUUGAAAAACAAAAAGCCAACAAUCACUAACAUAUUUUAUUAAAAUCACUUUAGUUUAUUUAGAAAAUAUUGAAAAUUGAUUAUUUUUUUUACAUUAAAAUAAAAAAAUUAAAAAAUGUUUUUAUAUUUUAUUUCAAAGUCGAUAUUUUAAAACAAAAAUGAAAAAGAUGUGAUAUUAACCUUUUUUAUUAUAAAGUAAGUUUUUUAAUUAAAAGUGAUGAGAAUUUGUUCGUAAUAACAAAAUGCAUGUUUAAUUUUCUUUUCAAACUUGGAAUAUAUUUCUAUUGAAUUUGAUGGUUUUUUUAUCUUAAAACACUUGCCAGCAAUCUUGUUUUUUCAAUGCUGCCAUUUAGCAAGUGGAGUACUGUAGCUUUUCCACAUACAUUGAAUAAUAACAGUUUGAAUAAAUAACAAGAAAAUAGAAAUUAGUUUUAUUAAUUUGAACGGUACAUCAUUCAUCGAAUAAAUUACAAAAAAGUAUUAUUGAGAUACUAUUUUUUUCAGUUUCUAUUGCACCAAAAUAAACACAUAUAUUUGUCACAUAUAUUAAUUAAUAUCAAAAAUCUCUGUAUUCCUUGAAAUCAAUAUGUAUACAAGUAAUAAUCAUUAUUAUUUUAUUUUAUUUUAAAAAAUAAAUAUCAUAUUAAAUAAUAUUUUUUAUUUUUCUUAUUUAAUUUAAAAAAUUAAAUAUUAUCUUUAAUAAUAUUUUUUAUUAAAUAUUUAAAGUCUGAUUGGUUUUAUUCUUUAUUUCUUGAUUUUAUGAUAAUAUAUUUAUACAGGCAAUGUGCAACGGUCGUCACCCGUAACGUAUUGCUUCAUUUCGUGGUGAGAUGCCAAAUUGGAUGAGCUACGGUGGAGAAGGAUGCUCCUUGUCAUUCCAUAUACCUCCAGUCUUCCAAGGCUUAGUUGUUUGGUUUGUCUAUCCACUUGAGAAGGAUUGUCAUAACCUAUUUUUAGGUUAUUUUUCAAUAUAUAUAUUUUUUUUUCUUCAAAAAAAUUACAAAAAAAAUCUAAAAAUAUUAUAAAAAAUAUAACAGUAAAAAGAGGAUGUCAGAACGCUCAGAAAAUAGUUAAAAUUUGGUUGAGGAGGUUUAAAAAUAUAAAAAUUAAAAUUUGGUAGUAUUUUAUUAACUGAUGAUAGCCCUGUUGACAAAGAAAAUUCAAUUUGAGAAAAAAAAAGUCUAAAAUCAGAUGUUGAGGGACUCAAUUAAAUUAUAUUGAAAGUUUAAUUGAAUUUAUGGAGGGUUUGAUUGUAAGAAAAAUUGAUUUUGGAGUUAAUUUGGGCUUUAAUUGGAAGAAAUUAAAGUUCUGGGGUCAGAUUAUAUUUUUUUUUAGAGUUGAUUUGGUCAAAUUGGGGGCUUAAUUGCAUAAAUAUUAAAGUUUGAUGGCCAAUCGGGGACUUAAUUGAAGAAAUCUGAGACCAAGGACCAAAAUGCAAAACGCGCGCAAAUUGAAGGAUUGAAUUGAAAUCUAGCGCUUUGGCUCCAAUUUUCAUUUAAAUGAAACAGUGCGUUUUAAGCAAAACGACGUCGUUUCAUGCACUUUCCAAAAAAAAAAAAGAGGACGAAACGGUGCCGUUUUGAGGCGGCACUGUUUCUUCUUCUUCUUCCCCUGGACAUGCAGCAGGGGAAGAGGCGUUUUUGUUUUCUUCUCUUUGUUUCUUCCUCUCCCUCCCCAUGUGCUCUGUUACAACCAAAACCGGUCGCCACUUGCCUCAUGAUGAGAUGCCAAAGCAGUCGUGCCCCGCAAGCGACGCCUCCAUUGGCCACCUCUGUCGGCGCCGUGACAGAGCAGGAGACGUGCGACGCAUGCAUGGGCAACGAUGGGACGGGGCAGGGUCGACCCCGCUCCCCUUGCCCCUAUAAAUAGUGACCCGAAAGGAGAAAAAAAGGAACACGGGAGAAAACAGGGAGGGAAACCGAGAGAGAGAAAUCGAUAGUGUUGAGAGAGAAAUGACUGAAACAGUAGAAACCAAAAAAACCGGGGAUAUCGAUAGGGAGACCGAGAGAGACAGACGGGGAGAAGGAAGAAAAAGGACAAAAGAGGUAAACCGAUGGGGAAGAAGACACUGACUGGUGUCUCUACACAGCGGAGAAGAAGCGCCGCUGCUGGCAUUGGGCUUCACAGUCACCGCCACCGCAACACCACCGAGAACGUUCACCAGCAUCACCGUCAGCUCAGCCAUCCGAGAUCACCACCUCAGGUAAAUUCUCUUCCCCUCACGCCGAUAAUUAUUCAUCUUCUUGCUUGUAGAACGUGCACUGUGCACGUUCUGCAUGCAAGAAGAAAUAAUUAGUCGGUUACCGUGCAUGCGCACAGUAACCGGCUAAUUAAUUAACUAGUUACUGUGCUCAUGCAUAGUAACUAGUCAUUGGUUUCUUCUUCUGCGAGUUGGAACAUCAGCCCAGCCCACGCGACUGGGCUGAGUCCAACCCCCUUUUUUUUAUGCGGGCUGGAACAUCAGCCCAGCCCACGCGGCUGGGCUGAGUCCAGCCCUGUUAACUGCGGCCUGGAACAUCAACCCAGCCCAUGCAGCUGGGCUGAGUCCAGCCUUGUUGCUGGGCCAAUACAGGCCCAACCCAGUUCAUUUCAUUUUUUCUUUUUUCCUUUUUGUUUUGUGUUUUAUAUAUAUAUAUUGUGAUUUUCCCACGGAUUUUUCUACGUCAUUUUAACUAAUAUUGGUCUAUAUUUUUUACUCGGUUUUCAAAAAAAAAAACUUUUGCUUUCAUGCAUACGGCCAAGUCUCUCAAAGCUAAAAAAUCAUAUUGUAUUUUUAUACAACAAAGAAAACUAAAAAAAUAUAUAUUAUUUUAGCAUGCAUUUUAGCUUUAAUAACCAGUUUAUUAAAGUCAUGAUAACUUGGCCAAUAUUUCAAAAAAUCAAAAAAAAUAUUUUGUUUUGUUUUAAUGUCUGGGAUUACGAAUUUAUACGUAAAACGUAUUCCCGAUAUUAAAAAGGUAGUUCUUUUAUAGACAUUAGGCCGGUUAGAUUUUUACCCCAUAAGAUAAGAACCUCCUUACUGAGGAGGGCUUUUCUUGAACCCUAGACAGACCAACAUGAUAAGACCUUAGAUUUUUUAUUAGACAAUAAAACAAUGCAGCUUACCUUAGGUAGGGUGUAUUUGAGGUGCUAAUACCUUCCCUUUGCGCAACCAGUCUCCGUACCCGAUCUCUAAGACCAGUUAGGGUUCCUAGUGAUCAGAAUACUAGGUGGCGACUCUCAUUCCAUUUUUUCACCGCUAAGAGACAAAGAAUUCCUUGUUUUACCAUAUUUUCCAGAAUAGAUAGACAUACCACAUUUGAUGAUGAGGGUGGUGGAUGAUCGCCGCACACGUGCGAUAGAAUGGUGACUCCACUGGGGACCCAUCAAAUCAAUCAACAGAAAAAAAAAUCACCAAGCCGAUGCCGCGCGGGUGACAUGCGACAAGGAUGAUCAUUAUUACUCACGGUCUGGCACUAUUAUUAUUAUUAUUAUUAUUAUUAUUAUUAUAAGAAAUAAAAGCAAUGGUAUUCAAUUGAUUAAAGAUAAACGAAUAGUAGGACCUUUCCUACCAAAAACUGCGGGAUGGAUAAGAUACAUAAGUAGAAGUGAAAUGGAAAAUGGAAGAUUACUGUGGAGAUGACGAAUUGGAACUAUACGUAUAUUCAGAGCCAAGAGGAGAUACAGUGCGCAUCAUUAAAAAAUGUGGGGUUCAUGUGAUCGCAGGGAAGUUAGAUUCAUUUGAAGAGUCGGAAGUGGAAAGAGAUAUAAUGAUGCCUUCACCACCGUUGUAUCAUCUGCUUCCUCAUCUCCAUUGUGGUUCAAUUACAGCGUCUACACCUAAGCAAUGGAGUGACUAUUUAUUUGCGAAGCUGAGUAAAUAUAACCUCAGUUGAACGCUUCAUGGUAAGAACAAAUAUUUCAUUUAGUUAUUUCUAUUUUAUUCUAUUUAAUUUAAGAGAUUAAAUAUUACCUUUAAUUAUUUCAUUAUUAUUAUUUAAUCUAAGAAAUUAAAUAUCAUCUUUAAUAAAAAAAAUUAUUAAAUAUUUAAGGCUUUUUGCUAAGAAUACAUGUUUCCUUCAGUUAUUUCUAUUUUAUUCUAUUUAAUUUAAGAUAUUAAAUAUAAUCUUUAAUUAUUUUAUUUUUCUUAUUUAAUUAAUCUAAAAAAUUAAAUAUGUUCUUUAAUAAUAUUUUUUAAAAAAUAUUUAGAGUCUGAUUGGUUUUAUUUUUUAUUUCUUGAUUUUAUAAUAAUAUUUUUCUUAUUUAAUUUAAAAAAUAAAUAUUAUCUUUAAUAAUUAGAUCUAUCAAAUAUCACGUAAUUAAUUAUAUCAUUAUUUUAUUGGUAGCAACUUAGGAGUCUUUUAAGCCAAAAGAAUAAUAGCUAGGAAGAGCUAAAAUUAGCAAGGAAUAUUUAGAGUCUGUUUGAUUUUAUUGUUUUUCUUUGAUUUCUUAAUAAAAAAAAUCAAAUUCUUGAAAACAAAAAUUGAAAACUUAUACGUUUUGAUUUUGAUUUUAUUUUUGAAAAUGAAAAGCCACCAAUCAAUAGCAUAAUCUAUUAAAAUCACUUUGUUUUAUUUAGAAAAUAUUGAAAACUGAUUUUUUUUACAUUAAAAUAAAAAAUUGAACAAUAUUUUUAUAUUUUAUUUCAAAUUUGAUAUUUUAAAACAAAAAUGAAAACGAUGUGAUAUUAACCUUUUUUUUAUUAUAAAGUAAGUUUCUUAAUUAAAAGUGAAGGUGAUUUGUUUGUAAUAACAAAAUGCAUAUACAAUCAUGCAAAAGUUGUAUUUAAUCAACUCUGCUAUUGAAUUUAAUGGUUUUUUAGGGAACAAAUGAUAUGGAUGAAUGUGAGAGCACAAGAUCAUUUUACAAAGAGAUUGAUUGGUACUUAAAAAUAUAUUUUUAUUAAGGUUUUAUAUCAUCAUAUUGCAUUUAAAGUAUAAUUAAAUUCUCUAAUUUAAGCAUAUUUUAUAAUAACAAGUCUGAUAACAUAAAAUAUAUUUAAUUUAUGGUAAAUGCUCAUUUUGAAUGCAGGCAUAUCUCACAAUUUAAAGGAUUGAUUGAUGUGUUUAACUAUUAAAAGUGAAAAGACAAAAAGAAGGCUAAGCUUAAAGAAGAAAUGUUGGUUCAAUUCAAACUGGAAUAUCAUUAUGUUAUUGAAUCAUAACUAUAGCUAUAGAACAUGGAUUUAGGUUUGGUUUAUAUGGAUGGAAAGCUAAGACAUAGGCCUAAAACUUUCAUGAAGAGUUCAAGAUUCAAAACGGCCCUUUUCAAGUUCAAAUUAUAGCAACAAAAGAGAAGUCGAAAUAUGACUUGUAACCUAGACACUGUUCAGUGUUCAGCCCAUAUCUCGAGUUCUAGAAGUUCAAAUAAUCUCAUUCUUGUUUUGUUGGAAAACUGAGACAAAUGCCCAGAAGUUUCAUGAAGACUAUCUGUUCAAAUUUUGAUGUUAGCAUGUUGUGUUCAGACAAGAAGAUAAUGGUUGUCACCAAGUCAAUAGGUGGCCACCCACUUAAUAAUUAGUCAUUAAAUCAAUAGUUCUGAAUUUUGGACUCUAAAAGAAGGCAUUUGCCAUACAUUUAGACAUCUUGGUGUUCAGAUCAAGAUCUUGCUCUCACUCUCUCUAUUUGUAUUUUGUAAUGUUCAAGUUUUAUUUUAUGUUAUAUUAAUCUCUUAUUUAUGCUUUUCAUUUCUUUUACUAUACUUAGUUAACUUAUAUCAUGUUUAUGUUAUUAUGUUGUUUAUUUAUGUUUUUCUUCUUCAUGAUGUUUAUCUAAGUUAAUUUUGUCAAGGUGAAAAGGGUACACUAAUGGUGUAAGAAUAAGUAUAAUACAAACUCCACAUAGACUUUAAUGUUUAAUACUAACAUGUUUUGUAUUUGUUAUCUUACUCACUCUUUAUACCUUACUUGUUAAAUGGUUAAUCUAAAUUUAUGUUGUACAACCCUUGGCAUAACAAAUACUUGACACUUUCAUAACCUACUGUAUGGUAUAAUCAACACUUGUGCUAUGAAAGGAACUUGAUUUAUUGUUAACAUAAAUUAUCAUCAUGAAUACCUGACCACAUUUACAAGUAUUGGCAUUACUCAAAUAAGAUAAUUAAUAUAAUCAUGUAUGUGGUUUCUAGUUGAGUAAUAAAAAGAGUUUAUACUAUACUUAUUUGAAAUACCUCUAACUUUAACAAUUGUUUUAUCCUUGUUUAAUCCUUACAUCAAUAUCACAUUUCAAAAGUUCUCUUCAACUCCUUUUUAAUUGUUGUUUAUAAUUUUAUAUAAUUCAUCUCCCUGUGUUUCAACCCCGGUCUUGCCGGGUUAUUUAUUACUUUGACACUCCUGCACUUGAUAUAAGACAUCAAUCUCUUGAUCGUGUUAGAGAUGCUUGAAGUUACUCUUUAUUGGUAUGGUAGUUGUUUCUAACGAGUUGAUAAGUAUUUGUUAGCUUGAAGAUUAUUUUCCAAACUUGGAAGUUAUAUUGAAUGCUUUUUGAAAUCUUUUCCAUCCGAUUUGAAAUUGGACAACCUAAUUGUUAUUAUCCAUUAUGUAAUUUAUAUUUUCAAGUUUCAACUUUUGAUGAAUAUUGUAUUGAAUGCUCUUUGAAAUCUUUUCCAUCCGAUUUGAAAUUGAAAAACCUAGUUGUUAUUAUCCAUGACGUAAUUUAUAUUUUCAAGUUACAACUUUUGAUGAAUAUUGUUUCCUUUUUUUCUCACUUCUUGGAAGUAUUCUCAAAAAGAUGAAAAUCCUCGAUCUUAGUUAUAAAUAAAUUGGUUUUCUAGGAAGAGAUUAUUAGGUGGGAUAUAUUAUUUGAGUUGGUUCUUCAUCAUUUAAUGUUAUGAUUUAAGAUAAUUGAUGAAAACUACCAAUACACAAGAAUGUUUAGAAAGCAUCUUUAAUUGGUCUAAUAAGUAAAGUCUUGUUAGUUUUGGCCAUAAGCUAUGUAUUAUUGCUUGUUUUUUACUAUUUUUUUACCUUUUUUGUUUUUUGUAUAUACAACUUUUGUUUUUCUUGCGAGUUUCUCAUUAGCUUUAUGGCACUAACAUCAAUUAAUAAUAAAUCUUGGACUAUUAUUAAAUAAAAAAAAACAUAAACAUUGUUAAAACACCAAACUUGCAUAGUUCAAACCUAGAGAAACCCUAUGCCAAUAAUCUAAUUUAAAAAAAUAAUUAAUUUAUCCUUGUAGUCUUAGAAAAUAGUAUUUAAUCCUUAUGUUUUUACAUUUAUCUUUGAUUUAACCUUUUACAUCUAUUUCAUCUUAUUAUUUUGGUUUACUAAGUAAAGUCUUAGAAACCUAUUUAUGGUCUUAAACAACUUAAAAAGGCUCAAAAACCUAAAAUGAACUCAAACCUGAAAAUCUUCAUGCUGAGAGGUCUGUUUCAUCAAGCAAGGAAAAAGAAAAAAAAAACAUAGGUGAAACUUCCCUCAUCAAAUAAAAUCCAAUGACACUAGGAUUGACUAUUUUGGUGGCUAGAAUAGAAGUCAACGAUAACAUUUUCUUUCCACGUCGGAAUCUAGCAAGUUUCUCUCUUCUCUCACAAAAAAAAACUAAAAAAUAAGGAAAAUAAAGUUUGGUAUUAAAAUCAAAUUUCCGACAACUAAAGAGACCAAUCACCUAUUAACUAAAAACAAUUGGGGACCGAACUAAGUUUUUCAUAUGAAAUAUGAAGUUGACAUCUAUUUUCUCCAUGUUUUUUACUUUGGUUAUCUAUCUUUCAAUCCAACCCUUUCUUCAUAAAAAUAGAAGUAACUUUGUAUUAAUUUGGACUAAAAAAGGUACAAUAGUGCAAAAACAAAUUGAGGAUCAAAUUGAGAAUUAAAAAAUAAUUGAUUAUUUUAAUCUAUAAUGAUAUGUGAGAGAGUGCACAUUAUAAAGUGAAGAGAAAAAACUCCACAUGACUUUGAAACACCUUUGAUGGUUGAUUGAAAUUGGUAAGUGAGUUUCCUCACAUGUUGUUUUUUCGGUUUUGAGUCCAAAUAUGGAGAUUUUAUGAUUUAAGGUAUUUUUCAUGAAUGCAACCCUUCAUGUAUUCAAUAACUUAUUUUCUAGUAUAAACUACGUUUGAAAUAAAAUUGAUAAAAGACAUGUGGUACACAAUUAAUGAUGGCAUGUAUAUAAAAAUAAUUAAAUUGAAAAUUUUCAAUUAUCUUUAAAGAUAUCAUGGUUUUAGUCGGUUAAAUUAUAAAAAAAAUAUUUAAUUUUUUGAUAUAAAUAAUAAUAACAAAUUAGAUAAUAGUAACAAGAAAAUAGGAAUUAGUUUGAAUAAAUGGUACCAGUUCCUAUUAUGAUAUAUCUAGAGAAGAAGUUUGAAGAAUAAAAUGAAGUGAAAUAUUCUUAAUAAAAAAAGAAAAACACAAAAAGAAAUAAAAAAAUAUUCUUAAUAAAUAUAAAAGAUGGGUGAAAUUAGAGAACAAGAAAGAGAUAUAGAAUCUCUUUGUAAGAUUUCUAAAAACUUAAUUACAAUUAUAUUAUAAUUUCUUCCCUAAAAUUAUUUAAAAUAUAGUAUUAGAAUUACAUAAUGCUAGGUUUUAAUAUAUAAUUAAAGAGUUUCUCCUUAACCAAAUAUAAAAAUAUUUUAUAAUUCUUUUGAAUGAAUUAUUAACGGAGGGACUGUUUUGGGUCCCUAUUUAGCUGAUUUUAUUUGAAUAUAUUAUUUGACUAGUCCAUUUAUAGGUUUACUCUACUAUUCUUGCCUUACUGGAACCGGAAAAUUCACUCGAAAUUUCUAGUAGUUUACACAGAAAUUUCCUGUGCUAAACUUCAAAGAAUUUCUUUUCUUUUCAUUUUGUAUUUUCUCAUUUUCUUGGCAUGCGCGCAGCUGCAUCAAGGAAAAAACGUUUCAGAUGCGUGUAAUAAAUCCAAUCGAUGAAUGAGAAAGGGACGCAAAAUAAAGAUAAAAGUGGAAUAUUCUCAUUAAUUGGUCAUCAUUUAAACGUUGGACACAGCCAUCUAUAUGUUGUUUAAAGAAUUUAAAUGGUUAGUCAGAAAGGAUUGCUUUUUAAUUAAAAAUAUAUUAAAAUAAUAUUUUUAAUGCCAAGUAUUUGUUCAACCUCAUUAAUGCUAACGAGUGGACCCAGUUGUUGUGGAAACUUUGCUAGGGAUCUGGAGUGUCAUAAUCCAAAAUUAUUCCUUAAAAUUUAUAUUUUUUCAAAAUAAAAAUCAAAAAAAUAAAAUAAAGGCUGGCAACGUGGAGAAAGCAGGCCGGAAAAUCAAGCUGUAAUUUUUGGAGGAAAUUCAAGGCGUAAUUGUACCCCACUAUGCCCCAAAAUAGAGAGAAAAUAUAAAUUCAAGGUCAAAUUAAAUGAUUAUUUGACAAAUUUGCAUAAACAUUAAGUCCGAUGACAUAAUUAAAUUUUUAAUAGGCCAAUUUGAUUUAAUCACGGGCCAAAUUAAAUUUUAAUUAUGUUUAAGAAUUAAUUUGCGUCCAAUUGAAGGAUUUAAUUAAGUGCAAGGACUUAAUUAUACUUUAAAUGGGUCAAAUUAAUUUUAUUUUGGGCUUAAUUGGUGAAAACUUAAGUUUGGGAGCUUAAUUGAGAAGAUUGGAAUUUUAAGAGACCAAAUUUAAUUCUUACCAAGUUAAUUGAUUGAAAUUAGGGGCCCAAUUGCAAGAACAUUGAAGUUUUGGGGUCAAUUGGGGGUUAAAUUGAAGAAAUUGACAGCUAAGGACCACUCUGCAAAAGGCGAAAACAUUUGGGGACUUAAUUGACAACCACCGGGGCAAAAUUGAAGAAAUUGAAAGUAUAAUGGUCAAUUAGAGGUUAAUUUGACAAAAUUCGAGACCAAGGACCAUAUUGCAAUAGGCGCGUAACUUUGGGGUUUCAAUUGAAGUUUAUCAGGGGCUUAAUUGCAUUAAAUCCAAAGUUAAGGGUUAAUUAGGGGUUCAAUUGAAACCAAUUGAAAGAUGGAGGACUAAGAUGAAAAUAUGUUAAAAUCCCUAAUUCAACUCAAAAUGGCGCCGUUUUAUAUUAAAAAAGAGAGAGAGAGAGGGGACCAGACGACGCGUUGUCGGGUCACUGUUCAUUGUCUUCUUCUUUUACCCGAAAGAAACUGCUUGGGAGCCUUAUUUGCAGGUGCAUUUAAUGCUUGAUUUCUCCAUAAAAUUGAACAAAACUUGCACGAAAAGGAUCCCCUGCAAUUCCUCUACAAACCCAUGUGAACUUUUCAGGAUUAAUGACAGCACAGCUACGCCGGAGAUGGCGUGAAGAGGUCAACUCAGGCAGCCUUUUCCUGCAGAUUUGACAACUCAGGGAGGCUACUUUGAGCCAACAGUUGGGAUCCUUCCCAACAGAAUCAAGAGCUAAAAUUUUACCCCAGUGCAAAAGAGAUUACCCUCUUCGACCGCCUAUAAAUAGAGGCUGAUUUGAUGGCCUGAGGGAGGAAAAAAAAUCGGGUCCAAAAUUUGAAAAAAACAAGCUCCCACUGCCCCCGUUUCUGCAAUUUCUCUCUCUCUCUCCGUCGCUUCAACCACCACCAACCUCAUCACCAGCUUCUCCACCACCAGCUCCAUCACAGUAAGCCACCAACCGACCACCGAGAGCCACCGUGAACCUUUCUCUCUCCUCUGCAAACCGGUUUCUUCUUUCUCCCACAGCGACUCCACCGGCCAAAACUCUCCACCAACGCCGCCAUCAGCCUCUUUUCUUCCACGACCAGACCACCGCCAACUUCACGCCAGGCCAGAGACAGCAGCUUCUUCUCCUCCGCAAGGUCGCCUCCCACUUCACUCCGCCGUCUGCGCAAAGUUGCAUGCAGAACAUGAACUUACUGUUCACGUUCUACAAUUAAUUCAUCCCUCACUUGGGCCGGGCCAUAAAUGUUUGGCUGGGUCUGGCCCGGCCUCAAAAGAAAAGGAGAAAGAAAAUAUGUUGGGCCGAUAUCGGCCCAACCUUUUUGGACCGAGAUCGGCCCAACUGUUUCUGGGUUUCUGCUUGGUCCAGUUACUUGGGCCAUCCCGGCCCACCUGUUUUAAUAAUAUUUAAUUAAUAUAUUAUAUUAUAUUAUAUAUUUCCUUUUAAAAAAAACAAAAAAAUCCAAAAAAAAUUUCAAAAAUCAUUUUUAAAAAAUUACGAUUUUCUCAAAUAUUUUUCUACCACUUUUGUAUAAUAUCGGGUUGUAUAUUUACACUGUAAAAUACAAACCUGGUAUUAAAAUACCCGGUUUUCUCCUAAAUAUUUCAAAAACAAAAUUCAAAACAUUUUCAAAGAGAAAAAAAAUAUUUUGUUGCAUACGGCCAAAUCUUAAAAUUUUUCCAAGCAUAUUUUUCAAUAAAAAAACAAAAAUUGCAUCUUUCUCCAGUUUUGAAAAUAAAAAAAAUGGAUAUCAUAACCAGUUUGUGAAUAUCCAUUAGAAUUUGGCCAACAUGUCAAAACCUUUUUCCAAUCUUUUUAGGGUUCAGAUGCAGACUUUAGUAUUUGUGGAGUGUAAAAUUACACGAUAAAGUACACCCUCAGGUAUUAAAGAUACAAGGUGUAAAUAAAUGCGAUGCUAAAAUUCAGACUUUAGAAUGGUUAGGAUUUAACCUGAUAAAGUAAAGACUUUCUCAUGAAGAGAGAUCUGCCUUAAACCUUAAAAAAGACCAACGAAUAGAAACCCGAUUUAGAAAAAAACAAUCAAACAACAAUGUAGCUUACCUUAGGUAGGGUGCACUGGGGGUGAUGCGUCUUCCCCUUGCACAACCAGUCUCUUACCCAGACUCUCGCAGACCAUAGGUUUCUAGUGAUCAUAAUACUAGGUGGCGACUCCUAAACAUUAAUCAUAAUUUUAUAAUUAAAUCCAAAAAACCUUCCCAACACACAACACCUCACACAGGAGGCACGACAAGAAGCCUUUGCCGUCGCCAGACGACGUCGCGCCCCUUGCGACAUGGAGGAAGAAAAAUGAUUGCAUUGCUAAUAAUUUGCAAGAGAGAAUUCUUUUUCUGAAUAGAAAAAACUAUUAUUUUUAAAAUAAAAACAACUAAAUAGAAAAAUUAUUAUUUUUUAAAUAGAAAAACUAGAAAAGCCUUGUAAUAUUGAAUAAAAAAUAAAAUAGAAAAAUUAUUCUUUUAAAGUAGAAAAAAUUAUGACAAUUUAAUAAUACUGAAUAGAAAUAAAUCAAAUUUUUAAACUAAAUAAAAAUAAUAGAGAAAAAUAUUUAUUAUCCUAAACUUUUUUAUAUUAAAAUCUUAAUUUAUAACAUGAACUGAGUCUACAUGCUAAAAUUAGAAGAACAAAAAAAAAAUGUAACAAAAAAAUUCCAUACAACACAAUUAAUGAUGGGAUCAUAUAUUUUGAGACUAAAAUGAGGUUUUCGAAUUACCUUUAAACAUAACAUAACAUGAUUUUAAUAGAUGUACUGUACAUCAUUUGAAUUUAUUAGAAAAAACAUAUAAUGUAAAGUAUGAACCACUUACCAUUAACUAGAUUUUUCAAUUGGAUUUUUUAUUUAAAUGAAAAGGAAAAUUUAUUUUAUUAUGAAAAAUAUUUUUUAUAUAUAUCUAGUAAUAAUAAAUUAAAGGAUAAUAACAAGAAAAUAACAAUUAGAUCGAAUAAAUGGUACCAAUUUCUAUUCUGAUAUAUCUAGCCAAAGAAUAGAAUGAAUCAAAAUAUUCUUAAUAAAAAAAAUAGAAAACACAGAAAGAAAUAAAAAAAUGUUCUUAAUUAAUAUAAAACUAUUAAUUUACAAAAGAAAUUUUCUGGUACUUUAUACUGUAUAUAAUUUGAAAAAUUGUGACUGACCGACUUACUUGCAAAGUAUUUGCAAGAAAGUUAAAGAAUUAGAGUUUUUUAAUAUUCAAAAUUAUAAUUUUAAAUUCUACGAAAAAAAUCAAUUAUUUUUAAAACUGUUUUCAAAAAUAAAACAUCAACUAUUUAUAUAAUAGCUAAAUAAAACAAUUAAAAUAAAUAAAAAAAUAACUAGUAAAAUCAAGUGAAUAAUCCAAAAAUAACAAGAAAAUAGAGAUAUUUCCUAAAUAUGAUUUCAGUUUGUUGUAUUGAUCAAUUUGCUAACAUAAAUAGCAUAAACGAACUUUAUUCUAAUAGUAUGUUUGAUAUUUAAAAAAAAAAAAAACUUAUAGAUAUUAUAUGGGUUGGCAACCCAUUUUUUAUUAAAUUUUAAAUUUUAUUUGUUUAAAAAUAUUUGUUUAUGUUUUUUAAUUAUUUUAAUAUGAUAAUAUCAAAAAUAAAUAAAUAAAAUUUUUCUAAGUUUUACUACUUCUGACUUGCUUUGACUCGAAAUUAGUGGUGCUUUCUCCUGCGAAUGAAUAGAAAGCAUAUCAUAAAGGUGUGUUUGACAUUGUGUUUUGGAAGUAUUUUUUAAAAAAAUAAAUUUUUUUAUUUUUUUUCUUCAAAUUAUUUUUUUUGUUGAUGUUUUCAUAUUAUUUUGAUAUGCUGAUGUCACAAAUAAUUUUUAAAAAAUAAAAAAAUAUAUUAUUUUGAUGUGUUUUGAAAUGAAAAAACUUUAAAAAGCAACCGCUACCACACUCUCAAACUCCUUUGUUUAUUGAGUCUUACUGUGAAACCUCGUUUUGGGAUGAAUUGAUUGUAAGAAUAAGAAAUUAUGUGCAAAUUAUACAAAAUUUAUUAUUCAUCAUCAAGAUUUAUUAUUUAUUAUCACUAUUGAAUAAUGAUUUAUUUUAUAAUAUAAAUUAUGUUUAAAAUAAAAUUGAUAAAAUUAAAAUACAUGAAACGAGGUCGUAUAUUUUGAAACUAAAUUAAAAUUAUUUUCUUUUUCAAUGAUAUCAUUUGUUAGUUUGCAAGUCCACAUGUCACGAGUCUCCACUGCAUGAAAUUUGCAAAAUCAUAUGGCCCAUUGAUAGAAGGUGUGUUGAAGCAAAAUCUGUUUUAUUGAUUAUCAAUAUUGAAUAAUAGCUUAUUUUCUAGUAGAAACUAUGUUUGAAAUAAAAUUGAUAAAAGACAUGAUAUACAAUUAAUAAUAGGAUCGUAUAUAAAAAUAGGAAAUUUCCUGGUAAUAAAGUCCCAACUUUCGUAGGCGAGCACUAAAGUCCCAAACUUCAAGAAUUUCUCUUCUUUUCCUUUUGUAUCUUCUCAUUUUCUUGGCAUGCGCGCAGCUGCCUCGAGGAAAAAACGUUUCAGAUUCGGAAAAUAAAGAUAAAUGUGGAAAAAAAAAAUCCCAAAUAAAGAUAUCUUUUCGUCCCUUGGUGUCGUGUGAAUACCAUGUGGAUAUCAUUUCAGAAAAUCAAUUCAACCGUUCUCCAAAGAACACUCAUACUCCAAUAUCAGCAACUACCACGAAAGUUACCACUCUAAAUUCCAGCUCAAUAAUUAAGGUUCCAAGAUAAGCCUAAAAAAUAUUUAUUAGGCUUAUCUUAAAGCCUAAUAAAUAUCUAAAAAAAAACAAAAAAACAAAAUUCCACCCUAGGCUGUGAUUAACAGAUUAUCUGAUGGAAACAUGAUGAGCUUUUUUUUAGUGAAUUAAGUUCAAUUAAAAAAAAAUUAAGGUUAAAUUGAUGAUUAAUAAUGAAUUUUGUAUACUUUGCACAGGAUUUUCUUAUUCUCGUCAAUUAAUCUUAAAGCGAGGUUCCAAGAUAAGCCUAAAAAAUAUUUAUUAUUGAUCAACAAUAUUGAAUAAUGGCUUAUUUUCUAGUAUAAAUUAUGUUUGAAAUAAAAUUGAUCAUAAGAGUAGAUGAUAUACAAUUAAUGAUGAAAUCGUAUAUUUUGAGACUAAAUUAAGAUUUUUCAAUUAUCUUUAAAUAUUAUGGUUUUAAUAGGUGGACAAUGCAUUCUUUGAAUUUAUUACAAGUAAUGUGUAAUUUAAAUUAUAAAAAAAUAUUUAUUUUUCUGAUAUACAUGAUAAUAAUAAAUUUGAUGAUAGCAACAAGAAAAUAGAAAUUAGUUUGAAUUAGUACGUUUCUCAUUAACAUUAAUGAUGGAAUCAAAAUCUUUGUUAGCGGUCACCUGUUCGACCUCAGUAAUGUUAACGCGUGGACCCAGCUGUUGUAGAAACUUUGCAAAGGAUCUCGAGGAAGAAAAAUGAUUGCAGUGUAAGACUUAAUUACCGAUUCUAUGAUGGGGAAUAAAUAUGUUUAUAACAGAAUUGUAAGUUAUAAUAUGUAAAAUUUAAUUAACGAUUCUAUUAUACGAAAUAAAUAUGUUUAUAACGUAAUCGUAAGCCUUAAUAAUAAGAAAUCAAUAUCUCCAUCUAUUAAUGUUCCUCAUGUAUUUAUUAUUCUUUUUUAUAUAUAUUUGAUACUUUCAAACUCUACUCACUUUAUAUAGAUUGUGUAAAACUUAAGAGAACUCAGUAAGUGAGUAUAGAGAUCAAAUAACAUUAUUUAUAGCCAAAGCUUCCCUCAAGCUUUAAUGGCUAUAUGUCCCACAUAUUUAUUAUAUCAUGGGUAGUUACAAGUGAAUCACUUUAAGAGCUUAUAAAUGUAAAUGUUACAACUUUAAAAUGAACGAUUUUAAGAGUUUAUAAAUAUAAAUAUUAUAAUUUUUAGAGUGGAUCACUUUUAGUGUGAAGGAGAGUUAGAGAAUCGAUUAUAAUGACUCUGUAAAAAACAGUCAACAUGCAUUGCUAAUAAUUUGCAACGGAGAAUUCUUUAUUGAGAUUUAUUGUUAAACCUCGCUUUGGAAUGAAUUGAUCACGAGAAUAAAAAAUAAUCACUACAUACACCCUUUAACUAUUUUACUUGAAAGUUUCGAUUAUUUCCUAAGCUCCUUUGUUCAUUUUCUUUUUUAUUACCCCUUCAUGCACGACACUUUAUGCCACUUCAUGAUACCCUUGUUUUCAACGUUUUACACUACUUUAAAAGCGUGUUUGGUAGUGUGGUUGCGGGUGCUUUUCAAAUAACUUUUCGUGUCAAAAUACAUGCCAAUGAUAUUUUUUUUAUUUUUUAAAAAUUAUUUUUGACAUCAGCACAUCAAAACGAUCCAAAACAUAUAAACCUUAUUAAAUUUUAAUUUAAAAAAUAUUCAAUUUUUUUGGGAACGCAGCCGCAUCCGCGUUCACAAACGAGUCCUCAAGUCAAUUGUUAGAUACUAAAAACAGCAAGAACUGUACUCAAUCAGCAACCACUGUGAAAUUACCACUCAAAAUCCCAUGAAUAUAUAUAAAAAAGAAUUUUGUCUAGAAAAAUUCUAUCAAAUUCUCUACUUUAUUACUCUUCAAUGUUUUACACUGCUUUAGUUCUAAAAAAACUCCUAGAUGUUAUAAAGCAAGAUAUAUACAACUAUAUAUAUAUAUAUAUAUAUAUAUAUAUAUAUGAAAGUGUAAUAAAUAUUAUAUUUUAAAGUAUUUUUUAAAUAUAUUAAAAUAAUAUUUUUUUAAAAAUAAUUUUGAUAUUAGUAUAUUAGAAUAAUAAAAAAAUAAUUUAAAACAAUAAAAAAUAUUGAAAUUUUUAAAAAAUAUGAUUUGACUGAACUCCAAAACACACGCAUGCUCCCUCAGCAGCCACCACGAAAUUACCACUCUAAAUUCCAGCUCAAUAAUUUAUUCUUUAGCAAUUAUUGCUUGCUCUUUGACAAGUACUGCUUUGCUAAUAAUUUGCAAGAAACUUUCUCAAUUUCCUUCUAUUUUCUUUUUAUCAUGGAAACUUUAAGUCACAUACCACUAAAUUACCGAUAAUUAAAUUUCAAUGUGUAAUUGUGUAGGUUUCAAUUAAAAAUGUUUUAAUUUGAGAAAAUUUGUUAAAAAAAUAGUAUAAAUUAUAUUUUAGAGUUUAUUUUAAUAGUUUAAAUUUUUAGAUGAAUAGUUUUCUAACAAAUAAAGACAUAGUUUUACGAUAAAAUGCAUUUUUUAAAAUGAAAUUAUAUUAAAUUAAGCAUGGUCGAGAUUAUUCAAAUUAUUAAUUAAUUAUAAUUAACUUUAUGUCUUUAGAGGAAACAAAAGGAAAGGACAAAAUGAUUAAUUAAAUUUUUAGAUGAAUUAAUAAAUCUUUACAAAUAAAAGAUAUAGUUUUUCAUUUUUUGAAAUGAAAUUAUAUUAAAUUAAGCAUGCUCGACAUUGUUCAAAUUAUUAAUUAAUUAUAAUUAACUUUAUGUCUUCAGAGUAAACAAAAGGGAAGGACAAAAUUAUCUUCCCCACAACGAUAAACCUAGCCCCCUUUCCAAACCAAUCCUCUAGUAAAUAGAAUGAUGGUCCCAUAAAUUGCUUUAUUCUUUCCAGCCCGCCAAGUAGUUUGGUCUCCCUCACAGGACCUCCUUAGCAUGGGAAUCAUAUGAAUUUCCUUGCUUUUCUUCCUCUACGCGUUACCUUUCACCUUUUAUAAUUAUUAUUAUUGCAUUGCUAAUAAUUUGCAAGAAAGAUUAUGAACAUUUUUUUUAGUGAAAUAAGCUCAUUUCAAAUUAACAAAAUAUAGUUUGUUGAGGCUUGUCUUGAAACCUCACUUUGGAUUAAUUGACAGGAAUAAUAAAAUUUUAUUCAAAUUAUAUAAAAUAUUAGGUGUGGAUGUGCCCUUGCCCAACAAGCUACCAUGACCUUAUCUAGAGUUGGGUGUUAACGAGACAAGCCCUUGUCCAACUCAGAGUUCGGCAUAGAUAUAUCAUGACCCAACAUAAAGUUUGGAUGCGGAAAAAAUAUAAUUUCAUUUUGAAUUAUGAUUUUUGUUGGAUAGUCUUUAAAUAAAUUUUUUUUUUAGAAAAUCAUGACCCAUAUCUGGUUAUCGGAAAAACAAUUAUGGUUGAUUUAGCCUCAUCUUCUCUGCUUGUAAAAUUGGGGCAGAUUAUGGACUUAACCGAGCAAUUACCGCUCAAAAUUCCUAGCAAUUUACAAAGGAAUUUUCCUUGCUUUUUCUCAGUAUAUUAUUAGAAAAACCGUCAUUGACUGAUUUAAUUGUAAAGUCUUUGCAAGAAAGUAAAAAAAUUAGUUUUUUAAAAUAAAAAAUAUAGAGAGAGAAAUAAAAAAUAAAAAAUAAAAAAAGGAGCGAAAGGAAACAACCGCCAUCUUUCUUGUUCCUUUUCCCUUCUUUACACGGCGUCCUCGAUGAAAAUAGCAAACACCCCAUUUGAAUAUAUAAUUAAAGAAAGAAAGAAAGAGAGGAAAAUUCCUUCCUCAAUACUUACCGCUACACGCUUCAGAAAUUCCUUGCUUUUUUUUUUUUUUUUUUCAUCUCUACUUACGUGUUACCUUUUACCUUUUAUAAUUAUGAUUAUUGCAUUGCUAAUAAUUUCCUUGCAUUUCUUUAAUAUAUAAUUAAAGAAAGAAAGAUGUUGAACACUUUUUUAGUGAAUUCAAAAUAACAAAAUAAGGUUGUUGAGGCUUUUCUUGGAACCUAGCUCAGGGAUUAAAUUAUAAAAAAAUAUAUUUAUUUUUCUGAUUAUAUAGCAAUAACAAAUUAAAUAAUAGCAACAAGUAAAUAGGAAUUAGUUUGAAUAAAUGGUACCAGUUCCUAUUAUAAUAUAUCUAGAGAAGAAGUUCGAAGAAUAGAAUGAAGUCAAAUAUCCUUACAUAAUGCUAGGUUUUAAUAUAUAAUUAAAAAGUUUUCCAUGAACCAAAUAAUAAAAAUAUUGUACAACUUUUUUGAAUGAAUUAUUAACAUAGAGGCUUAUUUGAUUUGAAUAUAUUAUUUGAUUAGUCCAUUUAUAGGUUGUCUCUAUUAUUCCUGCCUUGCAUUGCCAGGAAAUUUCACUAGAAAUUUCUAGUAAUUUAAACAGGAAAUUUGCUGGUGAUAAACCUGGAAUAUGAUUUUCAACUUUCGUAGGCGAGCACUGAAGUCCCAAACUUCAAGAAUUUCUUUUCUUUUCCUUUUGUAUCUUCUCAUUUUCUUUCUAGGAAUGUUAUGAGAAGCAGCAGAGUCAAGAGGCCAUUUUUGAUCCUGUGGACCGGAAGUAGUUGCAUAGUUAGUCGUAACCUCUGAUCAAUGGAGUCGUGGGUAAGACUUGGCUAAAUGGCCUAUCUGAUCAGGAAAUUGGCAUUUCGGUUGAUAAUGCAUUUGAGUGGUACCGAUUGGUUGAAGACUUGCAGUUGUCUUUGAAUGGACCGACCUUGAGGGAUUUUAUUGUGGCCUGGAGACCGAGAAGAUCCAUUAGUCUUAUUUGAACCCUUCGGGUGAGACCCACCAUAUGAACUAUUUAAGUUCUGUUUGUGAAGAUAAGAAUAAUUGGCAGAGGCCACAAGCUGCUGAGUUGAAGAUUCCAAACGCCGCAGGUAACUGUCAUGCCCCUCAAGAAUAUCUUGAAGCUCUUCAAAUUAUCCCAAUAGUUCUUAUAUUAAAAUCUCAUUUAUCAUAUGUUACAUCUAUCAAAAAAAAAAAAAUAAUUUGUGACGUGAACUAAAGCUAUAUGUGAAAACUAGAAAUAACAAAUGUAUGAAAAAAAAAUCAGCUGUGAUUAACAGAUUAACGAUGGAAAUUAAGAUGAUGAAUAUUUUUUUGUAAAUUAAUUUCAAUUUAAAAUAACUACAAAGAAGUUAAUUAGGAUUCCUUCCUUGAAAUUAUUAAAAAUAUAGUAUUAGAAUUAUAGAAUGCUAGGUUUUAAUAUAUAAUUUUUAAUAUUAAUUGUUAAAGAGUCUCUCUCGAACCAAAUAAUAAAGAUAUUAUAUAACUCUUUUGUAUGAAUUGUAAAUCUAGGGAUAGUUUUGGGUUUUCCAAUCACAACUUUGGACUAAAAUUAAUAACAAAAUAAAGACCAAAGAUAACGGUAUGUAAAUCUAGGGACCAAAAAUAAUACAACUGCAUUUACUGUAGAUUUCACUUAGAAUUUCUAGUAAAUUACAAAGGAAAUUUCUUGUGCUUUUUAACGUACAUGAAUUGAAAAACUACCAUUGACUGACUUGCAUUGACUGACUUGCUAAGCAUUUGCUGCUCGAAAUUUUCUCCCUAAAAAUUUUCAAGCAAUUUACGGAGCAAAUUUCCUUAUGCUCUCUCUUGUAUAUUAUUAGAAAAAUUGUUUUUAAAAAUCAAUUUUUUUUUAUUUUCCUGAGAUUCUAUUUUUUAGUCGAGUCAAUUUCAAGUUGGGUUCAAUAAUUAUGAUUAAAUUUACUGAAAAAAAAAUAAUUUUAUGUCACUUCAUGAUACCCAUGUUUUCAACGCUUUACACUGCUUUAAUAAAUUGUUACAGUAAUAGCACAGAGAGGAGCGGUUCCAGAAAAAACAAUAAUGGAGAUGAAGCAAAAUCUGUGUUUGAUUUUUUCUUUUUUGUGUUUUCGGUACAUUGGUCAACAAUAGCUUGGAAGAGUUUGGAAUCAGUAACACGUGGACCCAGUUGUUGUGGAAACUUUGCAGAGGAUCUUCACUCUGCAGGAAGAAAAAUGAUUUUAAUAGAUGUACUGUACAUCAUUUGAAUUUAUUAAAAGUAACGUGUAAUGUAAAGUAUGAUUCACUUACCAUUAACUAGUUGGACAAAAAAACUAAACUUUCUCAAUUUCCUUCUAUUUUCUUUUUAUCAUGGAAACUUUAAGUCACAUCUGCGCCUACCACGAAAUUACCGAUAAGUAAAUUUCAAUGCGUAAUUGUGUAGGUUUCAAUUAAAAAUGCUUUAAUUUGAAAAAUUAUGUUAACAAUAAUAUAAAUUAAUUUUUCUUCAAAAUAAAAAGUAAUUGGGUAUUAAUUUAGGCUAUAAAGAUAAAAUAAUAAUAAUAAAAAAGAGUUCGAGGGUAUUCAUUUUAUUAUUUGUUAUGUAACUAUAUAAUCUAAUUUGUUGAUGUGGAAAAUAGCACAAAGUUUUUGACAUGGAUAUUGGUGAGAAGCAAAAGCAGUAUCCACUAUGAGAGCUUUUGUAAACGCGUGGACCCAGUUGUUGUGGAAACUUUGCAAAGGAUCUGCAGGAAGAAAAAUGAAAUUUGCAAAGUAUUUGUGUGUAUUAUAUAAUUGUGUUAAUUUAAGGAUUAUUUUUUAGUUGUAUUAAUUUAGAAAAUAUUUUGUCUCACCGGAAAACUCUAAUUACGUUCGUAUAUUUGUUUUUGGUAACAGAUGCAAUAUGCUUUUUAAUUCAAGAUAUAUUAAAAUAAUAAUUUUUAAAAAAAAAUUAUUUUUUUUAUUUUAGUAUAUUAAAAAUAAAAAAUUUAAAAAUAGUAAUUUAAUAUUUUCUUAAAAAUAUAUUUAAAAAACACUUUUAAUUUUGUUUUUCAACUGUACUAUUCCUUGAAAAAACUCAAACUCUAAAUAAUAUCUUCUACUACAUACUUUCUAAGACUAAAAAUUAAUCUAAAUGUUUUUGAAAAGUAGUUCAACCAAAGUACCAAAUAUGUUUAUAUACUCCAUCUUCAACCACUGUAAAAUUACCACUCUAAAUUACAACUCGGUAUCGAUUACCUUUUAUCUUUGACAAUUAUUGCAUUGCUAAUAAUUUGCAAGAAAAAAUACAUUCUCAAUUUCCUUCUAUUUUUUUUUUAACAUGAAAAACUUUAAGUCACUCAAUCUGCAACCACCAUGAAAUUACCGGUCCGAAUUCCAGCUCAAUAUUUACCGGUACGACACGCUUGAGGAAUUUCCUUGCUUUUCUUCCUCUACGCGUUACCUUUCACCUUUUAUAAUUAUUAUUAUUGCAUUGCUAAUAAUUUGCAAGAAAGAUUAUGAACAUUUUUUUAGUGAAAUAAGCUCAUUUCAAAUUAACAAAAUAUAGUUUGUUGAGGCUCGUCUUGGAACCUCGCUUUGGAUUAAUUGACAGGAAUAGUAAAAUUUUAUUCAAAUUAUAUAAAAUAUUGGGUGCUGAUGUGCCUUUAUCCAACUUAGAAUUGCGACAAGCUACCAUGACCUUAUCUAGAGUUGGGUGUUAAUGAGACGAGUCCUUGCCCAACUCAGAGUUUGGCAUGGAUAUAUCAUGACCCAACAUAAAGUUUGGAUGCAGAAAAAAUAUGACUUUAUUUUGAAUUAUGAUUUUUGUUGGAUGGUCUCUAAAUAAAUUUUUUUUAUAGAAAAUCAUGACCCAUAUCUGGGUAUCGGAAAAACAAUUAUGGUUGAUUUAGCCUCAUCUUCUCUGCUUGUAAAAUUGGGGCAGAUUAUGGACUUAACCGAGCAAUUACCGCUCGAAAUUCCUAGCAAUUUACAAAGGAAUUUUCCUUGUUUUUUCUCAGUUCAUUAUUAGAAAAACUGUCAUUGACUGAUUUAAUUGUAAAGUCUUUGCAAGAAAGCUAAAAAAAUUAGAGUUUUUUAAAAUAAGAAAUAUAGAGAGAAAAAUAAAAAAUAAAAAUAAAAAAAGGAGCAAAAGGAAACAACCCCCAUCUUUCUUGUUCCUUUUCCCUUCUUUACAUGGCGUCCUCGAUGAAAAUAGCAAACACCCCAUUUGAAUAUAUAAUUAAAGAAAGAAAGAAAGAGAGGAAAAUUCCUUCCUCAAUACUUACCAGUACUACACGCUUGAGAAAUUCCUUUCUUGUUACCUUUUACCUUUUAUAAUUAUGAUUAUUGCAUUGCUAAUAAUUUCCUUGCAUUUCUUUAAUAUAUAAUUAAAGAAAGAAAGAUGUUGAACACUUUUUUAGUGAAUUCAAAAUAACAAAAUAAGGUUGUUGAGGCUUUUCUUGGAACCUCGCUCAGGGAUUAAUUAACAAGAAUAAAAAAAUCCCCUGCAAAUUAAACAAAAUUUAUUAUUAAUCAUUGAUAUUUAUUAUUGAUCAUCAAUAUUGAAUAAUGGCUUAUUUUCUAGCAUAAAUAAAAUUGUUAAAAAACAUGAUUACACAAUUAAUGAUGAGAUCGGUUAUAAAAAUGACUAAAUUGAGGUUUUUCAAUUACCUUUAAACGUAUCAUGGUUUUAAUAGGUGGACAGUACAUCCUAUUAUGUAAAUUAUAAAAAAUUAUAUUUAUUUUUCUGAUAUAUAUAGCAAUAACAAAUUAAAUAAUAGCAACAAGUAAAUAGGAAUUAGUUUGAAUAAAUGAUACCAGUUCCUAUUAUUAUAUAUCUGGAGAAGAAGUUCGAACAAUAGAAUGAAGUCAAAUAUCUUUACAUAAUGCAAGGUUUUAAUAUAUAAUUAAAAAGUUUUCCAUGAACCAAAUAAUAAAAAUAUUGUAUAACUUUUUUGAAUGAAUUAUUAACGUAGAGGCUUAUUUGAUUUGAAUAUAUUAUUUGAUUAGUCUAUUUAUAGGUUGACUCUACUAUUCCUGCCUUGCAUUGCCAGGAAAUUUCACUAGAAAUUUCUAGUAAACGAAAUUUGCUGGUGAUAAACCUGGAAUAUGAUUUUCAACUUUCGUAGGCGAGCACUAAAGUCCCAAACUUCAAGAAUUUCUUUUCUUUUCCUUUUGUAUCUUCUCAUUUUCUUGGCAUGCGCGCAGCUGCCUCGAGGAAAAAACGUUUCAGAUGCGGAAAAUAAAGAUGAAAGUGGAAAAUAGAAGCGGGGAAAAAAAUCCCAAAUAUCGACAAACAUCACAAGAGAAGCUUGAUAUCUCUUCGUCCCUUGGUAUCGUGUGAAUGUGGAUAUUAUUUCAGAAUAUCAAUUCAACCGUACUCCAAAGAACACUCAUACUCCAAUAUCAGCAACCACCACGAAAGUUACCACUCUAAAUUCCAGCUCAAUAAUUUAUUCUUUGACAAUUUUACUUCUAAAAAAAAUGAAUUUUUUUUUAUAAUUAUACGCCAUCAGCAACUACCAUUACGACUCCAAAUUCCAGCUCAAUAUCGAUCAACACGUGGCUAAAGAAUUUGUUUCCUUUUUUUUCCUGCACGUGUUACCUUUUUAUCUUUUAUAAUUAUAAGUAUUGCGUUGCUAAUAAUUUGCAAGAAAUAAUAUUCUUUCUCUAAAAAGGGCUUGAGAAAACCCUAAGCAUAGUAUAUAGUCUCUUAUAGGAAUCUCUUUAUUAAAUCAUCAAAAUAUCAAAGUCUGUUUCCAAAGACUAUGACUACAGUUUAUAUAUAGAAACAACCAAAUAUAAAAAUUAUUUUUUAAAAAUAGAAAAAACAGAAGAGCUUGAUAAUAUUUAAUUAAAAAAUAAAAUAGAAAAAUUAUUCCUUUUUAAGUAGGAAAAAAAAAUAUAAAGAUUUAAUAAUACUGAAUAAGAAAAAUUAAAAUAUUCUUUCUCUGAAAAGGGCUUAAGAAAACCCUAAGCAUUGUAGAUAAUCUCUUAUAUGAAUCUCAUCAAAAUAUCAUAGUAUAUUUCCAAAUACUAUUACGUACUACAUUUAUAUAUAUAUAUAUAUAUAUAUAUAUAGAGAGAGAGAGAAAGAGAGAGAGAGAUAGAGAGAGAAACAACUAAGUAGGUAAAGCUUAUGUUUCUUUGUUCUUGUUCCUUUAUAUAUAUACAUUCUCAAUUUCAUAAAAAAAAUUAAUUAGUCCUUGAAAUCUUAAAAAAUAGUAUUUAAUCCUUAUGUUAUUAUAUUCAUCUCUAAUUUAAUUUUUUUCAUCCAUUCAUCUUUUUAUUUAUUUAAUAGCUUAAGUUUUUAGUUAAAAGAUAAAUAGUUUUACUAUUAAAAGCAUUUUUUCGAAAUAAAAAUAAUAUUAAAUUAGGCAUCCUCAACAUUGUUCAAAUUAUUAAUUAAUUAUAAUUAACUUGAGGUUUAGAAGAAACAAAAGGGAAGGACAAAAUUAUCUUCCCCACAACCAUAGACCUAACCCCUUUCCAGACCAGUCCCCUGGUAAAUGGAAUAAUGGUCCCAUAAACAGCUUUUUUUCUUUCCAGCCCGCCAAGCAGACUAAGGCCUGUUUGUUUCUGUGUUUUAAAAGUGUUUUUGAUAAAAUUUAAAAUUUUUUUGUUUUUUUUAUUAACUUCAAAUUAAUAUGUUUUUAGUGUUUUUAAAUCAUUUUGAUGUGCUGAUGUCAAAAAUAAUUUUUAAAAAAUAAAAAAACAUCAUUAGCAUGUAUUUUGACACGAAAAACUAUUUGAAAAGCAACCGCAACCACACUACCAAACACACUCUAAGCAGUUCGGUCUUCCUCGCUGGACCACCUUAGCAUGAGAAUCACACUAGUUGGAAGUAUCUUUAAACCUCAUAAAAAUGAAUAACUGAUAAUAAUAUAAUUGGGAUUUAAAAAAAAUUCAUAAAAAAAUUUCUUAAAAAAAUCCAAAAAAUUAAACCGGACAAAAAUAAACAACCAAUAAUAAUAUAGUUAAAAUGAUAAAAAAGUGUUUAAAAAGCAAUUUGAAACCAAUUAAUCUUAAAAAAAAAAAACCAAAAAGAAACAUGCGAUGAAAACCAAUUCAUGAAAAAGUAAUUGGAUAUUAAUUUAGACUAAAAGGAUGAAAUAAUAAAAACAAAAGGAGAGUUUGAGGGUAUUCAUUGUUCAAAGGAACGCAAAAAUGCAUUCCAAGUAUGAAGUGUUUUAUUGUUAUAAAGUUUUUCAAACUUACAAUAUGGAGAGAGAAAUAAAUAAAAAGAAAAAAUAGCAAAAGGAAACAGCCCCCAUCUUUCUUGUUCCCUUUCCCACGGCCUACUCAAUGAAAAAGCAAACACCCCAUUGGAUUUCCCACGGCCGCCCACGAAAUCCCUUUAUCCUCUGCUGUUAAUUUUUUAAUGACGCAUAUCAGGUGUUUGAUAAAAUUCCUUAGCUGGGAAAGGAAAAAAAACCAUGUUAAGAAUGCUUUAGUCCUUUUCGAGUGGAAAGUGGUGUGAAAGUGAGAAGUACUGUGAGAGCUUUAUACCACUUUCUAUCUUAGACGUAAUGGCUUUGGCAAAAAGAAACCAAUAAAAGUUAGUGUUCGCACUGCUUUAGUCCAAGAGUCUUUCAUGGUUGCAUUGAUUGACUGGAAAAAAUCUCAAAGUUUUUAGAAAGAAACAGCCUUCAUUGCUUUUCGAAACCAAUCUCAGUAAUGUUAACGCGUGGACCCAGUUAUUGUGGAAACUUUGCAAAGGACCUCGAGGAAGAAAAAUGAUUGCAUUGCUAAUAAUUUGCAAGAGAGAAUUCUUUCACUGAAUAGAAAAAAGUAUUAUUUUUAAAAUAACAACAAGUAAAUUUAAAAAUUAGUAUUUUUUAAAUAAAAAACUAAAAAUUCCUGAUAAUAUUGAAUAAAAAAUAAAAUAUAAAAAUUAUUCUUUUUAAGUAUAAAAAAAUAUAAAAGUUUAAUAAUACGGAAUAGAAAUAAAUAAAAAUUCUAAACUAAAUAAAAAUAUUUUCUAUCCCAAAAAUUCUUAUAUCAAAAUCUCAUUUAUCAUAUUUUAUAUCUAUAAAAAACUAAUUUGUCAUGUGGAAUAAGUCUAUAUGCUAAAAUCAGAAAAAAAAUGUUACAAAAACAAAUUCCACAAAAGGCUGUGAUUAAAAAGAUGAUAGAUAUUUUUUAGUAAAUUAAUUUCAAUUCAAAAUAACAAAAUAAGGUUUAUUGAGGCUUACCGUUAAACCUUGCUUUGGGAUGAAUUGAUCACGAGAAUAAGAAAUCAUGUGCAAAUUAUACAAGAUUUAUUAUUAAUCAUCAAGAUUUAUUAUUUAUUAUCAAUAUUGAAUAAUGAUUUAUUUUAUAAUAUAAAUUAUGUUUAAAAUAAAAUUGAUAAAAUUAAAAUACAUGAAACGAGGUUGUAUAUUUUGAAACUAAAUUAAAAUCAUUUUCUUUUUCUAUUAUAUCCUUCAAAAUUAUUUAUUUUAUAAAAAACAAAACUUGUUAGUUUGCAAGUACACAUGUCAUGAGUCUCCACUGCAUCACUUUUGCAAAAUCAUAUGGCCCACUGUAUAUUUUGAAACUUGUUGAAGCAAAAUCUGUUUUAUUGAUCAUCAUCAAUAUUGAAGAAUGAUUUAUUUUCUAGUAUAAACUAUGUUUGAAAUAAAAUUGAUAAAAGACAUGACAUAUACAAUUAAUGAUGGGAUGGUAUCUAAAAAUGAUUAAAUUGGCAUUUUUCAAUUACCUUUAAACAUGCAUAUCAUGAUUUUAAUUGGUGGACAAUACUGUUAAAUAAUAUAUUUAUUUUGUUUUAUUUAUUAAGAUUAAAAUAAUAUUUUUAGCUUAAUCUAUAUAUAAACUCUUUAUAUUUAGAUUAAGCAAAAAUAAUAAUAUAUAUCAGAAUUCUAGUCUCAUUCCUUUUCGUAUUUAUUUUUAUGUUAAUUAAAUUGUUUUAACAAUACAUCAUGUAAAUUAUAUAAAAAUAUAUUUAUUUUUCUGAUAUAUAAAUACCUCUCUGUCCCAUUGCUGCCAUUUCAUAGCUAACUCUUUGUUAUAUUUAACUUCCUCUUCUUUGCUUCUUGCUCAUAACGAUAACUUGAAAGCCUUACGUUCAGAUAGAUAAUCAUUGACUAGCUCAUCCUAUAUCAUUCUAUUCAAUUUAUAUAUGCAGAAAGAAAAACGCAAGCAAUCCAAAGAUGAAGAAAACGCUUCAUCCUCGCGAAAGAGAAGAAAAGCUGACCUCAGUAAGCCUAUAUAAAGAAUACAAUUAACCUCAUUUCAACAUCAUAGUUAACCUCAUUUCAAUAUCAUAGCUUUGGAAUUUCAUAGCUAACUCUUUGUUAUAUUGCUCCAUUGGUAAUUGAUUGUGCCUUGAUUUCUGCAGCUGCCAUGACAGAGCCAGAGUCUUCUCGAUCUAUACCAGAAGGGGCCUAUGAUGUCUUCUUGAGUUUUAGAGGAGAAGAUACUCGCAAGACGUUUACUGAUCAUCUAUAUGCUGCCUUAGAUCAAGCAGGAAUCCACACUUUUCGAGAUGAUGAUGAACUUCCUAGAGGAGAAGAAAUCUCCGAGCAUCUUCUCAAGGCAAUUCGAGAAUCAAAGAUAUCCAUAGUUGUCUUCUCAAAAGGAUAUGCUUCUUCUAGAUGGUGUCUCAAUGAACUUGUAGAGAUUCUUAAGUGCAAAAGGAAGAAAACCGGUCAGAUUGUUCUUCCUAUAUUCUAUGACAUUGAUCCUUCAGAUGUGAGAAAACAGACUGGCAGUUUUGCAGAGGCAUUUGAUAAGCAUGAAGAGCGUUUUGAAGAGAAGUUGGUGAAGGAGUGGAGAAAAGCUCUUGAGGAUGCCGGAAACCUAUCUGGAUGGAGUCUCAAUGAUAUGGCAAAUGGGUAUGCCUUUUUUCCAAAUUUAUGGAGUCAAUAUACUUUACAUUUUUUAAUGUGAAACAAUAAAAUACUUAAUUGACUCGCUAUCAAUGACUUGCUUUUGUCUAUGAGCAGGCAUGAAGCAAAAUUUAUCAAAGAGAUUAUCAAGGAUGUGUUGAAUAAAUUAGAUUCCAAGUACUUCUAUGUUCCUGAGCACCUAGUAGGUAUGGAUCGGCUUUCUCGCAAUAUUUUUGACUUUGUAAGUACUGCAACAGAUGAUGUACGCAUNNNNNNNNNNNNNNNNNNNNNNNNNNNNNNNNNNNNNNNNNNNNNNNNNNNNNNNNNNNNNNNNNNNNNNNNNNNNNNNNNNNNNNNNNNNNNNNNNNNNNNNNNNNNNNNNNNNNNNNNNNNNNNNNNNNNNNNNNNNNNNNNNNNNNNNNNNNNNNNNNNNNNNNNNNNNNNNNNNNNNNNNNNNNNNNNNNNNNNNGAUGAUAGAGGAAAAGUUCUGAUCAAAGAACGACUUCGUCGCAAAAGAGUUCUUGUUGUUGCUGAUGAUGUGGCUUAUCUGGACCAGCUAAAUGCUUUGAUGGGAGAGCGAAGUUGGUUUGGUCCCGGAAGUAGAGUAAUUAUUACAACAAGAGAUUCAAAUCUUCUUCGUGAAGCAGAUCAAACAUAUCGGAUCAAAGAGCGACUUUGUCGCAAAAGAAUCUUGUUGUUGCUGAUGAUGUGGCUCAUCAGGAGCAGCUAAAUGCAUUGAUGGGAGAUCGAAGAUGGUUUGGUCCCGGAAGUAGAGUAAUUAUUACAACAAGAGACUCAGAUCUUCUUCGUGACGCAGAUAAAACAUGUCAGAUCGAAGAAUUGAAACUAGAUGAGUCCCUUCAGCUUUUCAGCAGGCAUGCCUUUAAGGACACCAAGCCAGCAGAAGAUUACAUUGAGCUUUCGAAGAAAGCCGUUGGUUACUGUGGAGGACUUCCUUUAGCUCUCAAGGUUAUAGGAGCUCUUCUGUACGGGAAAGAAAAAGAUAGAUGGGAAAGUGAAAUUGACGACUUGAGCAGAAUUCCAAACCAAGAUAUUCAAAGAAAGCUUCUAAUAAGUUAUGACGCACUUGAUGGUGAACUACAAAGAGCAUUCCUUGAUAUUGCAUGCUUCUUUGUUGGUAUAGAGAAAGAAUACGUCGCACAAGUGCUAGGAGCCCGUUGCCGUCGCAAUCCAGAAGUUGUUUUGGAAACUCUCCGUGAAAGGUCUCUGAUUCAAUUUCAUGAGUGUAUAAUUGAAGAUGAAAGGCAGUUAUCUGGAAGGACGGUAGCCAUGCAUGAUCUAUUACGAGACAUGGGAAGGGAGGUCGUUUGUAAAGAGUCUCCCUUGCAUCCUGAAGCAAGGACCAGAAUUUGGAAUAAAGACGAUGCAUGGAAUGUACUUGAGCAGCACAAGGUAAGUAAGAGCUCAAUGCAUACACGAAAGCAUAGUCAUGCGUAUUUUCUAGUCAAGCUUAUUACAAAUAAUUGAAUGAAAGUUGUAUUGAUUUUUUUUUUAGGGUACGGAUAAAGUUGAGGGUCUUGCACUGGAUGUCAGAGCAUCAGAAACUAAAUCACUUAGCGCAGGAUCAUUUGCAGAAAUGAAAUGUUUAAAUUUACUCAAAAUCAACGGAGCACAUCUCACCGGAUCCUUCAAAUUGCUUUCUAAAGAGUUGAUGUGGAUUUGUUGGCAUGAAUUUCCUUUGAAAUAUUUUCCAUCUUAUUUUACUUUGGACAAUCUAGCUGUUCUUGAUAUGCCGUACAGUAACCUCAAAGAACUAUGGAAGGGAAAAAAGGUGCGAAACAUGCUACAAUCCCUAAAAUUUCUCCAGUAUGUAAUUUAUAUUUACAUGUUAUGACUUUCUAUGAUUAAUUUUCAUUAUUUUUCUCUCUAUUAUAACAGAUUCUCGACAAGCUUAAAAUUCUUAAUCUCAGUCAUUCUCAGCACCUUAUUAAAACACCAGACUUGCACAGUUCAAGUCUAGAGAAACUAAUUCUGGAAGGUUGCUCGAGUUUAGUUGAGGUGCAUCAAUCAAUUGAAAAUUUGACGAGCCUUGUUUUCUUAAAUCUGAAGGGAUGUUGGAGUCUGAAGACUCUCCCUGAAAGCAUUGACAAUGUAAAAUCUCUUGAAACUCUGAAUAUUUCUGGGUGUUCACAAGUUGAGAAAUUGCCGGAACGCAUGGGUGAUAUGGAAUUCUUAACCGAGCUGCUAGCUGAUGGGAUUGAAAAUGAGCAAUUUCUCUCUUCAAUUGGACAAUUAAAGCAUUGCAGAAGGUUAUCAUUGUGUGGAGACAGUUCGACGCCACCAAGUUCUUCUUUGAUUUCAACAGGUGUUUUGAAUUGGAAACGUUGGCUGCCAGCAUCUUUCAUUGAAUGGAUAUCAGUGAAACAUCUUGAGCUUUCUAAUAGUGGUUUGUCUGAUCGCGCAACUAACUGUGUUGAUUUCAGUGGUUUGUCCGCUCUAGAAAAAUUGACUCUAGAUGGAAACAAAUUCUCUAGCCUGCCUUCUGGGAUCGGCUUCCUUUCCGAGCUAAGGGAGUUGUCUGUUAAGGGAUGCAAAUAUCUUGUAUCAAUCCCAGAUCUUCCCUCAAGUUUAAAGAGUGUGUUUGCAUGUGAUUGCAAAUCAUUGAAAAGAGUAAGAAUACCAAGCGAGCCAAAAAAAAGACUAUUUAUAAAGCUAGAUGAAAGUCAUUCGUUAGAAGAGUUUCAGGGCAUUGAAGAUCUAAGUAAUUGUUUCUGGUAUAUUCGUGUUGAUGACCGCAGGCAUUCAACAAGUAAAUUACUGGAGCGUUGUUGAGGUACUAUUUCUUUCCGUCUCUCUUUCGCACAAAAAGAAACACACACAAUUGACACAUACAUUGAUUAAUGUCUAAAAUCUCAGCAUUCCUUGAAAUCAAUAUGUAUAUAGGCAAUAAUCAUUAUUAUUAUUAUUAUAUUUAAAAAAACAAAUAUCAUCUUUAAUAAUAUUUUUUUAUUAAAUAUUUAAAGUCUGAUUGGUUUUAUUUUUUAUUUCUUGAUUUUAUGAUAAUAUAUUUAUACAGGCAAUGUGCAACGGUCGUCACGGGUAUUUUAUUCGCCACACUCCUGGUCAGAUGCCAAAUUGGAUGAGCUACAGGGGAGAAGGACGCUCAUUGUCAUUCCAUAUACCUCCAGUCUUCCAAGGCUUAGUUGUUUGGGUUGAUAAGGAUGAUAAGGAUGCUCACAUUAUUAUUAUUAUAAGAAAUAAUAGAAAUGGUAAUCUCUUGUUUCAAUGUACGAAAUGGUAUUAUCAUCCAAAAACUGGAAGUAUAAGAUACAUAAGAAGAAGUGAAAUGGCAAUGGAAGAUUACUGUGCAGAUGACGAAUUGGAACUAUACAUUUAUUCAAAGCCAUCACCGUUGGCAAUGGCAAUGGCAAUGAAGGAUGCUGUGAUGCCUUCAUUUGAACCGUCUACACCUAAGCAAUGUGGGGUCCAUGUGAUCGUAGGAAAGUCAGAUUCAUUUGAAGAGUUGGCAGUGGGAAGAGAUGCAGUGAUGCUUCCUCAUCCUCGUUGUGGUUCGAUUACAGCGUCUACACCUAAGCAAUGGAUUGACUUUUUAUUUGCGAAGCUGCAAAACCAUAACCUCAAUUUAAGGCUUUUUGGUAAGAAUACAUAUUUCCUUUAGUUAUUUCUAUUUUAAUAUUCUAUUUAAUUUAAGAGAUUAAAUAUCAUCUUUAAUUAUUACAUUUUUCUUAUUUAAUCUAAAAAAAUAAAUAUUAUCUUUAACAAUAUUUUUUAUUAAAUAUUUAGAGUCUGCUUGGUUUUAAUUAUUUCUUUUCUUGAUUUUAUGAUAAUAUUUUUCUUAUUUAAUAUAAAAAAUAAAUAUUAUCUUUAAUAAUUAGAUCUAUCGAAUAUCACUUAAAAAAUAAAUUAUAGCUUUAAUAAUUAUUUUUUGAAAAACAAAAGCCAACAAUCACUAACAUAUUUUAUUAAAAUCACUUUAGUUUAUUUAGAAAAUAUUGAAAAUUGAUUUUUGUUUUUUUACUUCAAAAUAAAAAAAAUUGAAUAAUGUUUUUAUAUUUUAUUUCGAACUCGAUAUUUUAAAACAAAAAUGAAAAAGAUGUGAUAUUAACCUUUUUUAUUAUAAAGUAAGUUUCUUAAUUAAAAGUGAUGGGAAUUUGUUUGUAAAAACAAUCUUGCACAUCUAACUUUCUUUUCAAAUUUGAAAAUUUUAUUAACUUUGAUGGUUUUAUAUGUAUGAAGGAUCUGGAUGGACGUAAUAGCACAAGAUCAUUUGACAUAGAGAUGCUUGAAGUUACUCCAAAUUAGUACGGUACUUUUAUCUAAUGUAUUGAUAUGUAUUUGUUGGCUUGAAGAUCAUUUUCCAAGCUUGGAAUUUUUAUUGAAUGCUCUUUGAAAUCUUUUCCAUUUGCUUUUAUAGUGGACAACCUAGUUGUUAAUUAUUAUCCAUGAUCUAAUUUAUAUUUUCAAGUUAAAAAUUUUGAUGAAUAUUAUUUCAUUUUUUUCCUCACUUCAAAAGAUGAAAAUCCUUGAUGUUAGUUAGUAAUAAAUUGGAGAGAAUAAUAAUAAUUUGUGUGUAUAAGCUGAUUGAAAUGAAGAUUAAAAUAAAGAAGUAAAAAAAAAGAGACUCGUAAAGAUUUUAUGUUAGUACUCAACAUGUCCUUUCUUGUUUUUUUUUUAAUUGGAUUACCUUUGUCUUUGGUUAAACUGCACUUCUUAAAAUAUUUUUGGAUUGUUCUGAUAUCAAAAAUAAUUUUUUUUAAAUAUUAUUUUAAUACAUUUUCAAUUAAAAAAUAUUUUGAAAAACAAUAUCUAACACACUCUCAAACAAGUUAAAACGUUAGUAAUAAAAUAACUUUUACAUAUUUUUCAAGUUUAGUAGAAUAGUAGUGGAAUAAUAUUUUUAAUAUUUAAAAAUUAAAAUUUUUUGUGUAACUGUUUUGUUAAAUUAUAAAGUUAAGGACUCUUUUGUAGUUUACCUUACACUAAAGUUAAUAAAUAAUAACACAAGAAAGGACCAAAGUUAACUACAAUACGAGGAAGUUUCAUACUAAAGUUAAAAUACCUCACACUUUUCAAUGAAACAUUACCUCUCCUGUACAUGAAUAUAAAUAAUUUCGUUGACCGACUCUUAUUUCAUUAAUUAUUGAUUAUUUGGAAGAAGAAAGCGUAUCCCUUCUCACUUUUAGAGCGUAUUUAGGGUAUUUAAGAGCGCAUUAUAAAUCCAGGGACAAUUUUGGGUUUUCUAAUCAGAACUUUGGACUAAAAUUAAUAGCAAAUUAAAUAAGGACCAAAUAUAACAGUGUGUAAAUCUAGAAACCAAAGAUAAUACAGCUGCAUUGACCGGAGAUUUCACUCGAAUUUUGACUAAAAAUUAAAAUUUUAUCAAAUUCUCUACUUUAUUAGUGUUCAUUUUCUUCUUUUUUUUUACCUAUCUUUUCCAACUGUUUAGAAAAUUUUUAUGGAUAAAAUUAGAGGAUAAGAAAGAGAUAUAGAAUCACUUUGUAAGAUUUCUAAAAACUUAAUUAUAUUAUAAUUUCUUCCUUAAAAUUAUUCAAAAUAUAGUAUUAGAAUUACAUAAUGCUAGGUUUUAAUAUAUAAUUAAAGAGUCUCUUCUAAAAGAAAUAAUGAAAAUAUUGUAUAACUCUUUUAGAAUGAAUUGUAAAUCCAGGGACAGUCUUCCUGGUGGUUUUUACUGUAUAUGAAUUGAAGAACUAUCAUUUGCUGAUUUACUUGUAAAGUAUUUGUAAGAAAGCUAAAAAUUAGAGUUUUAAAAUUUCUAAAAUAAAUAAUCUUCUCUAAAAUAAGUUUUUUUUAAUUAUACUUAUAAAAUUAAUUAAAUCUCAGGAUAAUAAGAUAUGUCCGGAUAUUUGGCGACUGANNNNNNNNNNNNNNNNNNNNNNNNNNNNNNNNNNNNNNNNNNNNNNNNNNNNNNNNNNNNNNNNNNNNNNNNNNNNNNNNNNNNNNNNNNNNNNNNNNNNGUAUGUUACAAAUUAAAUAUUAGUAUAUUUUUUUCAAGGUGAUAUCUCUUAUUAAAUCAGAGAUUCUCUCUAUUUUUUACAUGCAAUAUAAUCACGGAAUAAUUAAAUAAUUUGAAAAAUAAAUAAAUUUUUAUUGUGGAAUAAGUAAAUACUAAUAUCUAUAACUAGAAGUAACUAUAAUUAUAAUAUUAAAAAAAAGCAUAAUAAAAUGAAUUUAUUUAUAAAUUAGAUAAGAUUCAAACCAAGGGAAUUAAAGUGUAAAAUAAGGAAAACACCCUUGCCAGUCUAAAAUAAUUGAAGUAAUGAGUAAAUGCAUGAAGCAAGAUAAUUAGUUGAUAUUGUGACUAUUCAAGAUAAUUAUAAUCUAUAGGUAAUUGUAUACUAUAAAUUAAUAUCAACAAAAUAAUUGUAUUUAAUUGUUUGAAGUUAAACAAAAAAACAUACAUUCUCCCUUUCCCUUCUUUACAUGGCUUACUCAAUGAAAAAGCAAGCACUAACGCACCUUCUCCACAAACUACCAUAAAUAUAUAAAUAUAUUAUGAAAACAAGAUAAAAAGAAAUCUUUUGGUACAUAUAUAAAUAUAUUAUGGCUAUGAAAAUAGGUUUGUGGAAAUUUACAUCAUUUGAUCUUGACAGUGUCAGAUUAGACAAUUGAUUGCAUGGAAAUGGUCUUCUUAGUUUGCCGUGUGGAAAAUCAUCUCAUUUACGGGACUGCUGGAGAGAGUGUCUAUUGAUAAUUUUACCUUCUUUUCAAAUCUUUGACACUGCUUGGAUUGACCGGUAAUUUCACUCGAAAAUUUCUAGUAAUUUAUAAAGGAAAUUUCUACUGACUAUUAUUGACUGACUUCUUGCAAAGUAUUUGUAAGAAAGCUAAAGAAUUAAAGUUUUUUAAUUUUUAAAAUUGUAAGAAAAAAAUCAAUUAUUUUUAAAAUUGUUUUCAAAAAUAAAACAUCAACUAUUUAUAUAAUUGCUAAAUCUAUUAAGAUAAAUCCAAAAUAACUAGUAAAAUCAGUGACUUGCAUUGACGAGUGUAAUGAUCUUGACAGCAUCAGAUUAGACAAUUGCAUGGAAAUGGUCUUCUUAGUUUGCCGUGUGGAAAAUCAUGUGAUUUACGGGACUGCUGGAGAGAGUGUCUAUUGAUAAUUUUACCUUCUUUUCAAAUCUUUGACACUGCUUGGAUUGACCGGUAAUUUCGCUCGAAAAUUUCUAGUAAUUUAUAAAGGAAAUUUCUACUGACUAUUAUUGACUGACUUCUUGCAAAGUAUUUGUAAGAAAGCUAAAGAAUUAAAGUUUUUUAAUUUUUAAAAUUGUAAGAAAAAAAUCAAUUAUUUUUAAAAUUGUUUUCAAAAAUAAAACACCAACUAUUUAUAUAAUAGCUAAAUCUAUUAAGAUAAAUCCAAAAUAACUAGUAAAAUCAGUGACUUGCAUUGACGAGUGUAAUGAUCCGGAACCACUCGCAAUAAAUAAAGCCAAAAAAGGCAGACGAGUGUGUCUAUAUAUACAUAUAGGAACCGCUGAUUCGAUUUGAAUAUGUUAUUUGAUUAGUCUAAUUCAUGACUUGCAUUGACUCAAGAUUACCACUCAAGAUUUCGUGGUGCUUUCUCGGCCUGCAAAUGAAUAGAAAGCAUGUCCUUUUAACCUCAUUUCAAUAUCGUUGCUUUACUCUCCAGCUAGCCUGAUACAUAUGAGUCUCGAGACAUACGGCCAUUGAUAGAAAGGUGUGCUGAAGCAAAAUAUUUUUUUAUCUGUAGCGACCUCAAUAAUGUUAAAGCGUGGACCACCAUGAAAUUACCGCUCCAAAUUCCUUGUUCUUUCUAUAUUAUUAGAAAAAUUAUCAUUGACUAAUUUAAUUGGAAAUUAUUUGCGAGAAAGCUAAAAAGAAUUAAAGUUUUUUAAUUUAUAAAAUUAUAAUUUUAAAUUGUAAAAAAAUUCAAUUAUUUUAAAAAAUAAAACAUCAACUAUUUAUAUAAUAGCUAAAUAAAUCUAUUAAAAUAAAUUGAAAAUAACUAGUAAAAUCAAGCAAAUAAUCCAAAAAUAACAAGAAAAUAAAUAUAUUUCCUAGAUCUAAUUUGAUUAUAUUUUUUAUCUUGAUUGACUUACUUGCUAAGUCUUUGAACUUUAAUCUAAGAAUUUGUUUUAUAUUUCUUCAUUUAUUAAUGAAAUAUUACUUCUAUUGUAUAGUUUUUGGUUUCGAGUCGAUCCACCAGAUUAAUAGGUGAACAAUACAUUUUUUGAAUUUAUUAGAAGAAACGUGUAAUGUAAAUUAUAAAAUAAUAUUUAUUUUUCUGAUAUAUAUAAUAAUAAUAAAUUAGAUGACAGUUACAAGAAAAUAAAAAUUAAUUUGAAUAGAUGGUACGAGUUUCUAUUCUGAUAUAUCCAGGGAAGAAGUUCGAAGAAUAGAAUGAAGUUAAAUAUUCUUAAUAAAAAAAGAAAAAAAAAAGAAAAAAAAUAUAUUUUUAAUAAAUAUAAAAGAUGGAUAAAAUUAGAGAACAAGAAAGAGAUAUAUAAUCUCUUUGUAAGAACUUCUAAAAAUUUAAUUACAAUUGAGAAUUUCUUCCUUAAAAAAAUCCAAAAAAAUCCUAUUAUAUAUGAAUCAAGACAACAGUUGAAUAACUAUUACAUAUUUUUCAAGUUUACUUAGAAUAAUUAUUUUAAUAUUUAAAAAUUAAAAAAAUACUGUGUAGUUGUUUUGUAUAAAUUCUAAAGUUGAGAACUCUUUUGUGCUUGGUAAAAUGAAUAACUUUUACAUAUUCUUCAAUGUUUCACACUGCUUUAAUAGAUUGGUACAGUAAAUACCUCACACUACAGUUAAUAAAUAAUAACACAAGAAAGGACCAAAGUAUAUAAAUAAUAGCAUGUUUCACACUGCUUUAAUAGAUUGUUACAGUAAAAGCACAAAGAAGAACGGUUCAAGAUGUGGUAGAAUCACCUUCGAAGUGACUAAAUCUGCUUUAAUAUAUUUGAGAUUCACGCAAUGCCACUCUCAUCGGUAUUCUAAAAGCGAAGAGAAGAGUAGAAGCAAUGUGAUAGCUAUACAGGUGAGACUUAAUAAUUUACAGGUGAUAAUUGUUUUUUAAAAUAUUUUUUUUAUUUGAAAAUGUAUUAAUUUAAUGUAAAAUAAUAAAUAAAAUUUAAUUUUUUUUAAUUGUUUUUUAAAAUAUAAAAACAAAGAGGAUAUAAUCAACCUCUUGAUGUCACUAUUAAUUAUUGAUGUCGAUUGAUGCACAUGCUAACACCAGCGAAGAAUUAAGAGGCCAAUAUGCCAUUUGAUGCGAUAUUGCAAUUCAACAGCCAAGACACCACGGCUGAUAGAUGUAGACAGCGGUAAUGAACAGGAAAAGUUAAAAAAAUUAAAAUAUUUCAUGUCUUCACAGUCGUUUAGAAAAGAAACAAGAUCAAACCUUGGUUUCAUUUUGUCAGUUGACUCCAAGUCAAUGUCUAAAUCUCCUCUAAAUUCCAAACUGGGUCACCCAGCGAAUUAAGGUAUAGAUUUUAUUGGACGACAAUCAUAUUAAUAAAUAUGGGACGACAAAUCACAAACAUAAUCAAUUCAACCGUACUCCAAAGAACACUCAUACUCCAAUAUCAGCAACCACCACGAAGGUUGAAUUACACUACUUGUUAAAUUAAUAAAGUUACUAGUUGCUAUAAAGUAAGAGAUAAGAAAAUAUUGUGUUUUAAAAUAUUUUUGUUUUAAAAUAAUAUUUUUUUAUUUUUAAAAUUUAUUUUUAAUAUUAUUACAUCAAAACUAUAUAAAAAAAAUAUUUCAGAUUAUCAAUUCAACCGUUCUCCAAAGAACACUCAUACUCCAAUACCAGCAACCACUACGAAAGUUACCACUCUAAAUUCCAGCUCAAUAAUUUAUUCUUUGACAAUUAUUGCAUUGCUAAUAAUUUGCAAGGAAACAUACUUUUAACUAUAUUCAAUUCCAGAAUAUUUUUUUUUGAUAAAUAUUUGAGAAAUAUUGAUAAUCUUUUAUCAAGUUUUAUUUUUAUCAUUUUUAUUUGGAAUUAAUUCUAUUAUGUAUUUAAAUGUGUUUAGUUACCUUGUAAACUGUAUGUUAGAGUCCCUCAAAUAUUCUGGCCACAUCAACCACUAUAUUUUAUGCCAAGCAGUAUUUUGUCCUUGAACCCUUUGGCCCUCUAAAUUACCCAAAAAGGACAAUAAUUGAGCACAAGUGGUACAGGUCAGGGUUAAACUCAGCUUGCUAGAGCCAGUUCUCAAUUUUAGGCGCCAGUUCUCAAUUUUAGGCACCAGUUCUCAAUCGAAUUUUAGCAAAAUCUGGGCUAGGAUUUGAAACAAAUGUAGCUAUUUUUUCUCCUUUUAUUAUUAAAAAAUAAUAUUCAUGGAUUAAUUUUCGUAUAAUUUAAGAAAGUAAGUCCUUUAAUCAAAUUUUAGAGUGUUGCAAUUACUACGAAAGGAACGCAAAAAGACAUAAAGUUUUUCGAAGAGAGAAAUAAAAAGGAAAAGGAAAAGGAAACAACCCCCACUCCAUCUUUCCCUUCUUUCCAUGAAAAUCAAUUUUAGGAUUUUGAUUUUCAAUCAGUAUGAGUGAGAAAGAAAGAGAGGACAAGCCGACACUUCAAAGGUCCUCUUUCUCUUUCCUUGCUUUUUUUAACGCGUGGAGCCAGCAGUUGUUGCCACCAAAUUCCUUGCUCAGUAUUUGAAAAUUUUCCUAAUUUUUUUUCCUCUACGUGCUGUUACCUUUUACCUCUUUUAUAAUUAUUAUGAUUAUUGCAUUGCUAAUAAUUUGCAAUAAAGAUGAUGAACAUUUUUUAGUCAAUUCAAAAUAACAAGAUAAGGUUUGUUCAGGCUUUUCUUGGAACCUCGCUCAGGGAUUAGUUAGCGAGAAUAAGAAAAUGCUGUCCAAAUUAUACAAAAUUUAUUAUUAAUCAUCAAUAUUUAUUCUUGAUCAUCAAUAUUGAAUAAAGGCUUAUUUUCUAGUAUAAACUUUGAUGAGAUUGUUUAUAAAAAUAACCAAAUUGAGGUUUUUCAAUUACCUUUAAAUAUAUCAUAGUUUUAAUAGGCACACAGUAUAUUUUUUAAUUUAUUAGAAAAAACAUGUAAUGUAAAUUAUAAAAAAUAUUUAUUUUUCUGAUAUACAUAGUAAUAAUAAAUUAGAUGAUAGUAACUAGAAAAUAGAAAUUAGUUUAAAUAAGUGGUACCAAUUUCUAUUCUAUAUAUCUACGGAAGAAGUUCAAAGAAUAGAAUGAAAUCAAAUAUUCUUAAUAAAAGAGGAAAAAAAACACAAAAAGAAAUAAAAUAUGUUUUUAAUAAAUAUAAAAUAUGGAUAAAAUUAUAGAACAAGAAAGAGAAGUUAGAUACCUCAAAUUUUAGUAAGGAUCCAAUUGGAUUGUUUAAAAGAGGAGAAACUGUCAUUGACUGAUUUAAUUGGAAAGUAUUUACAAGAAAGCUAAAAGAAUUAAAGUUUUUUAAUUUUAAAAUUAUAAUUUAAAAUGGCAAGAAAAAAAUCAAUUAUUUUUAAAAUUGUUUUAAAAAAUAAAACAUCAACAAUUUUAUAAUAGCUAAAUAAAUCUAUUAAAAUAAAUUGAGAAUAACUAGUAAAAUCAAGCAAAUAAUUCAAAACCAACAAGAAAAUAAAUAUAUUUUCUAAAUCGGGUUUGAGUAUGUUUUCUAUCUUGAUUGACUGGCUAACUUGAUAAGUCUUUAUUAAGUGUAAAUCAACUUUAUUCUAAAAGUCUGUUUGAUAUUUUUUUAUUUAUUAAUGAAAUAUUAUUUUUACUAUACAGUUAUUAGAUCCCAGGCUAAUCUACUGGGUCGGUUUAAAUUUAAUAACUAUGGUUCAUAGUCAUAUAGCUAGUAGUUGCACUAAAGCUAAUAAUUUAAAAAAAAUUAAAUAUCAAUAAUUUUUGUUGGCAUCAAAUAAUUAAAAAUGAGAAUUUCAGAGCAGAGGGUUUAAGAAAUAUUAAAAUAGAAGGUUUUGUGUAAUUAUUAGAUAAUUGAAAUCAUCACUAAUCUCCUUUGUUCAUUUUCCUUUUUUAUUACCCUUACCAUGCACAAAACUUCAUGUCACUUAAUGAUACACUUGCUUUCAACGUUUAAACUGUUAAAGAAUAAUAUAAAUUAUAUUAUGAGAUCUUACCUAACAGCUUAAGUUAUUGGGUUGAGAUGGUUCUUUGAUAUGGUAUCAGAGCCUUGAUGAUCAAGCGGUCACGAGUUCGAAUCUCACCAUCUCUAUUUAUUUGAUAAAAAUUAAGCACAAAGUAAUGUGGAUUUGUGCAAGUUUUAAGCCCAAAUGGCUUUCACUUGAGGGAGUGUGUUAAAGAAUAAUAUAAAUCAUAUCCUGGGACCUUACCUAACAGCUUAAGUUAUUGGGUUGGGAUGGUUCUUUGAUAUAAUAGCAACCAUCAUGAAAUUACAACACUAAAUUUAUUCUUUAGCAAUUAUAUAAUGCUCGCUCUUUCACAGUUAUUGCAUUUCUAAUAAUUUGCAAGAAAAUUAACAUUCUUUGUCUCUCAAUCUGCACCUACCAUGAAAUUAACAUCCUUUCUCGACAUUUCCUAGCAAUUUAUGGAGGAAAUUUCCUUGUGCCCUCUCUUAUACAUUAUUACAAAAACUGUCAUUGAUUGAUUGACUUGCAAAAGUAUUUGCAAGAAACCUAAUGAAUUAGAGUUUUUAAAAUUUUUAAAUUAUUAAAAACAUCCAAUUGUUUUUUUUUUAAAUCAAGAAUAAAACAUCAACUAUUUAUAUAAUUACUAAAUAAAUCUAAUAAAAUAAAUUGGAAAUAACUAGUAAAUAAUUCAAAAAUAACUAGAAAAUAAAUAUAUUUUCUAUGAUUUGAGUAUGUUUUUGAUUCACUAAUUUGCUAAGUAUUUGCUAAGCAUAACCGAAAGAAAUUAUUUGCUAAUCACUCACUAAUUCAUCCAUGAUAUGUUCAAAAAAAUGGGUUAAAAAUUGGGUAACAACACCAUAUCUAUUUUAUUGAAAACCCGGGCCUGUAAUUGACCGGAAGAAAACCGAUCAACCCACUAAGUAGAUCUGGAACCUUGAUGACCCAACAAAACCUGGUAGAAAUUCAUUUUUUUUUCAAAUGUAUUUUUUCUUCUAGCUAGAGACCUCUAUUUUUUAUAUAUUUUUCAGUUGGUUACUAACCCAUUUCAAAGUUUACUAUAUAAAUAUUAGAAGAAUGUUUUAUUUUUUUAAUGUGGGAUUUGAAACCUUUUAGUAUAUAUACUCUUUGUUUACUAAAAAAAAAAUUAUGUUUUUUUAAUAUGAAAUAAAAAACCUUUUUGAUUUAAAUACUUCAACUCAAAAAAAUAAGAUAGUAUCUUUUUAAUGUGGAAUAAAAAAAACCAUUUGAAAUAAUCUUUUAAACUUCAUUAUUUAUAACAUGUAUAACUUAUAUCUUUCUUAAUUUUUUCAUAUGAAAUAUUAAAACCUUUAAUAUUUUUUUUUUCUUGGUUGACUUGGAUCAAUCCUUGUAACUCGAGACUCAGCUCCUUGAUUGAGUCGAUCUCGAGUCGGGUUUGAUAAUUAUGAAAAUAUUUAAUGAAAAAAUAUAUUUUUUUUGUAUAAAAAUGAAGGGUAAAAUAUUAAAUUAUGACAUAUAUCAUUAAUUAUUGACAUACUCUUGUAACAAGCAUGAAACUUUAUGUUAUUUCAUGAUACCCAUGUUUUUAACGCUUUACACCGCUUUAAUAAAUUGUUACAGUAAUAGCACAGAGAGAAGAACGGAUCAAGAGAAAAUAAUAAUGUAACCAUCUAGAAAGUGAUGCAAUGAUAAGAAUUUGGAACUAAAGAGUUUGUUUUUUUUUUUUUUUUCAGGUUCGAGUUUUGUGGUUGCUAAUAUAAUAGUUACUGGAGAUUUACAUGAUCGUUAACUUUAGGACUCGUAAGAUUAGUUUCGAGUUUUGUGGUUGCUAAUAUAAUAGUUACUGGAGAUUUACAUGAUCGUUAACUUUAGGACUCGUAAGAUUAGUCAAGAUGCAUGCAAACUGGACUGGAUACCUACAGGAAUCUAAAAAAAAAUAAUAAUGGAGAUGAAGCAAAAUCUCUGUUUGAUUUUUUCUUUUUUGUGUUUUUGGUACAUUGGUCAACAAUAGCUUGGAAGACUUUGGUAGCAGUAAGUAACCUGUUCUUCCUCAAUAAUGUUAACGCGUGGACCCUGUUGUUGUGGAAACUUUGCAGAGGAUCUUAAUAAAAACAAGUAAAUAGAAAAAUAUUAAUUUUUAAAUAUAAAAACUAGAAAACCUGAUAAUAUUGAAUAAAAAAUAAAAUAAAAAUUUAUUCUUUUCAAGUAGAAAAAAAAUAUAAAAGUUUAACAAUAUUGAAUAGAAAUAAAUAAAAUUUUUAAACUAAAUAAAAAUGAUAGAAAAAAAUAUUUAUUAUCUUAAAAAUUCUUAUAUUAAAAUCUUAAUUUAUCACAUGAACUGAGUCUAUAUGCUAAAAUCAGAAGAAAAAAAAAAACAAAUGUAACAAAAAAAAUUCUACACAACACAAUUAAUUAUAGGAUCGUAUAUUUCGAGACUAAAUUGAGGUUUUUGAAUUAUCUUUAAACAGAACAUGAUUUUAAUAGGUGCACUGUAUAUCCUUUGAAUUUAUUAGAAGUAACGUGUAAUGUAAAGUAUGAACCGCGUACCAUUAACUAGCCUUUUCAAUUGGAUUUUUUAUUUAAAUGAAAAGGAAAUUUUGUUUUAUUAUGAAAAUAAUAUUUAUUUUUUGAUAUAUCUAAUAAUAAUAAAAUAGAAAGUAGAUUGAAUAAAUGAUAUCAGUUCCUAUUAUGAUAUAUCUAGUAAAAGAAUAGAAUGAAUUAAAAUAUUCUUAAUAAAUAUAAAAGAUGGGGAAAUUACAUCACACGAAACUACCAAUAAGCAAAUUUUAAUCUGUAAUUAUGUAGGUCUUAAUUACAAGGGUUUUAAUUUAGGAAGUAUAUUAAAAAAUAAUAUAAAUUAUAUUCUAGAAUUUAUUUUAAUAGUUUAAAUUUUGAGAUGAAUUAAUAAGUCUUUACAAAUAAAAGAUAUAGUUUUACAAUAAAAUGCAUUUUUAGAAAUGAAAUUAUAUUAAAUUAAGCGUGCUCGAGAUUGUUCAAAUUAUUAAUUAAUUAUAAUUAACUUUAUGUCUUUAGAGGAAACAAAAGGGAAGGACAAAAUUAUUUUCCCCUCAACGAUAGACCUAGCCCACUUUCCAAACAAAAGGUAAAUAGAAUGAUGGUCUCAUAAAUUGCUUUUUUUCUUUCUAGCUCGUCAAGCAGUUUGGUCUCCCUCACUGGAAAAUCUCCUUUUUCCCUGCCUCUGUGCACGUAGGGGAAGAAGGAGAAUAGUAUCGUUCAAAAUAUCACUGUUUUGAAAUUUUUUUUGAAAAAAAUAAAAUGAAUUUAGGAAUAAUUUAAAAAUAGAUUAUGAUAUUUUCCAUCACUUUUUCUUAUCAUCAACUUCAAUAUGUUGCUUCUUUUUUAAAGGUUUAACACUAGAAAGCCUUUUUUUUGUUUCAUUCUUCAAAUCUUAAUAACAAACGUAUGUAAUAGACAAUUGAUAGUGAAAUGAAAAGGUUAAGGAAGAUGAAAUUGUAAGAAAAGAAAAUAAAUUUAAAAUAUUAUUAUGAAAAAAACAAAAAACAAUAAAAAAUAUGGACCAAAACUUAAAGAUAAAAAAAUUAAAGGUAAAAUUGAAAAAUAAUUCUAGUUUUAUAAAUUAUUAAAAAAAGAUUUCAAAUAUUUAAUGAUGAAAUCGAAAAAUAUUAACUUUAAAAAUUAGCCAGAAAAAUUCAAUAAAUAAUAAAAAAACAAACUCAAGAAAAUCUAAAUCAUUUAUAAAAUUAGUAAAAACUUCCACACUAAGUAAACAAAUAAAAACAAAACAAAUAGAAACAAGGAAGUAAAGUCUGUAAUUAAAUAUAUACGCGGAGACAAAAACAUGGGCAUGUGACAGGAGACAAAAGGGCAAAGGAAGGUCUCUAUCCAACUUCCUUUUCCUUUUUCUUAGAAAAAAAGUGACAAAAUCUGAUAGAACACAGAUUCCAUCUCUUUUUCAUUGGUUUUUUUGUUUUUUUAAUGUUUAUGCAUGUGGCUCAACCUUUCUCAGUAAUUGCAACAUGUUUCUUUGUUGAAUAAACUGCAAUACUGGUCUCCCUCACUGGACCCCUUUAUAAUGAGAAUCACACUAGGAAAUUUAAAAGUAAUUUGAAGUAUUAUUAAAGCCUAUAAAAAUAAAACUGAUAAUAAUAUAGUUGGGAUUUUAAAAAAAAAAUUGAUAAAAAACCAUAUAAAAAGAAAUUUGAAACAAAGUAAUCUUAAAAAACCAAAACAAACAUGCCAUGAAAACAAAUUUAAAAUAAACAAAAUACUUUAAAAAAAAAUAAUUCAACCAUUUCUUCAUAAAAAAAACAGUAAUUGGGUGUUACUUUAUGGUCAAAAAGUACAAUAAUGCAAAAAAAAAAAAAAAAAGAGUUUUAGGAUAUUGAUUUUAUUAUUUGUUAGGUAACUAUGUAAUCUAUACGUUGAUGUGGAAAAUAGGACUAAGUUUUUUUGUCAAAAGAGUAACUGUGUAAUCUAAUAUUCAUCUCUCAAAUCCCUAAUCCAAUUGAUCAUAUAAUUAAAUAAUUGUUUUAAUUAAUAACUAUAAGAAACAAACUCCCUUGUUAGUUCAUUACUUAAAUAAAAACUCAUGAUUGUCUAGCAAAGUAAAUAAAUUACUUAACCGGAUCACCAGAGGAGUUAUUUGCCAAAAUAAAAACUCAUGAUUGAGUUAUAUAACAGUUUAUAAAUCAUGCUAUCAUCUCCAUCACCAUAUAUAAAGCUAGACAAAAUAGGAUAAGACGGGAUUAAAUUUAAUUUUAGGAUAUAUUUGAGAAUAUGAUUGAAUCAUGCUUUUUAAAAUGUUUUUGAAUUAUUUUAAUAUGUUGAUGUCAAAAAUAAAUUUUAAAAAAUAUUAUUUUAAUAUAUUUAUAAUAAAAAAAUAUAUUUUAUAAAGCAAUUUUCACCAUAUUUUCAAAUAAAUUAAAAUUUUUCAAAUAAAUGGAUUGAUAUAUCGAUGACACUCUCUAGUCAGUUUUGAGAAUUUUGAAUCCAAACAAGUGAAUUUAUAUGCAUGCUUGUACAACUUGAUUUUCUCUUUAAUUUAAUCAACAAUAAUUUCUCAUACUCAAUAGAAAUUUGGGUUUAUCAUUAGGGUAAGACAACCUGUAUUUUAAAAUACUAUUGCCAAAAGAUCAUAUUAUUUAUUACCACAAGAAAGGACCAAAGUUAAUAAAUAAUAGCAUGCACGAAACUUCGUGAUACCCAUGUUUUCCACGUUUAAUAGAGUGUUACAGUAAAAGCACAGAGAGAAGAACGGUUCAAGACAGAACAAUAAUGUUAACGCGUGGACCCCAUUUGCUGUUUUUUCCUCUACGUGUUACCUUUUACCUCUUUUACCUCUUUUAUAAUUAUGAUUAUUGCAUUGCUAAUAAUUUCCAAGAAAGAUGAUGAACUUUUUUUAGUGAAUUCAAAAUAAACAAAAUAAGGUUUGUUGAGGCUUUUCUUGGAACCUCGCUCUGGGAUUAAUUAGCGAGAAUAAGAAAAUCCUGUGUAAAUUAUACAAAUUUCCUUGCUUUUUUUUUCCUGCAUGUGUUACAUUUUUAUCUUUUAUAAUUAUAAUUAUUGCAUUGCUAAUAAUUUGCAAGAAAGAAUAUUGUUUCUCUGAAAAGAAGUCUGAAUGUUUUUAGAAAGAAGCAGUCUUCAUUGCUUUUCAAAACCAAUCUCUGGAUCUAUUAACAAAAACUCUAAAUCGCGAGUAAUAGACACAAUUAAUUAUGCAUUGCUGUAAUAAAAUCACGUAUUUAUUUUCAAGUGGGAAAAAAUUAAGCCAUGAGGCCAGGGGUUCUUUGGUCUUUACCUAUUUUCGUUUUGGCCACCGAAUUUUAUUUUUUUUUCAAUAAAAGAGAAGGUUUUGUGUAAUUAUCAGAUAAUUGAAAUCAUCACUAACUCCUUUGUUCAUUUUCAUCUUUUUUUAUUACCCUUAGCAUGAUACACAGAAAAGAAGAACGGUCAAGAGAGAAGAAUAAUGGAGAUUACUGUGGAGAUGACGAAUCAAAAUCUUUGCUUGAUUUUCUGUUGUGUUUUUGGCACAUUGAUCAACAAUAGCUUGGAAGAGUUCGAUAGCAGAGGAAGAAAAAUAAUAGCAGUAACCUUUUCCACCUCAAUAAUGUUAACGCGUGGACCCAGUUGUCGUGGAAACUUUGCAGAGGAAGAAAAAUAAUAGCAGUGACCUUUUCUACCUAAUAAUUUGCAAGAGAGAAUUCUUUCUCUGAAUAUAUAGAAAAAAACUAUUAUUUUUUAAUAAAAACAACUAUAUAGAAAAAUUAUUACUUUUUAGGUAGAAAAACCUCAUGAUAUUGAAUAAAAAAAUGAAAUAGAAAAAUUAUUCUUUUCAAGUAGAAAAAAAUAUAAAAGUUUAGUAAUAUUGAAUAGAAAUAAAUAUUAAAAUUUCUAAACUAAAUAAAAAUAACAGAGAAAAAUAUAUAUUAUCCUAAAAGUUCUUAUAUUAAAAUAUUAAAAAGAACUGAGUUUACAUGCUUUAAACAGAAAAACAAUAAAAAAAACAAAUGUAACAAGAAAAAUUCCACGCAACAUAAUAUAUAUGAUAUAAAUUGAGGUUUUUAAAUUACCUAUAAACAUAUCAUAAUAUAUAUGGUACAUCCUUUGAAUUUAUUAGAAAGAAGCCAUUAACUAGCCUUUUCAAUUGGAUCUUUUAUUUAAAAGAAAAGGAAUAUUUAUUUUAAUAUGAAAAAAAUAUGUAUUUUUUAUAUAUAUCUAGUGAUAAUAAAUUAGAGGAUAGUAACAAGAAAAUAGAAAUUAGAUCAAAUAAAUGAUACCAAUUUUUAUUCUGAUAUAUCUAGCUAAAGAAUAGAAUGAAUUAAAACAUUCUUAAUAAAAAAAAAACAGAAAGAAAUAAAAAAAUAUUCUUAAUAAAUAUAAAAGAUAGGUGAAAUCAGAGAACAAGAAAGAAAUAUAGAAUCUCUUUCUAAGAUUUCUUGUUCCCUUUCCCUUCUUUACACGGCCUCCUCAAUGAAAAAGCAAACACCCCAUUUGAUUUUCAUUCAGUAUGAGAGUGAGAAUGAGAAUGAGAAUGAGAGAGAGGUAAUUUCGACUAUACAUAGAACUCGACAGGACAGAAGACUUAAAGAUAAAAUAGCUUUGAUUUACAACCAUGGCUUCAAGGGCCUGGAAUAGGACCAGGUACAAGUUUGUUUCUAUCUAAGAAAGCAAGAAGCUCCCACUAAUGCAUGCUCUCAACAAACUACCCCCAAUUUCGCCACUACAGCUCAAGUAGCUUUGAGUCAUUCCAACAAGUAGGAAUUGAAUUCAAAGGAAUAAAUCAUUAAAUGCGGAGUUGGUGUUCUCCUGUUUGUGGUUCUGAUAAAUGUAAGAACGGACAGAGAGAAGAAAUAGGAAAAAUCCAUGUAUCUAUUAGUUGGCAGCAGUUAUCAUUCGGCCCUUGCCGCCCACGAAAUCCCUUUAUCCUGCUGUUAAUUUUUUUAAAGACGCGUAUCAGGUGUUUGAUAAAAUUCCUCAACUGGAAAAAAAAACCAUGUUUAGAAUGCUUGAGUCCUUUACAAGUGGAAAGUGGGAACUAUCCACUUUCCCAUUUGAAAUCAUCACUAACUCCUUUGUUCAUUUUCUUCUUUUUUUAUUACCCUUAGCAUGAUACACAGAAAAGAAGAACGCGUGGUUCAAGAGAGAACAAUAAUGGAGGGGAAUCAAAAUCUUUGUUUGAUUUUAUGUUGUGUUUUUGGUACAUUGAUCAACAAUAGCUUGGAAGAGCUUGAUAGCAAUAACCUUUUCGACCUCAAUAAUUAAUGUUAAUGCGUGGAUCCAGUUGUUAUGGAAACUUUGCAAAGGAUCUGCAGGAAGAAAAAUGAAAAGCUUUUCGAACCUACAAUAUAGAGAGAGAAAUAAAUAAAUAAAAAGCUUUUCAAAACCAAUCUCAUGCCAAAUUGGUUUGUCUGUCCAGUACUUGAGCUUGCACACUUCGUUUAUAUUCAAACAAUAUUCUUCCGUUGCUUUUAUUCUUUACAAUAAUGUGAUAGGAAUAACAUUAAUAUUAUUAUAAAGAAAAAACUCCACCCACUUUGAAACACCUUUGAUGUGUUGAUUGAAAUUGACAAGUGAGUUUACUCACAUGUUGUUAUAUUGGUUUUGAGUUCAAAUAUGGAGAUUUUAUGAUUUAUUCACAUGAAUGCAUUCAUUUAUUCACCUAUUAACUAAAUCAUGUAUUCAAUAUGAAUGAUGGGAGAUUUUUAAUGUCUUCUGAAUACAUUCAUUUAUAUAUGAAAAUAAUUUAUGUGUGUGUAUAAGGUUAUUGAAAUGAAGAUUAUUAUCCUCCAGCUCAUCAUCAGAUCACACGAAAGGAACGCAGAAAGACAUUCCCUUUCUUGUCAUAAAGUUUUGAAUAGAAUGCCCAUCAAAAAGUACUUUCGUGCAUUAUUGUCAUAAAGUUUUUCAAACUUCCAAUAUAGAGAGAGAAAUUAAAAAAAAAAAAAAAGCAAAAGGAAACAACCCCCACCUCAUCUUUCUUGUUCCCUUUUCCUUCUUUACAUGGCUUACUCAAUGAAAAAGCAAGCACUAAGGCACCUUCUCCACAAACUACCCCCCAAUUUCGCCACUAUAUAAAUAUUAUGGAAAACAAGAUAAAAAGAAAUCUUUUGGUACAUAUAUAAAUAUAUUAUGGAAAUUAACAUGGUAUCAGAGUAUCUGUGAACUAUUGCUGGGAUUGGGAAGUCAUAAUUUUUGACACGCCUAAUCACAGUCUUUUUUGGAAAAAGAAGAAGAAGCCAGGCUAUGAAAAUAGGUUUCUGGAAAUUUACAUCAUUUGAUUUUGACAAUUGCAUGGAAAUGGUCUUCUUAGUUUGCCGUGUGGAAAAUCAUGUCAUUUACGGGACUGCUGGACAGAGUGUCUAUUGAUAAUUUUACCUUCUUUUAAAAUCUUUGACACUACUUGCAUUGACUGGUAAUUUCGCUCGAAAAUUUCUAGUAAUUUAUAAAGGAAAUUUUUACUGUAUAUGAAUUGAAAAACUAUUAUUGACUGACUUCUUGCAAAGUAUUUGUAAAAAAGCUAAAGAAUUUAAGUCUUUUAAUUUUUAAAAUUAUAAUUUGUUGAGGCUUAUCUUGGAACCUCGCUUUGGGAUUAAUUAGCGAGAAUAAGAAAAUCCUAUGCAAAUUAUACAAAAUUUAUUAUUAAUCAUCUAUAUUUAUUAUUGAUCAUCAAUAUUGAAUAAUGGCUUAUUUUCUAGUAUAAACAAUGUUUGAAAUAAAAUUGAUAAAAGAUAGUAUACAUAAUUAUUAAUGAUGGGAUUGUUUAUAAAAAUGACUAAAUUAAGGUUUUUUAAUUAUCUUUUAACAUUUUAUGAUUUUAAUAGAUGGGCUGUACAUCAUGUAAAUUAUAAAAGAAUAUUUAUUUUUCUGAUAUAAUAAUAAUAAUAAUUAUAAUAACAAUAAUAAUAAUAAAUUAGAUGAUACUAACGAGAAAAUAGGAAUUAGUUUGAAUAAAUGAUACCAGUUCCCAUGAUGAUAUAUCUAAAGUCCUAAACUUCAAGAAUUUCUCUUCUUUAUCUUUUGUAUUUUCUCAUUUUCUUGGCAUGCGCGCAGCUGCUUCAUGGAAAAAACGUUUCAGAUGCGGAAAAUAAAAGCGGAAAAAAAAAUCCCAAAUAUCAGCAAACAUCACAAGAGAAGCUUGAUCUCAACAAGAUGUUGCAGUCCACAGUCUUUCCAUUACAUUAUAAUUACUUCUAAAAAAAAUUAAUUUAAUUUUUAAUUAUAAGCCAUCAGCAACUACCUCAAAAUUACCACUCUGAAUUCCAGCUCAAUAUCGAUUAACAUGUGGCUACAGAAUUUGAAUUAAGUUCAAUUAUACAAAAUCCUGUGCAAAUUAUACAAAAUCCUGUGCAAAUUAUACAAAAUCCUGCUUUAAGUUCUUGGAACCUAGCUCUGAGAUUAAUUAGCGAGGAUAAGAAAAUUCAGUGCAAAUUAUAUAAAAUUUAUUAUUAAUUAUCGAUGUUCAAGAUUUUCUUAAAUGUUAUUUUAUUUUCAUUAUUAUUUAUAAAAAUCCAAAAAAAUUAAGAAAAAGUUUAAAAAUUCAAAAAUAUAUUUUUCUCGAGUCAAUCACAUUUUUCCAUCAAAACCAAGUCCACCGGGUCAAACCAUGUCGACUAGGGUAAAAAAUGAGUUUCGGGUCAAAACCGUCAUUUCCGACCAAAACCGAGCUCACCGGGUCAAUACGGGUCAAACCAUGUCGACCAGGGUAAAAAAUAAGUUUCGGGUCAAAACCGUCAUUUCCGACCAAAACCGAGCUCACCGGGUCAGGACGGGUCAAACCAUGUCGACCAGGGUAAAAAAUGAGUUUCGGGUUGUUUCGGGUCAAAACCGUCAUUUCCGACCAAAACCGAGUCAUUAGGUCAGUACGGGUCAAACCAUGUCGACCAGGGUAAAAAAUGAGUUUCGGGUUGUUUCGGGUCAAAAACUGUUAUUUUCGACCACAACCCGGUUCACCGGGUUGAUACCCAUCAAAUGUUUUUUUUGAUAUUCUAUUUCUUUUUUUGCGGUUGAAACCGGCUUUUUCUAAUACUAAUUUGAAUUUUUAAUUUUACCUAUAUAAAUAUUUAUUAUUAUAUAUAAUAAAACAAAAUCAAUAAUUCAACAAUUUGUCAGCGGAGCAGUUGAUUUUUUUAUUUAAGGUAGAUGGCAGAAGGGAAAGGAAAACAGAAAGAAAGAAAGAAAGAAAGAGAGAAGAGUGUACUAUUCAUAUCUUUUUUAGUUUUUCUUCAUGAGAGUAGGAUAUUGUUUUUUUUUAAAAACAAUAUGGAAAAUAUCAAACAUAUCCCAACCACUGGAUUCAAUAGUGUUAGUUCUGGGCCUUUAAUUUAAUAGGAUACAAUAGGACUUACCACACUAGAUUAAAACCCAAACACAUCUCAGCCCUUGAAAUAAUCUAAGCUUUGAUCCCGUUGCCCCACGUCACCCGGUGUACUGAGAUUUCGGUGCACCGCGUCACACCAGGUCAAACAUCUGCUCAUCCAGACCGUCCGAUCAACCUGCAGAUCGAGCCAAUCACAACCACACGAUCUUUUCAUCAGAGAUCCAACAGAUCACAGGCUUAAGUUGCACCGGUGUAUAGUGCUAGCGCUCACACCGUAGUAUAACCCAAAGCCUCUCUCUCCUAUCGCCGGCGACUCUCUCUCUCCUCCGAUCUCCCAUCUCCGGCUGUAUAAAGCCUCCAAACUACCACAGAAAGGUCGCCAACCUCCUACAAAGCAAAACACCGGCCUUUUUCAGCGUUUUCUCCGCCUUAUCUGGCCGCAAAAAGGCCGCGAUCGUCGCUGGCCAGCGACGCUUCAAGUCGUCGAUUCUCACUCAUCAGCCAUCAACGACCGUCAAGACCACCACCAUCAGAAUCCUCGACAUCAGAUCUACCAGGAUCGACCAUCGGUUGGACAGAAAUCUCACCGGAAAAUCUCGCCGCCGCCAACAGUAACCGCACGUGAGACACGCGCCACCAGUGGCAUUUUCGUAAUUUUUCAAGAAAUCCGAGGGUAUUUAAGUCUUUUACCUGGCACUCAUGUAUUUUUUUUAUCUAACAUUUUUUUAUUUUGUAUAAAAAUUUUCUUGCAUGUAGAAAAAAAAUAAAAAAAAAAUAAAUAUAAAAAACGACGUGGGUCCAACACCCAUCUUAUCAUAUUAUUGGUCGUGGGUGCAAAGCCCAACCUCUCAAGAAUAGUUAUACCUAUUUUUAAUGACAUCAAAAUAUUUGUUUUUAUAAAUAAAUAUUAUUUGUUGACACGUCUCUUUUUAUAGAAAAGGACCGAUGUCAAAAAAAGUUUAAAUACCAAACAAAUAUGGAUUAUGUUUAUAAUUUUGUUUUUUUUGUAAAUCAGACGUAAAUCUCCUUUUUAGGAUUAGACAUCGAUAUUUUAGACGAGUCUUCUAUUUUUAAGGACUGAUGUCAUUUUUAAUGUGUCUCUUAUUUUUAAGGACCGACGUUAACCAUUUUAAAAAAAUAAUAAAAUUACAAAUAAGCUCAAAAUACAAUAUCAUUUGAAACAAAAAAAAAACACAAGUAAAGAUAACUUUUCUUUUGAAAUGAUAAUUUAAGGGUGAUGUCUACCUUCCCUUAAUCAUAACUAACCCAGUACCUAAAUCUCUGGGACCAGUGUCUAAUUUGGGAUUUUUAGUUCCCUCAUAUUACUAGAUGGCGACUCCAAUAAAAUCUUAAUUUCCCCAAUAAAAAAUCUCUUUUUAUUAAAUAAACAAAAAAAGCGGAGCCAACAAAAAAAAUAGAGCCGUCGCCCGACAUUGUGUAUAAGUUUAUAUAAGCUUAUUUGAACUCGUACACGUUAAAGAAUAGUAUUGACCUUGAUAUUAGUUAUAAAUAAAUUGGUUUUUCAGGAAGAUAUUGUUUUAGGUUUAUUUCUUUAUUUAAGCUUGUUGAAUUCUAGGCCUUAUAUGAUAUUAGUUGAUGUGAUUUGGAUUUAUUUUUAAGUUAAUUUGUGUGUGGGUAGUAAUAAGUGUAUAUGAAUAUGAAUUGAAGUAAGUACCUUAACAAAUGUGAUGGGUUGGUGUGAAGCUUUGAUUAAUUGCUAUAUUUUGAUGUCAUGAGCAAAUACCUUAACAAAUUUGAAUAUUUGAAAGAUAAUAAAUAAAUAUUGAAGAAUUGUAUAGAAAGAAUCGUAUCGAAAUUAUGGAAAAUAUGAUUUUGUCCUGAAAUUCUAAAAAACAAUUAUAGUUUGGUCACUGGUUGUAAAUAAUAAAUUUUAAAAUAUUUUUUGAUAAAUAUUGAUGAUUUAUUAUCAAUUUUUAUUGUUAUCAUUUAAAUUUAAAAUUAAAUAUAUUCUGUAUUUAAAUGUGUUUCGUUUCUUUGGAAACUGCAUGUGUUGGGAAAACUAGGGACAACUAACCGGAUCAAUUCAGCGGAAUACAAUUCACAAUUCACAAGUCCCAAUCAUUUUUCCCUCUUUGUGCAGUAAAAACAGAAUCAAACAAUGAACAAAUAUAAUGCAACAAUCACACAAAUCAACGCCAAGAUUUUUACGUGGAAAACCCGAUGCGAGAAAAACCACGGGACCGGAGUCCACCUAAAAACUUCCACUAUCACAAAUAAUGGGUUCACAAUUGUUCUUCCUCAGAUUCAACUAAGGGCUACAACAUAUAUAUAUCAUCAAGAACAACUUAUUCUCGGAUUACAACAAGAUUAAAGAGAGUAAUGUUAGAGAAAAGCUCACAACACUGACAGCCCUGUUUUCUGUCAAAACGACCAGCUUCCACACCACCAAUCUUCAAUCCAACCGUUCAGAAUGAAGAGGAACGUGUCUAGAAGUUUCUGUCAAAAUCUCAGCCCGAUCCAACGGUGAAACAACUGGAAAAUGAAGAAAGAAGACAGACUGCUCUGCUGCCUCCUCUUCUUUCUUUCUCUCGGUUUUCUUCUCCUCUCUUCUCAAAUUUUCUACUACUAUCUACAGUAACCGUUUCAUUUAAUUUAAACCAAAGAGGCAGCCAGCUGCCUCCUUAAUUAAUGUGGUGGUCCCCCAUCACAUGGUGCGGGACCACACAACAGUAUGCUAGAGUCUCUCAAUAUAUUAAAAGGGCUAACUAUAAGGUAAAAUAAUGAUCAGUUUUAGUUAGCUCCUGCGGGACUUUGCAUUCUAUAAUUUAUGCUAUGCAUUCUAUAACCCUUGGCCCUCUAAAUUACCCAAAAAGGACAAUAAUUGAGCUUGGUGAUCUAAGAGCACAAGUGGUACAGUUCUCAAUCGAAUUUUAGCAAAAUCAAGGAUCCAAGAAAUGGCCUCUGUAACAUGGUAGCUAUGAUUUGAAACAAAUGUAGCUAUGUUUUCUCCUUUUAUUAUAAAAAAUUAAUAUUCAUGGAUUAAUUUUCAUAUAAUUUAAGAAAGCAAGUACUUUAAUCAAAUUUUACAUUGACCAUCCUCAAUGUGUUUAAAGUAAAUGUUAAUUACCAAGCUGUUGCAAUUAAACCUGACCGGCCCGGUAGGUUUACUGUUACCUUUUACCUUUUAUAAUUAUGAUUAUUGCCUUGAAUAUAUUAUUUGAUUAGUCCAUUUAUAGGUUGACUCUACUAUUCCUGCCUUGCAUUGACAGUAAAUUUCACUAGAAAUUUCAAGUAAUUUACACAGGAAAUUUCCUGGUGAUAAACCUGGAAUCUGAUUUUCAACUUUCGUAGGCACUAAAGUCCCAAACUUCAAGAAUUUCAGAAUAUCAAUUCAACCGUACUCCAAAGAACACUCAUACUCCAAUAUCAGCAACGACCACGAAAGUUACCACUCUAAAUUCCAGCUCAAUAAUUUGUUCUUUGACAAUUAUUGCAUUGCUAAUAAUUUGCAAGGAAACAUACUUUUAACUACAAGAGUCUGUUUGAUAUUUUUCCAACUUUUACUGUUUCACUUCAAAGUUUCAAUAAUUGUUUUUUCAUUACAUAUUCUUUCCAACGUGUAAUAAUUCGGAACCACUCGCAAUAAAUAAAGCCAGCAAAGGCAGAUGUGUUUGUCUAUAUAUACAUGAACCUGCUGAUUCGAUUUGAACACCCCAUUUCUCCGAUUCAAUAACUUCAGUUGCAAAACUUCUCUCUCCGAUUGCUGCAAUUUCAUAGCUAACUCUUUGUUAUACACAGGUAUAUAUGGCUAACUCUUCUUAGCUUCUUUCUUGUUUUAAUUUCAUGUCUCUACCAUUAACAAUAAUGUGAAAGCUUUGCUUGUUUCAUGUUUAACUUCAGUUGCUAUUGUCCUAUGCUUUCUCAUUAUUAAGCUUAAAUUGCUAAUUGAUUGUUCCUUAAAUUCUGCAGCUGAAAUGAGAGAGUCAGAGUCUUCUCGUUCUAUACCAGAAGGGGCCUAUGAUGUCUUCUUGAGUUUUAGAGGAGAAGAAACUCGCAAGACGUUUACUGGUCAUCUAUAUGCUGCCUUAGAUGAAGCAGGAAUCCACACUUUUCUAGAUGAUGUUGAACUUCCUAGAGGAGAAGAAAUCUCCGAGCAUCUUCUCAAGGCAAUUCGAGAAUCAAAGAUAUCCAUAGUUGUCUUCUCAAAAGGAUAUGCUUCUUCUAGAUGGUGUCUCAAUGAACUUGUAGAGAUUCUAAAGUGCAAAAGGAAGAAAACCGGUCAGAUUGUUCUUCCUAUAUUCUAUGACAUUGAUCCUUCAGAUGUGAGAAAACAGACUGGCAGUUUUGCAGAGGCAUUUGAUAAGCAUGAAGAGCGUUUUGAAGAGGAGUUGGUGAAGGAGUGGAGAAAAGCUCUUGAGGAUGCCGGAAACCUAUCUGGAUGGAGUCUCAAUGAUAUGGCAUAUGGGUAUUCCUUUUCUCUCUAAGAUUCACUUGCAGACGUUUAUGGAGUAAUUUUACAUUACAUUUUUCAAUGUGAAGUUAUAAAAUAUUUCUUUUUAGCAUACUUAAUUGACUUGCUAUCGAUGACUUGCCUUUUUUUCUGUGAGCAGGCAUGAAGCAAAAUUUAUCAGAGGUUCCUGAGCACCUCGUAGGUAUGGAUCGGUGUACUCACAAUAUUUAUGACUUUCUAAGUAAUGCAACAGAUGAUGUACGCAUUGUGGGCAUACAUGGGAUGCCAGGAAUAGGAAAGACAACUAUAGCAAAAGUUGUAUUUAAUCAACUCUGCAAUGGAUUCGAUGGAAGCUGUUUUCUUUCGGAUAUCAAUGAAAGGUCAAAACAAGUUAAUGGUCUGGCUCUUCUACAAAAGCGACUUCUUCACGAUAUUUUAAAACAAGAUGCUGCAAACUUCGAUUGUGUUGAUAGAGGAAAGGUUCUAAUCAAAGAGCGACUUUGUCGCAAAAGAGUUCUUGUUGUUGCUGAUGAUGUUGCUCAUCAGGACCAGCUAAAAGCUCUGAUGGGAGAUCGAAGUUGGUUUGGUCCCGGAAGUAGAGUAAUUAUUACAACAAGAAAUUCAAAUCUUCUUCGUAAAGCGGAUCGAACAUAUCAAAUUGAAGAAUUGACAAGAGAUCAGUCCCUUCAGCUUUUCAGCUGGCAUGCCUUUGAGGACACCAAGCCAGCAGAAGAUUAUAUUGAGCUUUCAAAGAAAGCAGUUGAUUACUGUGGAGGACUUCCUUUAGCUCUUGAUGUUAUGGGUGCUUGUCUGUCCGGGAAAAACAGAGAUGGUUGGAAAUCUGUAAUUGACAAAUUGAAAAGAAUUCCAAACCACGAUAUUCAAAGAAAGCUUAGAAUAAGUUAUGACUUACUGGACGGUGAAGAACUAAAAAAUGCAUUCCUUGAUAUCGCAUGCUUCUUUAUUGAUAGAAAGAAAGAGUACAUCGCAAAACUGCUAGGAGCCCGUUGCGGUUACAAUCCAGAAGUUGAUUUGCAAACUCUCCAUGAAAGGUCUCUGAUUAAAGUAUUGGGAGAGACGGUAACCAUGCAUGAUCUAUUACGAGACAUGGGAAGGGAGGUCGUUCGUGAAUCGCCUCCAAAAGAACCUGGAAAGAGGACCAGAAUUUGGAAUCAAGAGGAUGCAUGGAAUGUCCUUCAGCAGCAGAAGGUAAGAGCUCAAUGCAUACAUGAAAGCAUAGUCAAACUUAUUACAUAUAAUUGAAUGAAAGUUGUAUUGAUUUUAUUUUUUUAGGGUACGGAAGUUGUAGAGGGUCUUAAACUGGAUGUCAGAGCAUCAGAAACUAAAUCACUGAGCACAGGAUCAUUUGCAAAAAUGAAAGGCUUAAAUUUACUCCAAAUCAACGGAGCACAUCUCACCGGAUCCUUCAAAUUGCUUUCUAAAGAGUUGAUGUGGAUUUGUUGGCAUGAAUUUCCUUUGAAAUAUUUUCCAUCUGAUUUUACUUUGGACAAUCUAGCUGUUCUUGAUAUGCAGUACAGUAACCUCAAAGAAUUAUGGAAGGGAAAAAAGGUGAGAAACAUGCUGCAAUCCCCAAAAUUUGUCCAGUAUGUAAUUUAUAUUUACAUGUUAUGACUUUCUAUGAUUAAUUUUCAUUAUUUUUCUCUCUAUUAUAACAGAUUCUCGACAAGCUUAAAAUUCUUAAUCUCAGUCAUUCUCAGCACCUUCUUAAAACACCAAACUUACACAGUUCAAGUCUAGAGAAACUAAUUCUGAAAGGUUGCUCGAGUUUAGUUGAGGUGCAUCAAUCAAUUGAAAAUUUGACGAGCCUUGUUUUCUUGAAUCUGAAGGGAUGUUGGAGUCUGAAGACUCUCCCUGAAAGCAUUGACAAUGUAAAAUAUCUUGAAACUCUGAAUAUAUCUGGGUGUUCACAACUUGAGAAAUUGCCGGAACGCAUGGGUGAUAUGGAAUCCUUAACCGAGCUGCUAGCUGAUGGGAUUGAAAAUGAGAAAUGUCUCUCUUCAAUUGGACAAUUUAAGCAUGUCAGAAGGUUAUCAUUGCGUCGAAAUAGUUCGGCUCCACCAAGUUCUUCUUUGAUUUCAAUAGGUGUUUUGAAUUGGAAACGUUGGCCGCCAGCAUCUUUCAUUGAAUGGAUAUUAGUGAAACAUCUUGAGCUUUCUAAUAGUGGUUUGUCUGAUCGCGCAACUAACUGUGUUGAUUUCAGUGGUUUGUCUGCUCUAGAAAAAUUGGAUCUAGAUGGAAACAAAUUCUCUAGGCUGCCUUCUGGGAUCGGCUUCCUUCUCAAGCUAAGGGAUUUGUCUGUUGAGGGAUGCAAAUAUCUUGUAUCAAUCCCAGAUCUUCCCUCAAGUUUAACGCGUUUGGGUGCAUCUUAUUGCAAAUCAUUGAAAAGAGUAAGAAUACCAAGCGAGCCAAAAAAAGAACUAUAUAUAUUCCUAGAUGAAAGUCAUUCGUUAGAAGAGUUUCAGGACAUUGAAGGUCUAAGUAAUAGUUUCUGGUAUAUUCGUGUUGAUGACCGCAGUCAUUCACCAAGUAAAUUACAGAAGAGCGUUGUUGAGGUACUAUUUCUUUCUGUCUCUCUUUCGCACAAAAAGAAACACACAUAAUUGGCACAUACAUUGAUUAAUGUCUAAGAUCCUAGCAUUUCUUGAAAUCAAUAUGUAUACAGGCAAUAAUCAUUAUUAUUAUUAUUUUAUUUUAAAAAAUAAGUAUCAUCUUUAAUAAUAUUUUUUAUUUUUCUUAUUUAAUCUAAAAAAUUAAAUAUUAUCUUUAAUAAUAUGUUUUUAUUAAAUAUUUAAAGUCUGAUUGGUUUUAUUUUUUAUUUCUUGAUUUUAUGAUAAUAUAUUUAUACAGGCAAUGUGCAACGGUCGUCACGGGUAUUUUAUUCGCCACACUCCUGGUCAGAUGCCAAAUUGGAUGAGCUACAGGGGAGAAGGACGCUCAUUGUCAUUCCAUAUACCUCCAGUCUUCCAAGGCUUAGUUGUUUGGGUUGAUAAGGAUGAUAAGGAUGCUCACAUUAUUAUUAUUAUAAGAAAUAAUAGAAAUGGUAAUCUCUUGUUUCAAUGUACGAAAUGGUAUUAUCAUCCAAAAACUGGAAGUAUAAGAUACAUAAGAAGAAGUGAAAUGGCAAUGGAAGAUUACUGUGCAGAUGACGAAUUGGAACUAUACAUUUAUUCAAAGCCAUCACCGUUGGCAAUGGCAAUGGCAAUGAAGGAUGCUGUGAUGCCUUCAUUUGAACCGUCUACACCUAAGCAAUGUGGGGUCCAUGUGAUCGUAGGAAAGUCAGAUUCAUUUGAAGAGUUGGCAGUGGGAAGAGAUGCAGUGAUGCUUCCUCAUCCUCGUUGUGGUUCGAUUACAGCGUCUACACCUAAGCAAUGGAUUGACUUUUUAUUUGCGAAGCUGCAAAACCAUAACCUCAAUUUAAGGCUUUUUGGUAAGAAUACAUAUUUCCUUUAGUUAUUUCUAUUUUAAUAUUCUAUUUAAUUUAAGAGAUUAAAUAUCAUCUUUAAUUAUUACAUUUUUCUUAUUUAAUCUAAAAAAAUAAAUAUUAUCUUUAACAAUAUUUUUUAUUAAAUAUUUAGAGUCUGCUUGGUUUUAAUUAUUUCUUUUCUUGAUUUUAUGAUAAUAUUUUUCUUAUUUAAUAUAAAAAAUAAAUAUUAUCUUUAAUACUUAGAUCUAUCGAAUAUCACUUAAAAAAUAAAUUGUAACUUUAAUAAUUAUUUUUUGAAAAACAAAAAGCCAACAAUCACUAACUUAUUUAUUAAAAUCACUUUAGUUUAUCUAGAAAAUAUUGAAAUUGAUUUUUUUUUUACAUUAAAGUAAAAAAAAAAUAAUGUUUUUAUAUUUUAUUUCAAACUCGAUAUUUUAAAACAAAAAUGAAAAAGAUGUGAUUUUGACCUUUUUUAUUAUAAAGUAAGUUUUUUAAUUAAAAGUGAUGGGAAUUUGUUUUAUUGCAUGUACAAUCAUGCACAUUUAACUUUCUUUUUAAAUUUGAUGGUUUUUUAGUACGGGAAUGACUUGAAGAUGAUUUUACAUAGAGAUGCUUGAAGUUGCUCCAAAUCAGUACGAUACUUUCAUCUGACAUGUUGAUAUGUAUUUGUUGGCUUGAAGAUCAUUUUCCAUCCGCUGGACAACCUAGUUGUUAAUUAUUUUCCAAGGUACUUCUAUCUGAUGUAUUGAUAUGUAUUUGUUGGCUUGAAGAUCAUUUUCCAAGCUUGGAAGUUUUAUUGAAUGCUCUUUGAAAUCUUUUCCAUCCGCUUUUAUACUGGACAACCUAGUUGUUAAUUAUUAUCCAUGAUGUAAUUUAUAUUUUCAAGUUAUAAAUUUUGAUGAAUAUUGUUUCAGUUUUUUCCUCACUUCAAAAGAUGAAAAUCCUUGAUGUUAGUUAGAAAUAAAUUGGUUUUCUAGGAAGAGAUUAUUGAUUGGAAUAUAGUAUUUGAGUUGGUUCUACAUCAUUUACUGUUAUAAAUAAUUUAAAAUAAUUGAUGAAAAUUACCGAUACAUAGAAAAGUUGUGAGAGCAUCCUUAAUUAGUCUAGUAAGUAAAGUGUUGUUAGUUUUGACUAUAAGAUCUUGCUAUGUAUUAUUGCAUGGUUUUUACUAUUUUUAGGCAUUUUUCUUUUUGUAUAUACAACUUUUGUUUUUCUUGCCGCUUGUCAUUAGCUUUAUGGCACCAACACCAAUUAAUAAUAAAUCUUGAACUAUUAUUAAAUAAAGAAAAAAUAUAAACAUUGUUAAAAUACCAAACUUGAAUUGCUCAAUCCUAAAGAAACCCUAUGACAAUAAUCUAAUUUAGAAAAUAAUUAAUUUAUCCUUGUAGUCUAAGAAAAUAUAAACAUUGUUCUUUCUUAUUUUAUUUUUUUUAAUUGGAUUACCUUUAUCUUAACGAGUGAAAUAAAGAAACACUCCCCCCAUCUUUCUUGUUCCCUUUCCCUUCUUUACAUGGCUUACUCAGUGAAAAAGCAAUUAAACACCCCAUUUGAUUUUCAAUCAGUAUGAGAGUGAGAGAGAGAGAGGCCAAGGUGGUCCUUGAAUAUUUUCUUCUUUUUUGUCUCGCUCACUGGGGCAAACCAUUUUUUUCAACAUUUUGAAUAGCAUGCCAUCAAAAGGAAUUUUGUUCAAUCCCAAUCCCACAUUGUCUGUAGAAGUAUUUACUUUUGACUCCACACUUUGUUAUUUUCCAAUCCCUCCCCAGUUCUGCAACCAUUUCUCUACUUUCUAUGCUCUUGGCUUGCUAAAAACUAAAGAAAACACAUUGCUCUAGUUGCCUCCCUUCACUCUUCAGAUUGCUCAACAAAUCCCUUGAGACCUUCUCCAUAGUUAACACAUCACAUAAUGGGUACUCUAAAAAAUUUAGCCAUAAACAUUGAACACCUUGAGCAAUCAACGUGCCUUCCUUCACAAUAUCCAUCGCCCAUAAAUCUUUCUUUUGGGAUGUCGCGGGAGUUUAAUCUCCGAGUGUUAAAAUUAUGUAUAAAUUUCCAUUCUUUCCUUCCAUCCAUUACUUGUCCUCUAUGAAGAUUCUAUGUAUGAAAUCUCGGAAUCUUUUCGAGUAUAACUUGGGAUCAACAGCUGAGAUAGACGUGGGAUCCACUUGUAAGGACUUGUAUGCAUGCUCUAGCUUUUUGCUGAUAUCAUAAUCUUGGAGGAUGUCAAUGAUACCAAAGUGAAGAACUACAUCUCACAAUCACCAAAAUUCAAAGUAAAGUAACGGAGAAGAAAAUCUGAUAACAAUGAAUGAUCACUCAUUAACCACAGCGAAUCUUACGCUUUGAAAACACUUUUCACCAUCAAUUUUCCUUUUCUCAUUGAUUUUAAAUCUUCCAGGCAGAUAAAAUAGCAUUGGUUUCAUUCUGUUAAAAAUGGACCUAUUCAUCAGCUUAGGCAUCAACAACAUGUUGCAUCCACAAUCUUACUACUACAUUAUAAUUAUAAACAAAACUAAAAAAAUAUAUAUAUGAGGACAGAGUUAACAGACAUGCACUAAGAGUUAACAGACAAUUCUGUUAUAACAAACAAGUGAACAAUCUGUUUUCUCCAACCUUCCAGCAUUAUUCUCCCGAGCAUAUUCUGUCAGCUCAAGAUUAGGCAAUUCUGUUAACCAUGCUGUUAGCUCUGUUCUCUUUUGUUGUAUAUAUACUUGAUUGAUUGAUUGAUUCAAUAACAUUAUCUUUCUCUCUUCUCACCUGCCCCCUUUUUCUUCUCCUUUUACCUCUAGCUUCCAAUGCCUAUCAACACCACCAUCCUUAACACAAAUGAAUCUCACAGCAUGUUGAUUACCAUCAAUGUAGCAGCCCAAACUCCAUUAAAACUUACCUCCACCAGGCACCAACUAUCUAGCCUGGAAACUUCAAUUCCAGACUCUAUUCAUAGGACAUUUGAUUGAGGUCUCCACAAACAUUGAAACACCGCAAUUUUUCAUGAUAAAAUCCAAAGGAUUGGUACUUUGGUGUUUGAGGGGCUGGUAAAUGAAAGAACAGAUCAAGAGAUGACAUCCCUCUAUACCGCUGUUAUUCCUUUCAAGGUGCGUAUCAGGUGUUUGAAAAACUUCCUCAACUUAAAAUAAAAAGGUCUUGUUUACAACGUUUUUUAGUCCUUUACAAAUCUUCCAAUGUGUUGCGUUUACUGAAUAUGAUAGUGGGAACUUAUUUAUCAAGAAUUAACUACUCAGAAGAAAAUGUAAAGACGCAAUAAUGAUUUUUUUAUUUUAGAUUCCAUAGUCUACAAACUUGGAAGCAUACGGACCAGUCAGCUGGUAAAUGAAAGAACAGGGAUCAAGAGAUGAAAUCCCUCUAUACCGCUGUUUGAUACAAAAGUUCAUGGCCAAGUAAAAGAUGUUUAUUUUGGAUGUAAUAAAUAUUCAUAUUGCAACAUAAUAGUCAUCUCUCAAAUCCAUAAUUCAAUUGAUCAUAUAAAUAAUUGUUGAUUACUUAAAUAAACAAUUAUAUAAUUAAAUACUUAAUUAUAAAUUAAAGAGAUGGACAAUUAUAUAUUUCUAAAAUCUUAAUUACAAUUAUAUUAUAAUUUCUUCCCUAAAAUUUUUCAAAAUACAGUAUUAGAAUUACAUAAUAAAAUACAGUAUUAUAAUUUCUCAUCUAAAGGUCCAGCAUACCCUGGGAAUCUGAUCGGGUCAAGCUACGAGCAAUUAGGAGGCAUGACCAUCACCCACAUGUAACUUUGCUAAUAAUAUAUUACGGUUGUCAAAAUUAAUUAUUAUUAGCAAAAACUUAUUUUAUUUGUGAAUCUCUCAACCGUUGGAUUUAGAUAUGAGGAUAAGAGAUUGUGGGCACCUCUCUUUUUUAAAAUAACUAAAAUCUAAAUCAUCGGACGNNNNNNNNNNNNNNNNNNNNNNNNNNNNNNNNNNNNNNNNNNNNNNNNNNNNNNNNNNNNNNNNNNNNNNNNNNNNNNNNNNNNNNNNNNNNNNNNNNNNCCGGGAUUAUUUUAACUCAGUGAUCCUUCCCAGGUAGGCCCAGGUCACAUUGAUUAUGUUAAAAAAAAAAAAAAUCUAAUGUCUUUACCAUUAUAUUAUAAUUAUUUAGGAGGAUAGUUGAACAAUACUUUUUUAAAAAAAAUUAAUUUUUGACGAGUAAAAUAAUGUGGAACCAAUCGCAAUAAAUAAAGCCAAAAAAGGCAGACGAGUGUGUCUAAUUCAUGACUUGCAUUGACUAAAAAUUACCACUAGAAAUUCCUAGUUUUAUCCUAUAUAAAGAAUACAAAAAAGGCAGACGAGUGUGUUUCGUGGUGCUUUCUCGGCCUGCAAAUGAAUAGAAAGCAUAUCCUUUUAUCCUAUAUAAAGAAUAAUACAAUUAACAAAGCAUAUUUCAAUAUCCUUGCUUUACUCUCCAGCUAACCUGAUACAUAUUUCAAUGUCUCAAGACAUACGUAUGCCAUUGAUAGAAAGGUGUGUUCAAGCAAAAUCUUUUUUUAUCUGUAGCGACCUCAAUAAUGUUAACGCCACGAAAUUACCACUCCAAAUUCCUUGUUCUUCCUUUUUAUAUUAUUAGAAAAACUGUGAUUGACUGAUUUAAUUGGAAAUUAUUUGUGAGAAAGCUAAAAAGAAUUGGAGUUCUUCAAUUCCUAAAAUUCUAAUUUUAAAUUGUAAAAAAAAAUUAAUUAUUUUUAAAAUUAUUUUAGAAAAUAAAACAUUAACUAUUUAUAUAAUAGCUAAAUAAAUCUAUUAAAAUAAAUCGAAAAUAACCAGUAAAAUCAAGCAAAUAAUUCAAAUAUAACAAGUAAAUAAUUAUAUUUUUUUGGUCUGAUUUGAGUAUGUUUUCUUGACUUGCUUUAGUGUUCAUUAAACAUAAACAAACUUUGCUCUAAGAGUCUGCUUAUCAAUAAAAUAUUACUUUUACUGUACAUAAUAGAAAUAAUUUGGUUACCCGUCGACACUUACGUCACUUUACUCUUCAAUCGAUGUAAUUUCAUAGCUUUUCUCAGCAGGUGGGAUCCAACUAAUUUCAUAAAUCAUAAUUCUUCCUAAGGCGAUGCCAAAUAGGUGCCAAGAGUAUACCGCAUUAAGCGAAAACAUGCUGUCGCCAUAGUCUUACAGCUAANNNNNNNNNNNNNNNNNNNNNNNNNNNNNNNNNNNNNNNNNNNNNNNNNNNNNNNNNNNNNNNNNNNNNNNNNNNNNNNNNNNNNNNNNNNNNNNNNNNNCCAUUAAUAUUUGAUUGUUAUAAUUUAAUUUUUUUUUAAAAGCAAUUAAUCUUCAUUCUCUUUAUUUUUUUUCAAUCCAUUUAGUAAUUUGAUUUUUUUUUUUAAUUUUACCCUUCAAUUUAAAAUUUUAGUUUGUCCUCUCAAUUUUUUUUCAAAUGAUGUUCUUUUUUCUUAAUUGUUGUUUUUUUAUCCUUUAAUUUUUUUUAAUUUUAUUAUUCAACAUUUCAUUAAUUGAGAUUUGGUCUCAUUAAGCCCUACCCAAGAGUCAAUCUGGGAUAAUUAUUAAGUCACAAGUCGAGUAAGUUGACUCGAGUUAACCUAAGUUAACCAAAUCGUUUUAUUUUAUAAAAAGCCAAAAUGAUACCAUUUUUUUUAAAAAAAAUAAUAAACAAGUUUUGACCAUGUUUCGGCUAGGUUUUCUCAGGGUUAACUGAAAUAUUGGUCAACCCAGGUUUUGAUCGUAUUAUACUGGAGUAAUUCUCCGUCAAUUUUUUUUGAAACUCGAGCCAGUUUCAGCUAAAGGUCACUUAGAACACAGGUCAACCCAUAAGUUAAACCAAAUUUUUAAAUAAUAACUUUACAAAUAUAGUUCUUUCAAUUUAAUUACUAUCUCAGAUUAAGAUUUGAAAAAUUAACAUGGAUUUCUUUCGUUAUUCAUUUUAAAAAAGAACUCGUUAGUUUGCAAGUCCACGUGUCAAAUUUGGAAAAUCAUAUGGCCCAUUGAUAGAAAGGGGUGUUGAAGCAAAAUCUUUAUUAGCAAAGCCUGUUCGACCUCAAUAAUGUUAACGCGUGGACCCAGUUGUCGCAACCACCGCGAAAUUACCGCUCCAAAUUCCUUGUUCUUUCUCCGUAUAUUAUUUUUGAAAAACUGCCAUGUAUUUAAUUGUAAAGUAUUUGCAAAAAAGCUAAAAGAAUUAUAGUUUUUUAAUUUUUAAAAUUAUAAUUUUAAAUUGAAAAAAAAUAAUUAUUUUUAAAAUUGUUUUAAAAAUAUAACAUCAACUAUUUAUAUAAUAGCUAAAUAAAUAUAUUACAAUAAAUCAAGAAUAACAAGUAAAAUCAAGCAAAUAAUCCAUAAAUAACAAGAAAAUAAGUAUAUUUUCUAGAUCUGAUUUGAGUAUAUUUUUUAUCUUGAUUGACUGACUUGCUAAGUUUUUGCUAAGUAUAAACUAAUUUUACUCUAAGAAUUUAUUUGAUAUUUCUUCACUUAUUAAUGAAAUAUUAUUUCUACUGUAGAAAAUAGAAAUAAUUUGGUUGACCAUCGACACUUAUGUGAUUGAUUAUUGAUUAUUUUACUCUAAGAUGAAUAUUUUUUUGUUUGCAUCAAAUAAUUAAAAUUGAGAAUUUCAAAGCAGAGGGUUUAAGGAAUAUUAAAAGAGAAGGUUUUACGUAAUUAUUAUAUAAUUGAAAUUGUCACUAAUCUCCUUUGUUCAUUUUCUUUUUCUAUUACCCCUUCCAAUCAGCAUGCAAGAAACUUUCAACGUUUUACACUGCUUGUUCACUUAAUAAAACUAUUACUUGCUAUAAAGCAAGAAAUAAUAUUCUUUCUCUGAAAAGGGCUUGAGAAAACCCUAAGCAUGGUAGAUAAUCUCUUAUAGGAAUCUCUUUAUUAAAUAAUCAAAUAUCAAAGUCUAUUUCCAAAGACUAUUACUACAGUUUAUAUAUAUAUAUAUAUAUAUAUAUAUAUAUAUAUAUAUAUAUAGAAACAACUAAAUAGAGAAAUUAUUAUUUUUUAAAUAGAAAAGGUUGAAAAGCUUGAUAAUAUCGAGUAAGAAAUAAAAUAUAAAAAUAAUUCUUUUUUAAAUAAACAAAUAUAAAAGUUUAAUAGUACUGAAUAGAAAAAAAAAUAGAAUUUCUAAACUAAAUAAAAGUAACUGAAAAAAGUAUUUAUUAUUCCAAAAAAUUAGAGUUUUUUAAUUUAUAAAAUUAUAAUUUUAAAUUGUAAAAAUAAUUCAAUUAUUUUUAAAAUUAUUUUAAAUAAUAAAACAUCAACUAUUUAUAUAAUAGCUAAAUAAAUCUAUUAAAAUAAAUUGAGAAUAACUAGUAAAAUCAAGCAAAUAAUCCAAAAAUAACAAGCAAAUAACUUGUCAAGUCUUUAUUCAGCACAAACGAACUUUAUUCUAAAAGUAUAUUUGAUAUUUCUUCACUUAUCUAUGAAAUAUUACCUCUACUGUACAGAAUAGAAAUAAUUUGAUUGACCGUCGAUACUUAUGUUAUUGAUUAUUGAUUAUUUGGAAGAAGAAAUUGUAUUCAUUCUUCUUAUUUAUUUUUAUUAUUAACGUGGAUGUUCAGGCCAGCUUGCGCACACCUCGACUAAUCCCACGAGUCCUGAAGUUAACGAUCAUGUAAGCCUCCAGUGACCAUCAUAUUAGCAACUAUAGAGCUCGAACCUGAGAUUAUAGAGGGAACAAACCUCUUAAUCUCAAACUCUUAUCACUAGAUCACCUACUUUACUAUUCAGCUCGUUGUAAUUUCAUAGCUUCUCCCAGGUGGACGCAACUAAUUUCAUAAAUUAUAAGUCUUCGCUAAGCAUAAAUGAACUUUAUUCUGAGAGUCUGAUUGAUAUUUUUUCAUUUAUUAAUGAAAUAUUACUUCUAUUGUAUAGUUAUUGGGUACCGAGUCGAUCCACCUGGUCAAUAGAUGAACGGUACAUUCUUUGAAUUUAUUAGAAGAAAUAUGUAGUGUAAAUUAUAAAAAAAAUAUUUAUUUUUUGAUAUAUAAUAAUAAUAAUAAUAAUAAUAAUAAUAAAUUAGAUGAUAGUAACAAGAAAAUAGAAAUUAAUUUGAAUAAAUGGUAAGAGUUCCUAUUCUAAUAUAUCCAGGGAAGAAGUUCGAAGAAUAGAAUGAAGUUAAAUAUUCUUAAUAAAAGAAAGAAAUGAAAUAUAUUUUUAAUAAAUAUAAAAGAUGGAUAAAAUUAGAGAACAAGAAAGAGAUAUAUAAUCUUUUUGUAAGAACUUCUAAAAAUUUAAUUACAAUUCAGAAUUUCUUCCUUAAAAAUAUCCAAAAAAUCCUAUUAUAUAUGAAUCAAGACAACAGUAGAAUAACUUUUACAUAUUUUUCAAGUUUACUUAGAAUAGCAGUGGAAUAAUUCUUUUAAUAUUUAAAAAUUAAAAAAAAAACUGUGUAGUUGUUUUGUAUAAAUUCUAAAGUUGAGAACUCUUUUGUGCUUGGUAAAAUAUGAUUUUCAACUUUCGUAGGCGAGCACUAAAGUCCCAAGCUUCAAGAAUUUCUCUUCUUUUCCUUUUGUAUUUUCUCAUUUUCUUGGCAUGCGCGCAGCUGCUUCAUGGAAAAAACGUUUCAGAUGCGGAAAAUAAAGAUAAAUGUGGAAAAUAGAAGCGGAAAAAAAAUCCCAAAUAUCGACAAACAUCACAAGAGAAGCUUGAUAUCAACCACAUGUUGCAGUCCACAGUCUUUCCAUUACAUUAUAAUUACUUCUAAAAAAAAAUUUAAUUUUUUUUAAUUAUACGCCAUCAGCAACUACCUCAAAAUUACCACUCUAAAUUCCAGCUCAAUAUCGAUUAACAUGUGGCUAAAGAAUUUGAUUGCUGCUCAAUAUUUACCAAUACGCGCUUGAGAAAUUUCCUGCACGUGUUACAUUUUUAUCUUUUAUAAUUAUAAUUAUUGCAUUGCUAAUAAUUUGCAAGAAAGAAUAUUGUUUCUCUUAAAAGGGCUUGAGAAAACCCUAAGCAUUGUAGAUAAUCUCUUAUAGGAAUCUCUUUAUUAAAUCAUCAAAAUAUCAGAGUAUAUUUCCAAAUACUAUUACUAUAGUUUUUAUAUAUAUAUAUAAAAAUAGAAACAACUAAGUAGAGAAAUUAUUAUUUUUUAAAUAAAAAAACUAGAAAAGCCUAUAAUAUUAUUGAAUAAAAAAUAAAAUAGAAAUUUAAUCAAUUAAAAGUUUAAAAAAAAAUACUGUUUAACUGUUUUGUAUAAAUUCUAAAGUUAAAGAGUCUUUUGUGCUUGGUAAAAUACGUCACACUAAAAUUAAUAAAUAAUAACACAAGAAAGGACCAAAGUUAAUAAAUAAUAGCAUGCACGAAACUUCACGAUACCCAUGUUUUCCACGUUUUACACUGUUUUAAUAGAUUGUUACAGCAAGAGCACAGAGAGAGGAACGGUUCAAGACAAAACAACGAAGGAGGGGCAGAUGCUCAAGUUGUUGCAACCACCAUGAAAGGAACACAUUAAUGUUAACGCGUGGACCCAGUUGCUGCACCAGCACGAAAGUACUACUCCAAAUUCCAGCUCAAAUUGAAUAAUGAUUUAUUUUCUAGCAUAAAUUAUGUUUGAAAUAAAAUUGAUAAAAGACAUAAUUACACAAUUAUUGAUGGGAUCGUAUAUAAAAAUAAUUAAAUUGUGAUUUUUUAAUUAUUUUUAAACAUAUCAUGGUUUGAGGUACAUCAUGUAAAUUAUAAAAAAAAUAUUUAUUUUUCUGAUAUAUAUAUAGUAAUAACAAAUGGUUAGAAUGCUUUAGUCCUUUUCGAGUGGAAAGUGGUGUGAAAGUGGGAACUACUGUGAGAGCUUUAUGCCACUUUCUAAAUCGCGAGUAAAGUCUGAAUGUUUUUAGAAAGAAGCAGCCUUCAUUGCUUUUCAAAACCAAUCUCUGUAUCUAUUAACAAAAACUCUAAAUCGCGAGUAAAGUCUAAAUGUUUUUUAAAAAGAAGCAGUCUUCAUUGCUUUAAUAAAUUGUUACAAUAAAGCACUGAGAGAAGAAUGGUUAUACCGUUGAGCCGGGUCGAGUUUUAAAAUUAUAAUUUAUAUAUAAAAACAACUAAAUAGAAAAAUUAUUAUUUUUUAAAUGAAAAAACCAGAAGAGCUUAAUAAUAUUUAAUAAAAAAAUAAAAAUGAAAAAAUAUUCCUUUUUAAGUACAAACUAAUUUAAUAAUACUGUAUAAAAAAAUUAAAAUUUCUAACCUAAAUUAAAAAAAAUAAAAAUAACUGAGAAAAUAUUUAUAAAGAUAACGGUAUGUAAAUCUAGGAACUAAAAAUAAUACAACUACAUUGAUUGGAGAUUUCACUCAGAAUUUCUAGUAAAUUAUAAAGGAAAUUUCCUAGUGCUUUUCAUGUACAUGAAUUUAAAAAUUAUCGUCGCGGAACUUACUUGCAUUGACUGACUUGCUAAAUAUUUGUGCUCGAAAUUUCCAAGCAAUUUAUGGAGGAAAUUUCCUUGUGCUCUCUCUUGUACAUUAUUAGAAAAGCUGUCAUUGAUUGAUUGACUUGCAAAAGUAUUUGCAAGAAAGCUAACGAAUUAGAGUUUUUUAAAAUUUUAAAUUAUUAAAAAAAUCCAUUUUUUUUUUAAAUCAAGAAUAAAACAUCAAGUAUUAUAUAAUUGCUAAAUAAAUCUAAUAAAAUAAAUCGGAAAUAACUAGUAAAUAAUCCAAAAAUAACUAGAAAAUAACCUUUUCCACCUCAAUAAUGUUAACGCGUGGACCCAGUUGUUGUGGAAACUAUGCAGAGGAAGAAAAAUGAUAGAAAAAUUUGCAAGAGAGAAUUCUUUCUCUGAAUAGAAAAAAACUAUUAUUUUUUAAAUAAAAACAACUAUAUAGAAAAAUUAUUACUUUUUAGGUAGAAAAACCUCAUGAUAUUGAAUAAAAAAAUAAAAUAGAAAAAUUAUUCUUUUCAAGUAGAAAAAAAUAUAAAAGUUUAAUAAUAUUGAAUAGAAAUCAAUAAAAUUUCAAAACUAAAUAAAAAUAAUAGAGAAAAAUAUUUAUUAUCCUAAAAAUUCUUAUAUUAAAAUAUUUAAAAGAACUGAGUUUACAUGCUUUAAACAGAAAAACAACAAAAAAAAAAAACAAAUGUAACAAGAAAAAUUCCACACAACGUAAUAUGAUAUAAAUUGAGGUUUUUAAAUUACCUAUAAACAUAUCAUAAUAUAUAUGGUACAUCCUUUGAAUUUAUUAGAAAGAAGCCAUUAACUAGCCUUUUCAAUUGGAUCUUUUAUUUAAAUGAAAAGGAAUAUUUAUUUUAAUAUGAAAAAAAUAUUUAUUUUUUUGAUAUUUCUGGUAAUAAUAAAUUAGAGGAUAGUAACAAGAAAAUAGGAAUUAGAUCGAAUAAAUGGUACCAAUUUGUAUUCUGAUAUAUCUAGCCAAAGAAUAGAAUGAAUUAAAACAUUCUUAAUAAAAAAAACAGAAAACACAGAAAUAAAUAAAAAGAUAUUCUUAAUAAAUAUAAAAAAUAGGUAAAAUCAGAGAACAAGAAAGAGAUAUAGAAUCUCUUUCUAAGAUUUCUAAAAACUUAAUUACAAUUACAUUAUAAUUUCUUCCUUAAAAUUAUUCAAAAUAUAGUAUUAGAAUUGCAUAAUGCUAGGUUUUAGUAUAUAGUUGUUUAUAUUGUUAAAGAGUCUCUCCUAAAACAAAUAAUAAAAAUAUUGUACAACUCUUUUGAAUGAAUUGUUAAUGCACGGACUGUUUUGGGUCCUGACUUGGUUGAUUUAACUUGAAUGUAUUAUUUGAUUGGUCCAAAUAAAAGUCGACUCGAAAUUUCUAUUAAUUUACAAAAGAAAUUUCCUAGUACUUUAUGCUGUAUAUAAUUUGAAAAAUUAUGACUGACCGACUUACUUGCAAAGUAUUGGCAAGAAAGUUAAAGAAUUAGAGUUUUUAAAUAUUUAAAAUUAUAAUUUUAAAUUCUAAGAAAAAAAUCAAUUAUUUUUAAAAUUGUUUUAAAAAAUAAAAGCAUCAACUAGCUAAAUGAAUCUAUUAAAAUAAAUAAAAAAAUAAUUAGUAAAAUCAAGUGAAUAAUCCAAAAAUAACAAGAAAAUAGAGAUAUUUCCUAAAUAUGAUUCCAGUUUGUAUUUGCUAACAUAAAUAGCAUACACGAACUUUAUUAUAAUAGUAUAUUUGAUAUUUAAAAAAAAAACUUAUAUAUAUUAUAUGGGUUGGAAACCCAUUUUUUAUUAAAUUUUAAAUUUUAUAUGUUUAAAAAUAUUUUUUUAUAUUUUUUAAUUAUUUUAAUAUGAUAAUAUCAAAAAUAAAUAAAUAAAAUUUUUCUAACUCUUACUACUUCUGACUUGCUAUGACUCGAAAUUCGUGGUGCUCUCUCCUGCAAAUGAAUACAAAGCAUAUCCUUUCUCUUUCUCCUAUAUGAAGAAUACAAUUAGAAAUUUCCUUGGUUUACUCUUCAGAUUACUUUUCCAUGCACGAAACUUUAUGCCAAUUAGCAACCACUGUGAAAUUACAACUCAAAAUCCCAUGAAUAUAUAAAAAAAAAUUAGAAUUUGACUAGAAAAAUUCUAUCAAAUUCUCUACUUUGUUAGUGUUCAUUUUCCUUCUUUUUUUACCAUAUCUUCAGUUGGGACAAAAUUAUCUUCCCCAAACGAUAGACCUUUAUUUUCCUUCUUUUUUAGUUUAUUAGUAAUUACAUUAAAGAAAAAUAUUAAUUAGUAAUUUUACAUUUUUUUUCUAUAUUAUAAUUAUCAAAUAACCCUUAAAAAAUUUUAUUUUAACCUUUUUUUUCUCUCUUUUUUUUUCAAUUUAUUUGUUAAUUUAAUUUUUUUUUUAAUUUUACCUUCCGGUUCAAAAUUUUAGUUUAUUCUCUCAAUUUAUUUUUCAAAUGAUGUUCUUAUUCUCUUAAUUGCUAUUUUUUAUCCUUCAAUCUUUUUAUUUUAUCAUUCAACAAUUCAUUAAUUGGGAUCUGGUCUCAUUGGUUUUUCCUAUUGUUUCUAAACUCUACCCAAUAGUCAAUCCAGUAUAAUUAUCAAGUUACGAGUUGAGUGGAUUGACUCGAGUUAAUCUAAGGCAACCAAAUCUUUUUGUUUUAUAAAAAGCCAAAAUGAUGCCAAUUUUUUAUUUUUAAAAAAUAAAAAACGAGUUUUGAUCUUGUUUCGGCUAGAUUUUCUCAUGAUUAACUAAAACAUUGAUCAACCUAGAUUUUUUAUUGUAUUACAUUAGAUCAAUUCUACCUCAAUUGUUUUUGAAACUCGGGCCGUUUUAAACUAAAGAUCACCUGGGACACAGUUUCUUGGCGCUUUGUACUGUAUAUAAUUUGAAAAACUGUGAUUGACCGACUUACUUGCAAAGUAUUUGCAAGAAAGCUAAAGAAUUAGACUUUUUCAAUAUUUUAAAUUGUAAGAAAAAAUCAAUUGUUUUUUUUAAAUUAAAAAAUAAAACAUCAACUAUUUAUAUAAUAGCUAAAUGAAUCUAUUAAAAUAAAUAAAAAAUAACUAGUAAAAUUAAGUAAAUAAUCCAAAAAUAACAAAAAUAAAUAAAAAUGUAUUUUUUAAAAACUUUUAUCUUAUAUGGGUUGGGGUUGCUAUGCAACUUAACCGGGAUCACCAUGAUUGUCGAGUAGAGUAAAUAAAUUACUUAACCGGGAUCACCAGAGGAGUUAUUUGCCAAGAUUAAGUUAUAUAACAGUUUAUAAAUCAUGCUAUCAUCUUCAUCACCAUAUAUAAAGUUUUAUAAUAAAAAAAUAUUUAAAAAAACAAUUUUCAUUACAUUUUCAAAUUAGUUAAAGUUUUUCAAAUGAAUGGAUUGAUGUCGAUGACACUCUCUAGUCAGUUUUGAGAAUUUUAAAUCCAAACAAGUGAAUUUAUAUUGUAUAUGGAUCAAGCAAGCAUGCUUGUACAAUAAUUUCUUAUACUCAAUAGAAAUUUGGGUUUAUCAUUACAAACCGUAUUUUAAAAUACUAUUGCCAAAAGAUCAUAUUAUUUAUUAAAACAAGAAAGGACCAAAGUUAAUAAAUAGUAGCAUGCUCGAAACUUCGUGAUACCAAAGUUAAUAAAUAAUAAAGUUAAUAAAUAGUAGCAUGCUUUAAAAGAGUGUUACAGUAAAAGCACAGAAAGAAGAACGGUUCAAGACAGAACUAUAAUGUUAACGCGUGGGACCCAUUUGUUGCAACCAGCACGAAACUCCAGCUCAAUAUUUACCAGCACUACACGCUUGAGUAAUUUCCUUGCGUUUUUUUUCCUCUACCGCUCUACGUGUUACCUUUUACCUCUUUUAUAAUUAUGAUUUAUUAACGAGAAUAAAACAAUUCUGUGUAAAUUAUACAAAUUUCCAUUGUUGCUUUUUUUCUUGCACGUGUUAGAUUUUUAUUUUUUAUAAUUAUAAUUAUUGCAUUGCUAAUAAUUUGCAAGAAAGAAUAUUCUUUCUCUGCUUAAGAAAACCCUAAGCAUUGUAGAUAAUCUCUUAUAGGAAUCUCUUUAUUAAAUCAUCAAAAUAUCAGAGUCUAUUUCCAAAUACUAUUACGACAGUCUAUAUAAAGAAUACAAUUAACCUCAUUUCAAUAUCAUAGCUUUGGAAUUUCAUAGCUAACUCUUUGUUAUAUUGCUCCAUUGGUAAUUGAUUGUGCCUUGAUUUCUGCAGCUGCCAUGACAGAGCCAGAGUCUUCUCGAUCUAGACCAGAAGGCGCCUAUGAUGUCUUCUUGAGUUUUAGAGGAGAAGACACUCGCCAGACAUUUACAGAUCAUCUAUAUACUGCCUUGGUCCAGGCAGGAAUCCACACUUUUCGAGAUGAUGAUGAACUUCCGAGAGGAGAAGAAAUCUCCGAUCAUCUCCUCAGGGCAAUUCACGAAUCAAAGAUAUCCUUAGUUGUCUUCUCAAAAGGAUAUGCUUCUUCUAGAUGGUGUCUCAAUGAACUUGUAGAGAUUCUUCAGUGCAAAAAUAGGAAAACCAAUCAGAUUGUUCUUCCUAUAUUCUAUGACAUUGAUCCUUCAGAUGUGAGAAAACAGAAUGGCAGUUUUGCAGAAGCAUUUGUUAAACAUGAAGAGCGUUUUGAAGAGAAGUUGGUGAAGGAGUGGAGAAAAGCUCUUGAGGAGGCUGGAAAUCUAUCUGGAUGGAAUCUCAAUGAUAUGGCAAAUGGGUAUGUCUUUUUUCCAAAUUUAUGGAGUCAAUAUACUUUACAUUUUUCAAUGUGAAACAAUAAAAUGCUUAAUUGACUCGCUAUCAAUGACCUGCUUUUGUCUAUGAGCAGGCAUGAAGCAAAAUUUACCAAAGAGAUUAUCAAGGAUGUGUUGAAGAAAUUAGAACCCAAGUACUUAUAUGUUCCUGAGCACCUAGUAGGUAUGGAUCGGCUUGCUCGCAGUAUUUUUGACUUUCUAAGUACUGCAACAGAUGAUGUACGCAUUGUGGGCAUACAUGGGAUGCCAGGAAUAGGAAAGACAACUAUAGCAAAAGUUGUAUUUAAUCAACUCUGCUAUAGAUUCGAGGGAAGCUGCUUUCUUUCGAAUAUCAAUGAAACAUCAAAACAAUUCAAUGGUCUGGCUCUUUUACAAAAGCAACUUCUUCAUGAUAUUUUAAAACAAGAUGUUGCUAACAUCAAUUGUGUCGAUAGAGGAAAGGUUCUGAUCAAAGAGCGACUUUGUCGCAAAAGAGUUCUUGUUGUUGCUGAUGAUGUUGCUCGUCAGGACCAGCUAAAUGCUUUGAUGGGAGAGCGAAGUUGGUUUGGUCCCGGAAGUAGAGUGAUUAUUACAACAAGAGAUUCUAGUGUUCUACUUAAAGCAGAUCAAACAUAUCAGAUCGAAGAAUUGAAACCAUAUGAGUCCCUUCAGCUUUUCCGAUGGCAUGCCUUGAGGGACACAAAGCCAACAGAAGAUUAUAUUGAGCUUUCGAAGGAUGCAGUUGAUUACUGUGGAGGACUUCCUUUAGCUCUUGAGGUUAUGGGUGCUUGUCUGUCCGGGAAAAACAGAGAUGGUUGGAAAUGUGUAAUUGAAAAAUUGAGAAGAAUUCCACACCACGAUAUUCAAGGAAAGCUUAGAAUAAGUUUUGACGCACUGGACGGUGAAGAACUACAAAAUGCAUUCCUUGACAUCGCUUGCUUCUUUAUUGAUAGAAAGAAAGAGUACGUCGCAAAAGUGCUAGGAGCCCGUUGCGGUUACAAUCCAGAAGUUGAUUUGCAAACUCUCCAUGAAAGGUCUCUAAUUAAAGUUAAUGCCAUUGGGGAGAUAACCAUGCAUGAUCUAUUACGAGACAUGGGAAGGGAGGUCGUUCGUGAAUCGUCUCCAAAAGAACCUGGAAAGAGGACCAGAAUUUGGAAUCAAGAGGAUGCAUGGAAUGUACUUGAGCAGCAGAAGGUAAGAGCUCAAUGCAUACACGAAAGCAUGGUCAAUGUUGUAUUUUCUAGUCAAACUUAUUACAUAUAAUUGUAUGAAAGUUGUAUUGUUUUUUUUUUAGGGUACCGAUGUUGUAGAGGGUGUUGCACUGGAUGUCAGAGCAUCAGAAGCUAAAUCACUGAGCACAGGAUCAUUUGCAAAAAUGAAAUGCUUAAAUUUACUCCAAAUCAACGGAGCACAUCUCACCGGAUCCUUCAAACUGCUUUCUAAAGAGUUGAUGUGGAUUUGUUGGCUUCAAUGUCCUUUGAAAUAUUUUCCAUCUGAUUUUACCUUGGACAAUCUAGCUGUUCUUGAUAUGCAGUACAGUAACCUUAAAGAACUAUGGAAGGGAAAAAAGGUGAGAAACAUGCUGCAAUCCCCAAAAUUUCUCCAGUAUGUAAUUUAUAUUUACAUGUUACGACUU